rnacentral:lncRNA from 1 species
AAGAAGAAGAUCUUUGUUUUCGCCUUCAAUAAAUGCUCCAGAUGUACAUAUUCCUCCAGAGCCAUCACAACCCGGAAAUAAAAAGAUAACCAAAGCAGAUAAGAAAACGAAGAAAUUGGUAAAUGAAUCUCCAGGGAAGAAACAACCAAAGAACAAGAAACAUGUCAUGCACUGUGGAAUUUGUGGAAUUGAUUAUCACAACUCUAGAUCUCACACGAAGAAUCAGAUUUGUGUUAAGAAAAAAUUGUAUUUACAUUGAAUAAUCAAGUUCUUUUGCAGGCUUCUUAAGGUCCUCCUCCUCAUGUUUCUUCUUCAGCUUCUCAAGGUCCUCUUCCUCAAGUUUCUUCCCCAGCCUCUCAAAAAGCUUCUGGGGUUGUCACUCCAGCUGAUUCUGGAUGUCAUGUUAUUUUCGGCUAUGCUGACAUGUGUUAAUGGCCGUGUCUUAUGCAGCCUCGGCUUUUGUUAGACGGCCAUUUUCUAGUCUUUUGUUGGAUGAUCAUGUUUUCUACGCUUUUGUUGUGAUUUUUUCUAGACUUAUUUGUCGGCUUUUGUUGGAUGGUGGUUUGUAUGUUAACAUACACUAGACUUUGAUCCGCGCGGAUGCUUGUUUUAUUUUUAUAAAUCAAAUAUAAUUGAUUAUCUUUUUCAAAUGUAUUUAUACGAUGCUAGUAUCCAUUCGGAUUCGUGAACUAUUUGGGUUCGGUUCAGAUCUAUUCAGAUUUCGAGUUUUUGAGUUUGAAGAUUUCAACCAUGUAUUUAUAAAUUUUGGUUCAGGUUCGGUCCGGAUCUUCACGGGCUCGGUUCAGAUUCAGAUAACCCGUUUAAAUUAUUUUUUAAAAUUUUAAAAUUCAUAUAGACUUUAAUUUUCUCAAAAUCUAAAAAAAAUUAAUAUAUAAAAUAUCAUAAGGCCUUUAAUCACACACAUUAUGCUUGGAUAUUCCUAGUAUGUGCAGUUAAAUCGUAUCUAUAGGAAAUUUUAUCCAAAAAGAAAUUUAAAAAUAAUGGUGAGUCGCGUAGAAGAUACUAUGAAAAAAUUAUUGAAUAAAGAUUGUUGAUAGGAAUAUUCGUAUAUAUGAUUUACACUUUGUUAAUUGCACACCUGAAAAUAGGAAUUAUGUUUUGAAUGUCCUUGAUUGCAUGUAUCUAUAAAUCGGUUUCACAUUUUGUUUCAGAAUGUACUUUGACAAACCGGAUUUUUUUUCUUAUGAUAAGUCAUAUUUUAAUCUAUACAAACCGAAAGGACAUAUGAUUUUCUGAGUUAAAAAUUAAAGUAUUAACAUGAUAAAGACAUCCUUGUGAGGACGAUGGUAAGUAAACGGCAUGAAAACAUUUUAAUCAAAGGACAAUAAGGUGUUCUCGUUUUGAAUUGCAUUUUAGCUGACUGAAUAUUUGAUAAUUUUAUUGUUUAGGUUGAACAUACAUAUAUGCAAUGUUCAAGAAAUAGCUAAACGGGCGCAACGCAUGCCUAGCUCCAAAUCAAUUAAUCGCAUAUAGGUAUAUAUAUUAGUUAUGUGCUUGUUUAGUGUUGUUGUGACAUAGCAUAGUGAUUAGAAGUGUUUGUUAAAUACAUACAUAUCCGGGUUCAAGGUGAGUAUGCGCUUAUUUUGUCAAUUUUUUUUAAAAAAAUAGGUUAAAUGAUGUAUGAAAUGACAAAAUUAAUCUUAUCAUCAAUCCGUCACGGAUAUAGUCCGAUUUGCAUGCGAUUAGCCGGCUGUCUAACAUGUGUUUUCGAACAGGUUGGAGCAGUCAACGGCAUGAAGCAUUGAUUAGAUAUGUGGAGAUUUUCCAAAUUUUGUAAAAAAAAAUUACACGAUAGGUUAAAGUCAUUAAUGAUGAUCGAUUAAAUAAGUAAAUUAAAUUAAAGUGGUUUGAUAAUUUAAUACGAAUGGUUUAAGUCAGUGGCAUGAAAUAUGGUAAUUAGUAUGGAAAAUUCAGGAUUAAGUACAAAAUAUACUUUAUUUUUAAUAGUUUAAAUUUUGUUAAAACAAACAUAAUUUAUCUUGGAAUGAAUUUGUAAAAACACUUGCAUUUUCAAAUCAAAUUUCAUGUGGAUAUUUUGUCCACCCGCACUUACAAAAUUCGAAACCCGAUCCGAUCAUUUUGGUUCUAAUCGACACACUCCCAACCCAAAAACUAAACCAAAAGAUGCCGAAGAAGAAUCUUUCCGGCGAUGGCACCGCCGCUCCCAUCGACGCCUGGUGGUGGCUAUCACACAAAGGAACGACCACCUCUUUCCUCUGCAUCUCCCUCUUCGCAUUACUGAUCCGAUCCGCCGUCUCGAUGUUCCCCUACUCCGGCGCCGGAACUCCACCCAAGUUCGGAGACUUCGAAGCUCAGAGGCACUGGAUGGAGAUAACCACAAACCUCCCAGCCACCGAUUGGUACAGAAACGGCACUCAGAACGAUCUCACUUACUGGGGACUCGAUUACCCUCCUUUAACUGCUUACCAGAGUUACAUCCACGGCAUCCUCCUCCGAUUCUUCAAUCCCGAGUCCGUUUCUCUUUUCAGCUCCCGUGGCCACGAAUCUUACAUUGGGUAAUGAUGAUCUGCAUAUCAAAUCAUGCUUGAUCUGAUAAAAGGUUGAAACUUUUGUGCAGAAAGUCUUAUAAUGAUGAUCUACAGAUCAACUCAUGCUUCAUCUGAUGCCAUAAAGUCUCCUUCUUUUGUUGAUUGUUGUGUGUUUUAGAGUUAAAUCUGGUUUCUUUUGUGCAGAAAGUUAUUGAUGAGGUGGACGGUUUUGUCGUCUGAUGCUCUCAUAUUCUUCCCAUCUGCUCUCUUUUUCGUGUUGGUGUACCAUAGGAACCGUGCCAAGAGCCAAGUGGCUUGGCAUAUUGCGAUGAUUCUGUUGAACCCUUGUUUAAUUCUCAUUGAUCAUGGUCAUUUUCAGGUUUUUUUUUUUUAAUGACUUUUCAGGUUUUGUAUGAAGUGUUGUCUCUGUUUUGAUUCUCAUUAGUUUGUUUGUUUGUUUGUUUGUUUUUAGUACAAUUGUAUCAGUUUGGGACUUACAGUGGGUGCUAUUGCUGCCGUACUCUGUGGGAGCGAGGUUCUUACUUGUGUUUUGUUCACUCUUGCUCUUAGCCAUAAACAGGUAACGUUUGGGUACUCUAGUUGAAUGUUGGUAUAGCGUUGCCCUGUUUUACAAAGACGUGAUCUCACUUGUAAUGGCUUUUAUGAAUCUUAUAGACCAAUGACGUGAUAGUUCAGUUACGUUGCAAACUGCUGUUUUGUUCUUUGUCAAUCUUCUUGUUGUUGGCUUGUUUAUUUCUUGAGAAUCUGUUGAAGCUUUACCAUCUCUCUGAUUUUUUUUUUUUGACUUCUUAGCUUGCAUGGCGUGUUUGAUUAUCUUUGUGUUGUGUAAUGAUGGAGACAUGGUGUUGAAUUAAGAUGGUGAUGAUGUUUGAGUAUAAAUGUGUGAUAUAUGAUGUCAAAGUCUGUAAUAGUUUUAAGGGAGUAGUGUAGUUUGCCCAUACAUCUUUGCAUGUUUCUAUACAUACAGUUUUGUUAGUCUAAGGACGGUUCUUGAUACUUUGAUUUAACAAUCAUCUGAUCAUUGGAUAUGUUUCUUUGUUUAUGUCUGCAGAUGAGUGCAUACUUUGCUCCUGCCUUUUUCAGCCAUCUACUUGGUAAAUGCCUAAGACGGAAAAAUCCUAUACUUUCUUUGCUGAAGCUUGGAAUUGCAGUCAUUGUGACAUUCGUUAUUGUUUGGUGGCCGUAUUUGCAUUCUGUAGACGACUUUUUAAUGGUAAAUACACAUUUGAUCAUUUUCAAACUGUGAAAUUGUACUUCUUGCUUCCUCCUCUGAUGUAAACUGCACAUAGCUGAUUGGUGAAUCAAAAUGCUGAUGACGCAGGUUCUCUCCCGUCUUGCUCCAUUUGAGAGGGGAAUAUACGAGGAUUACGUUGCAAAUUUCUGGUGCACCACUUCCAUUCUCAUAAAAUGGAAAAAACUAUUCACAACACCUUCUCUCAAGUCUAUAAGCUUAGCCGCAACUGUAUUAGCGUCUCUCCCUUCAAUGGUUCAUCAAAUCUUUUCACCAAGCAACGAAGGUUUCCUCUAUGGCUUGCUCAAUAGUUCAAUGGCUUUCUACUUGUUUUCUUUCCAAGGUAUAUAUAUACAUUUCAUCUUCAAUCUCCACCCCACAACCUUUUAGUAUCUAACAUUCUUCUUUUGAAUCUGCAGUGCAUGAGAAAUCAAUCCUGAUGCCUUUUCUAGCCGCAACACUGCUAGCUCUCAAAAUCCCUGACCAUUUCAAUCAUUUAACCUAUUACGCUCUCUUCUCGAUGUUCCCUCUUCUCUGCCGUGACAAUCUCUUGCUUCCUUACUUAACCUUACAUUUGCUCUUUACCCUCAUCUAUCAUUCCCAGUUACCGAAAACUAAAGCUUCAUCGUUCUCCUUUACAAGCUUCCCUGGUUAUGUUUUCUUACUUAGAACCCACUUCUUCAUCUCCCUAGUUCUCCAUGUCGUUUACCUGACCAUUCAACCUCCUCAAAAGUACCCUUUCCUAUUCGAAGCACUGAUCAUGAUUCUAUGCUUCUCAUUUUUUGUUAUGUUUGCCUUUUACAUAAACUAUACGCAGUGGAAUUUCUCGAGUCGUUUCAGGUCUGCGGAUAAAGAAAAGAAACAAAUCUGAAGAUUAGAAGACAAAACUCUUCGAGUCAGGUUGUCUAACAAAUCGGUGGUUUAGUCAUCAGACUUUUGUAAUGCGCAUAAUCUGUAGCAUACGGUAGAUUAUAUAUAUUGAGGUAAAGAUUGAGUCUUUUAUGAAAAGAAAUAAACUUUUUUAUAAGUUUAUAAGUUUUGUAUUUUUUUUUCCUAGCAAACAGAUUAAUAUGUUCAUGGUGUCUCCUUAAUGACGGCCAGGAUCGAACUUAAUAUAUCAUCAAUCAAAUAAUGAGCGUACAAAAUUACAUAAAAUGUGGACACUUUUAAUCUACGGCCAGGAUGAAACUUUUCGUAUAGAAAUGUGGUUUGAAUAGUGGAUUUUAAAUUUAAAAAGUAGUGAUUACCAUUUUAGUUAUACAUUCAAAGUACCGGGGGCAUUGCCUCCGUGCAAGCGCGGAGUUGUGGACAAAGUUUUUGUUUCAUCUCAAUAUUUUCUAGGGUUAUUGUAGUUGUGAAUUUUGCGUUUUGAGUUGUUUUUCAAAUUUUUUUAUCGUUAUAGGGUUGGAGUUGUGAUUAUGAAUUGUGUAUGCAUUGUUCUCCACUUAUGAAGUACUAAACUGUGUUAGUAAUGUGAUUGAUAUAGUUCGUGAUGUUGUUUGUUGUGUCACCGAGACUUAUUGUUUGUUUGUCUUUUUAAUUUGUUUCUUGUAUUAUUAAGAGUACAUAAAUUAUAUUAAAGUUGUUGAGAGUACCUUUCUUUCUGGAUAUUUUUUCUCCAAUUUAGUUUGUAAGUUUUGUGUAUUAAGUAAUAAUUUUUAUUAUCCUUAUUAUGUUUGUUAUAUGUUUCUUUUUUAUUUUUAAACUUGUUGCUCUUACCGGACAUUUAAAACAAAUACAUGAAGACUUGUAGAAAUAACUAUAAAAUGAGUGACAGUUCUGAGUAUUUGGGCAUUAAUGAGUUUUAAACGAAUUUAUGUAUUUCUCAUAAGAAGACAAUAACAUUGACCUGUUGACAUUGGACAUGUAAGCUGUUUUUAUAAGACAAGAGGAGUGAGCAGGUGGAGAUGUUGUUGCCGCCUUUGUGUCUGUCGGGAUUUUAUCUUGUAUCUUCUGGUUUGGUUGUGUUUGUUUCUCUUUUAUUUGAUGGGUAAUAUGUAAACAAAAAUCAUUGUUAGUUGUAUUUAUCAGAGUUCGUAAUUUACUCUGCUUUUUUGUUUAGGUAAUUUCACUGAUCUUGGUUGUCGUCUUCGUCUUCUUCUUUGCGAAAGUAAGUUUGUAAAUUGUUAAAUAGUUGGCCGUGUAGUUUGUAUUUGUUUAGCUGACUCGAUGUAUGUGUCGUUGAGUUUUAGUUGAGGUGAUUGUUUUGGUAUAUUUGUUUUGAAGUUUAUUUCUAAGAUUAGACAAAAAAGAGAGGUGAUCAUUAAUGAUUUGUCUUUUUUGGAAUUCUAAUUUUUGGUGUUUUGAUUGUUUGGGAUGUUGUGGUUUCUUUUAAGCUGUAAAAUAAAUGUUUGUGUAAAAUUAAUUUGAUAAGUAAGGGAGAUAAAUAGACGACCACAUACUUUGGGUAUGAAAUAUUUUUGAUUAUUGAUAUUAGCACAAUAUAGAUAAUAAUAUAAAGGGAAUUGUGUGUUGAUUGUUUCUUACGGAUCAAUGAGAAGACGGAUAACGACUCGGGUUGUUUCUUUGAUAAGGCCAGAGUCCUGGAUAGAACGGAUUUGUCCAACCACAUCUGCGAGUUUAAAUAUCAGUUAUGAUAUCAAAACAUAAUAUAAACCCAGAUGCAAUAUGAUAAUAUACCUGGGAGUUCUAGGUUUGUGUUCGCAAUCACUUGAAAAUUGUCAAACAAUCUAAUUAUGAGUGGAGAUUGAUCUUAGGAGCAUCUGUGAUGACUUCAUCGAUAAUAGUUGGUGAGAUGAAACGAAUGAGGAAGGAAUGAUCAGUUAUCUUGUACAUGCUUGAGCACCUAAUCAACCUCAAAACGAUUGACUUACACAAUGGGACCGGCUUUCAAAGAUGGCUUGUAAUGAUUAGCACGUCCGGCGGUAAUAAACUCAUGAAUCACAGAAUCUGCAAUUAAUAUUAUUCAACAAAGAAUCAGGAAAUCAAUUAAAAAUAAUCUAUAUUAUUUUCCUUCCCUAGGCCCGGCCCACAGAGAAAGCCGAAGAAACAAGAGUUUCCGAUCUUCAUAAAUAUAUAUUAGUUUCGGCCAUCAAUGUACAAAGUAUCCUUUAGUUUAGUGGUAUAAAUGUUUGUGUUUUUAUUUUAAUAACCGGGGUUCGAACCAUAGACUUGACACUUUUUAAAAGUGGAACCCACAAAAUACUGACGUGGCACGCUUAUAAGAGAAAAAAAAAUCAAUCAUUAUAAUAUAGAUUUGCAGCAGUUUGUGAGAAAUAUGUCAGAGCAUCGGCAGUGUGCUUACACCGUUUCUUAUGCAUUAAAUAAUACAAAUUAAUUUGAAAGAUUCUAACAUCGGCAGUGUGCGUAUGUUACACCGUUUCUUAUGCAUUAAAUAAUACAAAUUAAUUAGAAAGAGGAAAGAAAAAGAAGUAAAAGAAGAAAGAGGUUGUCACUAGCUUUUUCCCACAGAGACGUUAAACAUUUCUUCAUAGACGAUUUAACAUGUGUCAAUAUAUUAUUUGAUUAAUUUUGUUUGCAGUGUUAAAAUUAAUAAGACAAUUAAGCUAUAUACAUAAUAUCAAUAUUAUAUUUGGGAAGAAACUUAUAUGGUCUGGUGACCAAUGAUGAUGCUCUUAGAAAUGUAUGUCUCGCACCAAAAGUGGGGUUAGAUGUAAGGAAGUAAAUAAUACAGUAAUCCCUCUGUUUUUUAAAGAUGGAUGUUUUAGAGAAAUAUUUUAUUUCCAAAAGAUGUAUUUUUCAUGUUUUUAAAACAUAUUUUGUCAACUAAUAAUGAAAAAUUAUGUGUUUCAAAAAUAUUAAUUACAUUUCUUUUAAUCCUAUUGGUUUAAAAAUAUAAGAAAUAUAAAGUUACAAAAAACUAUGCAUUAAUAACUAAGUUUUAAUAUGGUUUCUUAAUAAGUGUAAAAAUCCUAGAACAUUCAUCUUUAAAAAACAGAGGGAGUAGUAUAUUUUAUUGGUAAAUGAGUCUUGUAUUCAUUGCCAAAUAAUUUUUAUUAUUGAGUUGUUAACCAUGAUUCCUACGAAGUUGAUCCGAUUAAAGUCUCAAAUUUUCAGUGUUUCGUCUUGCCUUGGUAUUUCCGGGAUAACGAGCCGCUCCCGUUUCCCUAAAUGGAGUUGACGUAGACAACAACCAUAAGCUUCUCCAUUGGAUUGUAAGUUUUAGUUGAUAAUGAGUUAAACGAUUGAUGCAAUCAUGUUCAAAUUAUCCUUUCAUGUCUAUUAAUCUUCAAAUGACUGGAACUCAUUCUCCAAAGAUUGUGUUUUCUCCUUUCAUGUGUUUUUCAAUAGUUUUUUGUUUGUUGCUAAAAGUGUUUUCAAUAGUUGCUAGUAAGUUUUUUCUUCACUAGAAAAAGAAGUAACAACCUUUUUUCACUAAAUUGUAAAUACUCAUUGAUGAAAAUGAAAUUACAAGUUGUUUAAGUCUCAAAAACAUGGAAAAAGAUUUAAAUAACUAAACAUUAGGAUUUUACAUUGUAAACAUUUAAAUCCUAAGCUUUCUGGUCAACAAUCACAAAAGCGGAUAGGAAAACCGACAUCAUUUUGCAUGAAUCAUAUGCCCGACGAUGCUUUAAAGUACGGACCUUGGUUUCCGGACAACAUACGAGACUUUCGGCACGAACCCAGCGCAGGUCGACGACACAUCAUGAUCCGCACCCAAUGAAUUCCUAGAAGUAACAACUUGAACACUAAUCAGUUUGGUGCGUUUACGCCACGACGUAAGCCUAUUAUCUGAUAGUUUAUGCUUGUUUAUAGACGUGACAUUGAAAGCUAGGCAUAUCUAAUAUUUUGUAAACUUACUUCCGCAAGCCCAUUGUUUAUUUCAUCGUCGACUUUUGUGAUAAAUGGUAAAUCAAAGAACAAGAUACCUACGGAAAAUCAAAGAACGAGUCUAUAUUGACAAUCUUUCGUUGUUUAACUGAAAAGUCUAUUGGUUGCUCAAAAAAGAAAAAAAAAACUAAAAAGUCUAUUGACAAGCUUAUUCCAAUAUUAAAUCUUUUUCUUUUAGCAACGCUUAUUUCAAUAUUAAAUCAUGUUUUAUUUCUUUAAACAGAUUUCAUAUGAGAGAUCUCAGUGGCUAGUCUUGCUGAGUAUUAUAUUAUAGCUCUUUUGCUUCUCAGGUAUACUUCCCAGAUUCGCAAUCUUUUCCCAAUACAUAAAUAAUUAUCUGAGUAGCUCCAAUGCCUUGGCUUUUCUUAUUUGCGGCAAGAUCUUCUUUCUAAUAGAGAAAGUAUAUUUUUAUAUGCACGCAUGGUUUCCUGAUUUCAUCUACAAAAGAAAACUAGUAUAUUCAUAUAGUAACAAGAUAAUUCUUGAUUUACAAAGAUUUGGUUUACUAGAUUGGCUAAGACAUUGGUGUUAUCAUGGUAUAGACACUGUUUAUUUUUAAUUUCAAAUGAUCAACACUGAGCAGUGUGUAUCACGAUUGAUACAUUUCUAACAAUCUUAUAUGACAGAUGAAAAUUGAUAGAAUAUUAUGUCAGAUAUCACAUCAAAUUGUACAAAUAUCAGAUCGUACGUUCAGAGAAUAUAAAUUUACUAGGUGAUAAGCCGCGCGCAUGCGCGGAAUGAGUUUUUAUAAUAAUGUUUAUUUAUUAAAUAGUUUUAACAUUUUGCAAUACUACAAUUUUUAUCGAUUAUAUAAUAACGAAUACAAAUGUUGGUCUAUUAAAUAUAUCAUCGUUGUUGAAUAGUGAACGUAUUACAUCUCAUUUUAAUUAUUUUUAAGACUUCAUAUGCACAAAAAAAAUUAAGUUUUGUGGCUGACACAAAUCUCCAAAACCAAAUAGGCAACAUCGAUUAUAUAAUGACGAAAGGGGAUUAGGUUUUCUGCUCUAGAUUUGUUUACUAUUGACUCUCCAUAAUUGAUUUUAUUUUCUACCUUUAUAAAAUUGUGUUGUCGUUCCCGUCUUUGUUUCAUUGAUAUGAGUUAAGUUUUUUUUAACUUUUUCUAUGAAUUCGGUGAAUUACAUAAGUGUCAAUUAAAAAUAAUAGACAUAUGUAAAAAUUAGUUUCACUCCAGAUACAUAUCUAAGAAUCAAAAUUUUGAAAAAAAUAACCGAAAAACUAUAUUAAUAUAUUAGUGUUCAAAUCUAAUAUAUCAAACUGUUAUAGAAUAUAUGUGCAGACUCGAAAUAUAAAUGUCUGUCAAGUAUAUAUUUAUCAGCUCGGUCUAAAAAUCAUCUAAUUCAAGAACAACAAAACAAAUUACUUAUUUGAUCAAUUCAGGUAAUAUCUGAAUUCGAACGGGUAAUAUUCGAACCCGAAUAAAUAUCCAAAAAUAACCAAACAUAUGUAUACUUAACCCUAUAUUUAUAGUUUACUUCUCUCAUUUUAUUCAAAAUAUUUAUAUUAAUAAUGAUUAUUUCUCAAAAUUAGAUAAUAUACAUAUAAUUAUGGACAAAAUCAUUUUCUACUCACUUAAAAUACAUAUCAAACUCUUGUUUCUUGCAUUAACAAAAGUUGCAUCUAAAUUUUCAAAACAACAACAAAAUUUGUGUCUUUCUAAUCUAUUAAUAGUUUAGUCUUUUAAAAAUUAGAAAACCAGUUAAGUUAAAAUAUAGUUUAAAUAUAAAAAACUUAAACAAUGAAUAAUUUAUUUAUUUUUUUCAAAAUUUAAAUAUCUGAACCCAACCCAAAAUAUCUGAACCCGAACAUAAAAUACCCGAAUCCGACUCGAAAUAUAAAAAUACCCGAAUGGGUUCUAUAACUUUAAACUGAAAUACCGGAUACGAACCCGAACUUGUAUCCGAACACCUACCCCUACGAUAUAUGAUUAUUUGUAUUUUGGUUGAACAAAAAAAGUUAAACCAUUGAUCACAAAAGUUUCAAUGUAGGACUUUUACCAUUUUUCGUAAUUUAUAGUCGUUUUAAAAAAUUCAAAAUAUAAAAUAUAAGAAAAAAUCUAAAUUUUUUAUUAUAUGAUAAAUGUGAUUGCUUAACUUUUUUAAUAGUAUAAAAUUAAACAAAAAAGAGAGAUGUUAGAAAAAUUGUUAUCAAAUAUGUAUUAUUCAUAAUCAUUAAUUUUCAUAUACUCCCUCCGUUCCUAAAAGAUGUAUGUUAUGGAACAUCGAUUAUAUAAUGACGAAAGGGGAUUAGGUUUUCUGCUCUAGAUUUGUUUACUAUUGACUCUCCAUAAUUGAUUUUAUUUUCUACCUUUAUAAAAUUGUGUUGUCGUUCCCGUCUUUGUUUCAUUGAUAUGAGUUAAGUUUUUUUUAACUUUUUCUAUGAAUUCGGUGAAUUACAUAAGUGUCAAUUAAAAAUAAUAGACAUAUGUAAAAAUUAGUUUCACUCCAGAUACAUAUCUAAGAAUCAAAAUUUUGAAAAAAAUAACCGAAAAACUAUAUUAAUAUAAUGCAUAUUUAAUGAAUUUUCUUAAUAUAUGUGAAAAGUCUACAAUAUGCAUCUUUUAAACACAGAAGGAGUGUCUGUCAAGUAUAUAUUUAUCAGCUCGGUCUAAAAAUCAUCUAAUUCAAGAACAACAAAACAAAUUACUUAUUUGAUCAAUUCAGGUAAUAUCUGAAUUCGAACGGGUAAUAUUCGAACCCGAAUAAAUAUCCAAAAAUAACCAAACAUAUUGAUGACACGUGGCUACGAAAAUAUGUUGUAAUGCUCCAGGAUUAAUAUAUAGGGGAUUUUCUUAGAAAAUUUAAAUCUUAUAGAAGCAAUCCAAAAAAUGGUAAUAAAAAUAUAUUUACAAGCCAACUCAGACAAAAUUACGCAAUUCGAAAAUUUCCUAAAGUAGCUUCGUUCAACUCAUCAUCCCGGCACAUUCUGCUAGCUCGCAUUUAAGGAGUUGAGUUUCGUUUUGCUAUUUCACCAUUAAUGAAAACUAGGUGUUUGCCCGCAAUUUUGCGAGUAAUUAUAUUAUAUGGAGAAAUAUAUGUUAUGUUUACAUAGUUAUAAUUUUUGAAUAAUAAUUAAAAUUUUAAAAUUUUAAUGUUUAAUUUCAAAUAGUUAGAUAAUCAAAAAAUUUAGUAUAUAUUUUUAGAAGAUCUGUGAGAUUUAAAAUUGUUUAACAACGUAAACCUUAGUCAUUACAAAUAUUUCUCUUACAGAAAAGUAAUAUAAUAAUUAAUUCAGAUAAUUGGUUGUAGAAUUACUUUAUAUUUUAUUUUAACACGUGAAAAAUCGGAAAUACUCUAGCUUUUAAGAAAUAAAAAGAAAGGUUUUUUUGGUGUAAGACCAAUACAAUUAUCGAAUGUUUUUAUCAUGAAGAUACGUUUUUGUGUGGACUUUAGAAAACAUAAAAAGUUCUAAUAAUUAUUCACCUAAAAAUCUAAUUUUAUAUAAGGAUAUAUAACCAUUAAAUUUCUUUCAAUAAAAAAAUAUUAAAGUAUUUUAUUUAAUUAUAUAUAAAUAAUUGAUAAAGAAAAAGAAAUUGAUAAAACAUAUAUAUUAUUUCUCAAAUUCUACAAUUAGUUACCAUAAAUCAUUAUUUGUAAUAUUACUUGUGUUAUUUGGUAAUUUAUAUUAAUUAGUUCUAUAGUUACCUUUUAUUUUUAGAUUUGAUUAAAAUAAAUAACUAAUAAACAUCAACAACCAAUCAAAUUAUAACUAUUUUUUAAAACUUAACUUAUUAACAAUACAUAAGAAAAAUCGCUUAAGUGACUUUUCAAUUAAUAUAUAGUAUAACUAGGUGUUUUCCUGCACCAUGUGCAGUAAGAAAUUUUUUAAAUCUAACUUAUAUUUAAAAAUAAAUUUUAUUAAAUAUUAUACAUUUUACUAUUUCCUUACUAAUAUUUAAUAUAGAUUUGAAUAUAUUAAAAGGGAUCUUCUCCUAUAACAAGGUAAUCUUUGCUUCUCUCGUCUAUCCACAAUAUCGUAUCGUAAGAUCCGCACGAUAUAGGUAGAUUGAUCCUCUCGAGGGUUAAAAGAUUUAAAAUGUAAAGACGUUCAUGAGGUAAAGUCGCCAUCAAAAGCCAGCUUCUACAAGUCGCCAUACAAUGAAUAUUAUUUGAAAAGUAGUCGCCAGUUUUGUAGAGCUUUUCUUCUCUAUCUUCAGGAUUGAACAAGAGACAGUAACUUUUUUCCUCGGGGAGUAAAAUCAUCCAAGGGAUCUUAUUGUUUGGCUUAGACUGUCUCGAACCAGUUUGCCAAGAUGAGCAAACCGAUUUAGCUCUUUCGAAAUCGGUAAAGCUAAGGCGUUCAAAAAUCAGUUGCAUCAGAUCUAGAGGAAGCUCGGACCAGCAACGAGGAGGAGAUUGGGCUAAGGCUAACAACGGUGGUGAAGCCAUCUCACGAAAAUGCCUUUAGUUUGGGAGAAAAUAUUAGAUUUUUAGUUUUCACUCUAUCAGAGCGGUUCGAUGUCGCGGGAAGAAGCUGGUCGCGGCCGUGUGUCGACGAAACUAUCCAAGGGGAUUUCGCAAGCAACGGCCGCAGCAUAUGGAGGCUGCGAAGUGAAACGUUAAACCGCGGGUGUAUUUCGCGGGUGAAGGCAGGCCGCGGCCGUGUAACGUUGAAUCCGACCAGUGCAUUUCGGGGGUGCAGGCCGCAUGAAGAGUUGGUCGCGGUGGAAGAUCAACAAUCGCAGGCUCAUGUCGGGGGCUAGAGAUGGUUGCGGCCGUGGUCCGAGACUAAGCAUUUUACUAUUUUAUCCUUGUGUUUCUAUGCCAUUAUAAUAAACCUAAUCUGAGGGAAUUAUCUUGUUAUCUAUCUAAUCAAAAGUCACUUUUGGGUGAAAGAUCUAAUUUUGAUCAUAUUCUUUUUUUUGUUUUUUUGAUUGUUUUGAUCAUUAAUCAUGUUUAGACUUAGAUCAACUAAUGAUUUAGUAUCUACCAUAAUAAUGAGUGAGUAGUCAUAUUUGGAUUCAUGGGUUAGGAUGAUAUGUUUAGAGUGUUUAGAGUGGAUUAAUAUGUUUCCUUGCUUGAUUAAGUGAUCUUAAUGCUAAUCUAGAGUUGGCCAUUUCAGAUUAGAAACCUAGACAUUUCAUUGCCUGAAAGGUGUUCGAUGAAAUGUCUGAGCCAACUCAACAUGCUCUUAACUUACCCUACCAAAGACAUUUGAUGUUAGGGGAGUUUUGAUAGUUGUAUGAUCUGUUCUUAAUGAUUGCUUGACUGACACAAACCAAAGAUAUUUGAUGUUUGAUCAAUGAGAGUAAAUGAGCAUUUAUCUCGAUAAAGAACUUGCUUAGAAUUGUUAUCUAGACUUAGGGAAAUGUGUUGAUUGAAACCUUGCCUUUUUAGAUUGAAUCUUAAUCAUUUGACAUCAAAUUCCUAUACCCAUGUGUCCUCCUUUAUCUAUUUGAUUGAAAGUUGCUAGUUAGUAGUGUUAGAACCUUGUUAGCUUGAUUGAAUCACCUUAUCACUUGAUUGCAGUUAGAUUAAGUUUGAACCUGCAUUCUCUUUGCAUCAAAAUACUUAGAAAUAGAUUGACAGCUUAAUUACUAUAAUGAUUUGAUUAUUGGACCUUUGAAAAGUCCAUUUCAUUGCAUUCAUGGGUGAGAACUACCAAGAAGAUGAUUGGAGUGAACUGAAAGCACCAAAAGUGAAGCUAAACCUCUCCCCCUUGGUGUAAGGUAUGCAUUUCUUGGACCUAAUUAGACAUAUCCUGUCAUUGUGAGUAGUGAACUGAAUGAAAAUGAAUUGUCUAAAUUUUUGAAUGAACUUAAAAAGUAUAGAAAGGCAAUAGGCUACUCACUAGAUGAUAUUAAAGGGAUAUCACCUUCUUUAUGCAUGCAUAGGAUACAUCUAGAGGAUGAAUCUAUGACUUCUAUAGAACAUCAAAGAAGAUUCAACCCCAACUUAAAAGAUGUUGUUAAGAAAGAGAUUCUAAAACUCCUUGAUGCAGGUGUAAUCUAUUCUAUUUCAGAUAGCAAAUGAGUGUCUUCUGUGCAUAUUAUCCCAAAGAAGGGUGGAAUAACUGUGGUUAAAGAUGAUAAGAAUGAACUAGUUACAACAAGAACAAUAACGGGACUUUUGCAUAUUGUUCUUGAUAUGGCUGGCAAAUCCCUAAAGUAUGUCCAUUUGUUUACUUAUAUUUACAUUAUAUGGCUGGCAAAUCCCUAAAAUAAAAUCGAAUCUAAUUUAAACCAAACUUAACGAAUUCAAUUGUUUUUAAUGGAUUUGUUUAUGGAUUUAUGCAACACGGUUCCAAAUCAAUUACGGUGACAAUGAUCUUGCCAACAAAGGUGGUGUCACCGAUGAUGAUUCUCGCGUUCAAGGAGAUGGUUUUAUCUUGGUUGCGUGUCUCGAGAGGGUUGCUGAAGAAGGCGUCCGAGCUUGGGCUAGCCCUAAGGGUGACCGCCAGUUCCAUCUAGGUUGUUCAGGUUUUGUGUCUAUUGAAAUCGAUUGAAAUUUUCUCCUGAUUGUCUGAAAAUCAUAUAAUUUCAAUUUGAAUCAUCUAGAUCUAACAUUGGUUUGAUUUGAUUUUUUGAAUUAUUGUCCCGUUACAUUCUGGCUUGUGUAAUGGGACUCUAACGAGAAGGACAAUAACGAAACACUAUGCUCACUGAAUUUUGCUACCAGAGUUGGAGGGAUAGAGUUGGGGCGGCGCAAAGAAGCACCUAGACAAUACUGAAAUCUUGAUAUAUGAGAAAAUGGUAAUCUAGAUUCAAGUUUACAUUUCCACAUAUGCGUAUAUUGAAUCAUUAAGUGUUUAUUUGGGUUGUGUUAAUUUUUGUAGGUUGAAAAAUGGAAGAAAGAUAUUAAAGAAAAAGACGAAAAUAUAAGAAAAAUUAAGGAGACCAAUCGACCAUGUUAGGUUUACAAGCAAAGAUCAAGGAACAAAACACCAAGAACAAAACCCUUCAAGAAAAUGUAAAUAUAUUUACCAUAACCACAAGAGGAACAUACGUUAGCUACAUCUUUUCUGAAACCAUCACAUAUCACUUUAUUUGAUAGGUUGAGGAACUUGAAUCGCAUCUGCUGGUAGAGAGGAAGCUGGCUUAAGAACAUGUAGUCACCAAGUUUGAUGAAAAGCCACCGAACAACAGAAGGGGGAUGAAAGCAACACAUCAAAGAAACUUACCACUUGCAAACAUACUGUUGGGAAGUUACAAGAGCUCCAGUGAAACCUCAGCUUCGAAACAAAAUGAAAACCAGUUUACUAUAUGUUUAUUAACAAGAUAACUAGGUGAUAACCCGCGCGCAUGCGCAGAAUGAGUUUUUAUAAUAAUGUUUAUUUAUUAAAUAGUUUUAACAUUUUGCAAUACUACAAUUUUUAUCGAUUAUAUAAUAACGAAUACAAAUGUUGGUCUAUUAAAUAUAUCAUCGUUGUUGAAUAGUGAACGUAUUACAUCUCAUUUUAAUUAUUUUUAAGACUUCAUAUGCACAAAAAAAAUUAAGUUUUGUGGCUGACACAAAUCUCCAAAACCAAAUAGGCAACAUCGAUUAUAUAAUGACGAAAGGGGAUUAGGUUUUCUGCUCUAGAUUUGUUUACUAUUGACUCUCCAUAAUUGAUUUUAUUUUCUACCUUUAUAAAAUUGUGUUGUCGUUCCCGUCUUUGUUUCAUUGAUAUGAGUUAAGUUUUUUUUAACUUUUUCUAUGAAUUCGGUGAAUUACAUAAGUGUCAAUUAAAAAUAAUAGACAUAUGUAAAAAUUAGUUUCACUCCAGAUACAUAUCUAAGAAUCAAAAUUUUGAAAAAAAUAACCGAAAAACUAUAUUAAUAUAUUAGUGUUCAAAUCUAAUAUAUCAAACUGUUAUAGAAUAUAUGUGCAGACUCGAAAUAUAAAUGUCUGUCAAGUAUAUAUUUAUCAGCUCGGUCUAAAAAUCAUCUAAUUCAAGAACAACAAAACAAAUUACUUAUUUGAUCAAUUCAGGUAAUAUCUGAAUUCGAACGGGUAAUAUUCGAACCCGAAUAAAUAUCCAAAAAUAACCAAACAUAUGUAUACUUAACCCUAUAUUUAUAGUUUACUUCUCUCAUUUUAUUCAAAAUAUUUAUAUUAAUAAUGAUUAUUUCUCAAAAUUAGAUAAUAUACAUAUAAUUAUGGACAAAAUCAUUUUCUACUCACUUAAAAUACAUAUCAAACUCUUGUUUCUUGCAUUAACAAAAGUUGCAUCUAAAUUUUCAAAACAACAACAAAAUUUGUGUCUUUCUAAUCUAUUAAUAGUUUAGUCUUUUAAAAAUUAGAAAACCAGUUAAGUUAAAAUAUAGUUUAAAUAUAAAAAACUUAAACAAUGAAUAAUUUAUUUAUUUUUUUCAAAAUUUAAAUAUCUGAACCCAACCCAAAAUAUCUGAACCCGAACAUAAAAUACCCGAAUCCGACUCGAAAUAUAAAAAUACCCGAAUGGGUUCUAUAACUUUAAACUGAAAUACCGGAUACGAACCCGAACUUGUAUCCGAACACCUACCCCUACGAUAUAUGAUUAUUUGUAUUUUGGUUGAACAAAAAAAGUUAAACCAUUGAUCACAAAAGUUUCAAUGUAGGACUUUUACCAUUUUUCGUAAUUUAUAGUCGUUUUAAAAAAUUCAAAAUAUAAAAUAUAAGAAAAAAUCUAAAUUUUUUAUUAUAUGAUAAAUGUGAUUGCUUAACUUUUUUAAUAGUAUAAAAUUAAACAAAAAAGAGAGAUGUUAGAAAAAUUGUUAUCAAAUAUGUAUUAUUCAUAAUCAUUAAUUUUCAUAUACUCCCUCCGUUCCUAAAAGAUGUAUGUUAUGGAAAAAAAAUUGUUUCAAAAAGAUACAUUUUUUAUUUUUUCAAUGUAUGAUUUUAAUGAAAAAUUGUAAGUUUCAAAAAAAUUAAUGGUGUUUAUUGAAUUUCUAUUGGCUAAAAUUAUGAAAAAUUGUUAUUCACAAAAAAUAAUGCAUAUUUAAUGAAUUUUCUUAAUAUAUGUGAAAAGUCUACAAUAUGCAUCUUUUAAACACAGAAGGAGUAUAUGUUAACCAUAUUAGGUAAUUCCGUAGCUUUUAUUUAAGGAAAGAAAAAAUAUUAUUUUGUACACUACUAAUUAAUUUGAUAGUUAGUUUAAUAAAAACCAUAGUAUAUGUUUAUAUGGAUCAACUUAUUUUUCUAACAAUUUUAAGAAUCAUUCUCGUGAUGACACGUGGCUACGAAAAUAUGUUGUAAUGCUCCAGGAUUAAUAUAUAGGGGAUUUUCUUAGAAAAUUUAAAUCUUAUAGAAGCAAUCCAAAAAAUGGUAAUAAAAAUAUAUUUACAAGCCAACUCAGACAAAAUUACGCAAUUCGAAAAUUUCCUAAAGUAGCUUCGUUCAACUCAUCAUCCCGGCACAUUCUGCUAGCUCGCAUUUAAGGAGUUGAGUUUCGUUUUGCUAUUUCACCAUUAAUGAAAACUAGGUGUUUGCCCGCAAUUUUGCGAGUAAUUAUAUUAUAUGGAGAAAUAUAUGUUAUGUUUACAUAGUUAUAAUUUUUGAAUAAUAAUUAAAAUUUUAAAAUUUUAAUGUUUAAUUUCAAAUAGUUAGAUAAUCAAAAAAUUUAGUAUAUAUUUUUAGAAGAUCUGUGAGAUUUAAAAUUGUUUAACAACGUAAACCUUAGUCAUUACAAAUAUUUCUCUUACAGAAAAGUAAUAUAAUAAUUAAUUCAGAUAAUUGGUUGUAGAAUUACUUUAUAUUUUAUUUUAACACGUGAAAAAUCGGAAAUACUCUAGCUUUUAAGAAAUAAAAAGAAAGGUUUUUUUGGUGUAAGACCAAUACAAUUAUCGAAUGUUUUUAUCAUGAAGAUACGUUUUUGUGUGGACUUUAGAAAACAUAAAAAGUUCUAAUAAUUAUUCACCUAAAAAUCUAAUUUUAUAUAAGGAUAUAUAACCAUUAAAUUUCUUUCAAUAAAAAAAUAUUAAAGUAUUUUAUUUAAUUAUAUAUAAAUAAUUGAUAAAGAAAAAGAAAUUGAUAAAACAUAUAUAUUAUUUCUCAAAUUCUACAAUUAGUUACCAUAAAUCAUUAUUUGUAAUAUUACUUGUGUUAUUUGGUAAUUUAUAUUAAUUAGUUCUAUAGUUACCUUUUAUUUUUAGAUUUGAUUAAAAUAAAUAACUAAUAAACAUCAACAACCAAUCAAAUUAUAACUAUUUUUUAAAACUUAACUUAUUAACAAUACAUAAGAAAAAUCGCUUAAGUGACUUUUCAAUUAAUAUAUAGUAUAACUAGGUGUUUUCCUGCACCAUGUGCAGUAAGAAAUUUUUUAAAUCUAACUUAUAUUUAAAAAUAAAUUUUAUUAAAUAUUAUACAUUUUACUAUUUCCUUACUAAUAUUUAAUAUAGAUUUGAAUAUAUUAAAUCAAUUUGUAUAAAACUAAUAAAAAUGAUAUAAAAUUGUAUAAUUAUCAAAAAUUUAGCCUAAACAAUAUUUAUAAAAUUUGUAGGUAUAUAAAAAACUAAUGAUCUUACGAUUAGAUAUUUAAAUUUUUAAAAAAUUGUAGAAAUUUUUGAAAGAUUUAGUAAUACAAAUUGUAUAAUUAUGAAAAAUAAUAAUAUUUCGAAAUUUGAAAUAUUAUAUAUGAAUAUAUUUAUUUUAUAGAUGUUGUAUGAGCUGUUACCUUAUUUAAAAAAAGUUUUCGAAAAAGAAAUAUCAAUAUUAAAUGUAAUAUAUGAAUCAUUACCAUAUUAUAAUAAGUUUGGCAAAAAUAUAAAUCAACAUUAAAUGAAAUUAUACAUGUCAUAUUUUUCCAGAAGCCAUGUCAUCAAUUUCAAUAGCCAUGUCAUAUUUGUUUCGUGAAAUUAAUUGUAGAGAGGACAUGAGGCAAAAUCACUUCGCAAAUAUAGUCUAGGGGAUGUCAUAUUUUUCCAGAAACCAUGUCAUCAAUUUCAUUAGCCAUGUCAUAUUUGUUUCGUGAAAUUGAUCGUAGAGAGGACAUGUGGCAAAAUCACUUCGCAAAUAUAGUCUAGGAGAUUUAUCUCUUUAAAACCAAGGAUAAAUUUGGUUAAUGUAAACAUGAAAAUAUGUAUUAGGAAAAUGACAGUCUAUGUAAUUUCUCUCAUAAUUUUGUCAAAUCACAAAUCACACUUUCUCACUCAUUUUCUAUUUAGUGUUUAACAUGAAAUUUAAAUGAGUUAAACAAACAAUUUCUUCUUUUAAAACAAUCUUAUUUUAAUUAAAUCUGAUUAGCUAAUAAGAAAAAAUAAUUUUAAAAAUUUUUAAUAACAAAAUGUUGUUAUUUUAGGCAUACAUACUUAAUAUUAAUGUGAGAUCCAAUAUUAUAUCCAAAUAAAAUAUUUUUUAUUUCUAUAAAAUUGGUUAAAAUUUUAUUAUUGUAUAUUUUAUUAUUGUACAUUUUAAAAGUUUAUUAUACCGCAAAGUAUACAUCUCAUUAUUUUUAAAUAAUUUAUCUUACUUGUAAUUUACAUUAUAUUUUCUAUCUUUGACUUUAAUAAUUGUAGAACAUGUCAUUUUAUUGAUCUUUCUUACUCAAUUUAUCACAAUGUUUUAAAAACACAUAAAACUAAUUAAUUCACAUUUAUAGUAACACAAAAAUACAAGCAUCUCGACAAAUAGAUAAAAUUAAAUACAUAAGAGUAUAAAAGAACCAAGAACACAACAAACAUAUUUUAUUAUCCUUCCCUCUUUUUUUUUUGAUUUAUGUCUUCUUUAUUUUCUUACUAUUCAAAACAAGCAUGGUAAUUUUAUUAUAAUCAAAGCUAUAUGAAUUAUAUUAAUUGAGUAAUAACUCUAGGAAAAACAUGUGUAGAAUACUAUGAUUAAUUUAAUUUUAAAUAACUUACUAUAUAAUAAUUUUAGAUAAAUUACCAUAUAAUAUAAUUUUAAGUAACCUACCAUAUAAUAAUUUUAGUUAAUAUGUUUAUAUUAAUGGAUGAAUUAAAUAACAUUUCUUGAUUAAUAUAAUUUUAAAUGACUUACCAUAAAUUUUUAUGUUUAAAAUAUAAAAAUAUUUUAAUCAUUUCAAAAAGUGAUAACUUAUCUAUGAUAUCACAUUGUCAUUGGAAAAUGAUGAGAUUUUUUAAAAAGUUAUAUAUUUGAAUGUUUUGCAUUCAUUUGAAACAUUUUAAAAUAUAUAUAUAAUUAAUUUAUUAGGUUUACAUUAAUUAGUUUACUAGAAUCUAUGAUUUAUUGUAUUCACUACUAAUAUAAAUAUAUUAAAAACCAUUUUUAUAAUUGUUUAUGUAGUAUCAUAUGUAUUUAAAUGUAUAUUAUCAAUUUAUAUAAUGUAAUCUAUGAUAUUUAAUUUUUCUAUAAAUAAAUUAUAUUAAUUCAUCUAUAUUUAAGAUGUUUAAUUGUAUGUUUGGAAACAUAUAUUAGAUUAGGUAAUUCUAGGAUUAGUUUCUUUUAAAGAAUUUAAUUAAAUAAAUUAAAAAUUAAAAAUCAUCAACCAAUCAAAUUAUAACAAUUAAUUGAAAAACUCUUUUAUGAGCGACACGUCAGCGGAAGUGAUUUUUCAAUUAAUAUAUAUGAUGAUUGUAUCUCAACACUUUUGAACAAAAGAAAUAUAUGGUUUCUGGACAAACCCGUUCCAUCAUUAUAAAUACAUCAUCUUCCUUCUAUUUCUCAGUCAUCUUAAGAUCUUUUUCUCUUCGAAUCUCUGAAGAAAUAAAAAUAAAAAGAAAACCAAAAAUGUUGCUUACAUUAUUAAAAUCUCUCCUCGUGAUAUUCAUGACCUCGAUACUGAGAGUUCUAUACGACACCAUAUCAUGCUACUGGCUAACACCUAGGCGAAUCAAGAAGAUCAUGGCAGGGCAAGGGGUAACCGGUCCUAAACCACGUCCACUAACCGGAAACAUCCUUGAAAUCUCGGCUAUGGUGUCGCAAUCCGUUUCUAAAGAUUGUGAUUCUGUUCACCAUGACAUCGUAGGCCGCCUUCUUCCGCAUUACGUCACCUGGUCCAAACAAUACGGUAUGCCCCAGAAUGUUAACACAAAAUUGUUUUUGGUUGUGUGGUAAACAUAGGUUUUGUUACAAAGUUGUUCUUAGAUAAAAACUGAAUUCUCUUUGCGAUAUCAAAAUGACGGAAAUAUCCUUUAGUAGGUUUGUUCUUGAUUAAUCGUUGAUAUAUUUUUUUUGUAAUGUUCUUGUAUAUUGUUUUGGUGAACCAGGGAAAAGAUUUAUAGUGUGGAACGGGACGGAUCCUCGGCUUUGCUUAACGGAAACAGAAUUGAUAAAAGAGUUGCUGAUGAAGCAUAACGGUGUAAGCGGAAGAUCGUGGCUACAGCAACAAGGGACCAAAAGUUUUAUUGGUCGUGGUCUCCUUAUGGCUAAUGGCCAAGAUUGGCACCACCAACGCCACCUUGCUGCGCCGGCAUUUAACGGGGAAAGGCUCAAGGCACGUAACAAAUUAAACCUCAUGCAAAAGUAACAUAGUGUUAAAUGACCAAAACACCCUUGUGAUAUAUGCAGGGCUACGCAAGGCACAUGGUUGAGUGUACGACUAGGCUAGUGGAGAGGCUGAGGAAAGAAGUUGGGAAAGGAGGAGGUGAGGUGGAGAUAGGGGAGGAGAUGCACCAGCUCACGGCGGAUAUUAUAUCGAGGACGGAGUUCGGAAGUAGCUUUGAGAAAGGCAAAGAGCUUUUCAACCACCUCACCGUCCUCCAACGCCGUUGCGCUCAAGCCACCCGCCACCUCUGUUUUCCCGGUAGCCGGUGAGUUUUCUUCCUCGACGAGUAAUAAAAAUGUCUAGAUUUUGAAAGUGAACGGCAAACGGUUUAUUAAUCUAUUAGUAUUACCAAAAACGUAUAUACCAUUAAAAUAAGCAAAAUAGUUAUAUAUAUAUAUUUUAAAUAAGCAAAAUAGUUAUAUUACAAAAUGGUACCAUUGUCUUUGAAAAUGAUUGAAGACAUUAUUUAAGUAAAAUAUAUUUAAUAAACAAGCAAAAUCUUUUUUUUUAAUUAUCUUAUAGCCAUAUAUAUAUUAUCUUAUAGCCACAUAUAUAUAUAUGUAUGUACACAUAUAUGGUAAACCUUUUUUGAAGUUGCUGAUAAAUUUUUUGUCUAGUCCCCCUCAUCUACUGUACCAUACGGUGCUUAUAGAUUUCGAAAAUUAGUGUGUGUUUUGGUGUGUCAUUGCCGGGUUUCAAGCAAUAUGUUUUUCUCUGUCUAGCACAAGCAUCACUCUUUACUCUGUAUCAUGUUUUCAAAUGUAUAUUGCUUUUUCGUAGACCUUAAGCACAGUUAAACGUUGACUUAACAUGAAAUAUUCGUAUCUAUCUAGGUUUCUUCCGAGCAAAUACAACAGAGAAAUAAAGUCUCUGAAAAAGGAAGUGGAACGUUUGUUGAUAGAGAUCAUACAAAGCAGGCGAGACUGUGCUGAGAUGGGCCGGAGCAGUACUCACGGCGAUGACCUUCUUGGCCUUCUCUUGAACGAAAUGGAUAGUCACAAGAACAAAAAUAACGAUAACAAUAAUCUUCAGUUGAUAAUGGAUGAAUGCAAGACGUUCUUCUUUGCUGGUCACGAAACUACCGCACUCCUUCUCACAUGGACAAUGAUGCUCCUUGCCGAUAACCCCACGUGGCAGGAAAAGGUUCGUGAUGAGAUUAGAGAGGUAUGUGGCUGCGACGGUCUUCCCUCGGUUGAUCAACUAUCCAAACUUACCUCGGUACGUACGUUCACCGUUAGACACAUGAUAUACCACUCAUAAGUUCUAAAAUCCUCUCUUACAAAGUUAUAGACUUUUGUUUAGAUUUAUCGAGUCAACACAUGAAUUAAGUUAUUCCUAGGUUUGAAUGGUAGCUAGCAUCGAACGUGACAUACUAGUGAGCCCCCGGUCUCGAUUGUUUUUGUUUACUAGUCACGAGUUCUAGUUCCUAGUAGCGCCAAUAAAAGGAAAAACACUGAUUCAUAAAACGAUUAAAUUCCUUAAAUUUAUCCAAAAAUAUUAUUUAUAUAGCGAUAUUUCCGAUUCAGAAAUAGAACGUUAAGUUAAAUUAGUUUCUAGUGACCACUUAUCUAUGUUUCAAAACUAAUCAUUUUCUAACACAUUGUUUAAUUAGAUUUCAAGGACUCGAAGGCCACUAACUAUAUAUAUAUAUAUAAAGAUGAUAUUUGUUGUUUGCUCCAAAUGAUAAAGUAUAAAACGAUAUCUUGUUUCAACUAAUUAUUAUAUUUGAAGUAGUAUAGAAUUACCUUUUUGAUGAAUGGGUGCGUGUGGGGUAUUAACAUUCAACACAGUAUAGGCAAUGCCACUAACUUCGUAGUGCAUCUUCCAUAACUAAGCUUAUAACAUAGGCAUCAAGUCGACACAAAUAACCCUAUUGACUAUCUUUUAAUUUCGUCUUCAUGCUUAUUAUCUUCAAUACUAAACUAAAACUCAAACAAUAGAAUGUCUAGGUUUGUUGAUUCUGAUGGUAUAUUUAUUUUGGAAUCAUCGGUUACAUGUUUAUACUAAGUACUUAAUUAAGAUCGUACUUCUUAGAAGUAGUUAUAAUAACUAGAUAUGAUUAACAUUAAUUAAAGCUAGAUUUGAAAUUCGUUAAGAUAGAGAGACUGGUACACAUUUUUUUCAGGAAUAAAUAAAUGGUUAAAUGAUACAUUUCAGUAGUUUAAUCAUUAGCACUAAGACAUGCUUUGCAUAAAAUAUUAUACAACAAAUCUAUCUAAAACAUGUAUUAACUAAUGAUUAGAUUUUGACAGCUUCAUUGAUACUCUUCUUUUCUUUCCAAAGGAAAAGUCAAUUCUCAAACUAAAAGAUGUUUGAGAAAGAGUCAAGAAGCACUUCGCAUGAUCGCAAGAUAUGAUUCUUAUAUAAAUUAAUAGAAUAUACUGCUAAUAUUUUGUCUUUUUCUUCUCUUUUAACAGUUAAACAAAGUGAUAAACGAGUCAUUAAGACUUUACCCUCCAGCUACUCUUCUACCAAGGAUGGCAUUUGAAGAUAUAAAACUAGGUGAUCUAAUAAUUCCCAAAGGUUUAUCAAUAUGGAUACCCGUCCUCGCAAUCCAUCACAGCGAAGAAUUAUGGGGUAAAGACGCAAAUGAAUUCAACCCUGAACGCUUUGGAGGCAAACCAUUUGCGCCUGGCCGCCACUUCAUCCCAUUUGCAGCUGGUCCUCGAAACUGCAUCGGACAAUCAUUUGCGAUGAUGGAAGCAAAAAUAAUAUUAGCAACGCUAAUUUCAAAGUUUAACUUCGCAAUAUCAAAGAACUAUAGACAUGCGCCAAUAGUUGUGCUUACUAUAAAACCUAAGUAUGGAGUUCAAGUGAUAUUGAAGCCAUUUGACUCAUGAAGCUUUAAGAUUAAAAGAGUCAUUUGAAAUGCUUUGAUCAUACACUUGGGAAAAUAUUUUGGGGGUUGUUAACUUUUGAGUAACAUGAGGGAUUUUGAUUUGAAUAAAUAUCGUACGAGUAUGAGAGAAAACUAUGUUAAAGCUUUAGCAAAAAAAAAAUUAUGUUAAUCUUUUCCUCAAAUUUAUUUUUUUAUUUUGUGUUUAUCCGUUUUACAAGCGACAUUGCUCAAAAGUGGACAAAAAUUACCUACAAACUGCAUAUUUGUUUUUUAUUUUUCUCAUGUGUUCAGAAUAUAACAUUUGUCUCUCAGAGCUCUCAAAAGAAAUUAUUUAGCAAACAUUUAAAAAUGAUUUACUGUAGAAAUUAAUAGGGAUAGCAUUCCAGCAUUAAAAAAAUUCGGUAAGCCAGACAUAUAGCAGACUAAGGUCGAAAAGGAGAUUUGGAACUGAUAUAUGUUAGAAUAUUACCGGUAAGUGGUAACGAACGCUUCUAUAUUUUGAUGUUUUUGUUUAUUCAGUAAAGACUAAUUAUACAAAUCUUAGUAAUAAAUUAUACACAGAAAGAGACACAAAAGGCUGCGACGGUUGUCUUUGUGUAAGGUCAUAUUAUGUUCUUUCAGACUGCAGAUUGUAUCGAUAACUUUUUGGCAUAUGGCCAAAAGCAAUCGUCCAUCGAUCACCUUUAUUUGCUUUAAAAGUGAAGUUUGAAUUGAAUAUUAAUAAAAGUCAUUAUGUUAUAUUGAGAUGGGUUUAAUCUAGAUAAGCCUUAAAAUAAUAAACAAACAUAAACAACAAAUAUAAUAAACAAAGAAACAAAAAGAAUGAUUAGGACAACGCGGCUUUAUAGUCUAGCGGUUAGGAAAUUUUAGUUUAAAUAAAACAAAAGACAAAAGAAUGAUUAGGGAUGGGGGAAAGAGAGUUCAUCUUUUAUUUUGUUGGUUAAGUUUGGUGGCGGCCAUUGCACUUACAAUGACUAAGGUUGAUUCUUGCUUCUUUAUCUUAGUUUUUUAUUGAUAUAAUGUGGUAGAAGUAACCCUUGAAAAUGAUUCAAAAUAACAAACAAAUUGCAACUUGUAGGUAUAUUUGUGCGUUAUGGGUUAUUUAGAUUGAUAGUCAAAUUUUUAUAUAUUAAAACAUAAGUCACAACUUUGAUUAUGUGAUUUUUUUUUAAAAUGGAUAUAUUCUUAGAAAGUCAUGUUUCAUUUAAUCUUUAAUCUUAUCAUUUAAAUUUUGGGUCUACCAUAAAUUUUUAAUGGGCUCUCAAUAAUUGAAUUUAAACAAUAAAUGAUCCAUUGGAUUUAUAAAUAAUAUAAAUUAAAUAGAUAUAAUUUAAUGUUGUAAUACUAUACCUCCACAUGUUAAUAAUUUAAAUAUUUGUCGAUGUUUACUUUUAAAAUUAUAAAGAUUUUUUUUAAAUAACAAAAAUCAUAUUAUCUAACAAUGAUUAAUCUUUACUACCUUAAACCAAUGAAAACGAAUUUUAAACUAUAUAGUUUAUUUUAAAAAUUAAACAAAAAGUAAAUGUUUAAUUAGUUACUCGAUAAUAUAAAUCUAUGAAGCGAAAAGUUUAAUUUUUUAAAAACUUUCUAAAUUUGUAAAAUGUUACAAUAUUUUUGAAUAUGACAAUAAAAAAAUAUUUUACUAAUCUUUAUAUAUAUAGUUACGAUUUUAAUAAUAAAAUAAUAAUCCGAAAAUAUAUAUAUAGAAAAAGAUACAAAUACAUGUGAAAGUUUGAAACAAUCUAUUCAGUGAAAAAAAUAUACCGUAAACUUAUUAUGUUUUAAAAAUUGAUAGACACAUAUAUAUUAUAAUAUAUACCAGUUUAGAAUUGAAAACAAAAUGUUUAUAUAAAAAUAAAUGAAAACAAAAAUCCGUGCGGUUGCGCGGAUCGAGAUCUAGUUUGGUUUAUAAUUGAAUAACUUAUUUGGUGAAAUUUAAAAUAAACAAUUUUCCUGUAAAAGCUCCUUUCGGUUAAUUAUAAUAAAAAGAACCUUAUUUAACCAAAUCAGAUGACUCGUACAUGAUUUUACAUCAGAGUUCGAUUUAAGAAAAUAUGAUUUCUGCAAAUUAGUAGAAGCAAGGUUUUUAAAAGAACAACAACACAAUUAGGAAAUUGGCUGAUAGCAACAGCAAGGGAGUCAAAAGAAACUUUGAGAUCACAUUGAUCAAUUUCUAAAGAGUUAUUCUUGGGUUCACCUCUAGGGUGAACCUUCACCAACCAAUAGAAAAUUGUCAUUUUAAAUCUAGUAUCUUUUAAUUAAGAAAACCAAAUAACUUGGCAAAUUAUAUUAUUUUUUCAAAAUAAAAUUUAAAAAUAAAUAAAAAUAAUAUAUAAAAAACGAAUUCAAAUAAGAAAAAAUGUUGUCAACAAAACACUAAACCCUAAACUAUAAUACUAAACUCAAAUCCUAAACCCUAAAUCUUUGGGUAAACUCUAAAUCUUUGGGUAAACCCCUAAACCCUUGGAAAAGCACUAAACAUGUUGUCAACAAAAUACUAAAUCCUAAACUCUAAUCCUAAACCCUAAACCCUUGGAAAAACCUUAAACCCUUGGGUAAACCCUAAACCCUUGGGUAAAUCCUAAACCCUUAGGUAAACCCUAAACCCUUGGAAAAACACUAAACAUUUGGAUAAAUUCUAAAUUAUAAAUCUUAAACACUAAACUCUAAAUUUUAAAAAUAAAUAUUUUUUUUUUAAAUAAUUUUUUUUAGAACUAUUGUUAUUUUUAUUUAUUUAAUUUUUUAUUUUUUAUUUUAAAAGCAUAAUAUAAUUUGGCAAGUUAUUUUGUUUCCUUAAUUAAAAGAUACUAGAUCUAAAAUGACAAUUUUCUAUUGGUAGGUGAACCUAAAGGUGCACCCUAGGAGUGAACCCAAGAAAAAGUCAUUUCUAAACUACGAUUAGGAUCCACGGAUUGAUUGACGGACAUUAUCUUGAUUCUUAUACUUUCUAUUAAUUUUUAAUUAAUAAAAUAUUAUUUUAUAACUAAGUUAAUUAUUUUUGCUAGCUGUUCAACGAAUCGUAUAUUUUUUCAGACUAUUUUGGUGUUCGAGAAAGAGGUGAAUCAAAUCCAUAUGCAUGAUUCAAUUCAGACGACACCAUGGGGGGAGGGGGAGGAGGAAUGGAACAUGAGUCCCAGGGGCGGACGUACGUUGAUGGGUAUGGGCCCCCGACUGAUUAUAUAAUUUUUGUGUUUAACGUUCGUGCUCUUUGGUCAAACAUCUCAGUUGUUUAAGUGUGCUCCGUUUCUAGCUUUUGUGUGAAAGGUUUGAUUUUCCUCGCCAGAAACUUUUAAUAUAACAUUUUGUUUCCUGCCAUAUUAGUUGCUCGCGGUCCCAUCAAAUGAAACGUAAUAUAUUAUCUCUGUGUGUUUAAUUUGUUUUGCAUGAUUUUUUCGCUUCUUGCUCUUUGAAACUAUUUCAUACUUUUAUUCAAUUAUUUUUAUACUAGAGUCGAUAGAGAAUAAAUUUUUAAAACAACCUAAGUAUUUUUUCAUGAACAAAAAGAUGAUUCACAAAAAUAAAAAAUAAUUAUACUUUAAAAUAAAUAUUUAAUUACUAUUUGGCUAAUAUAUAAUACUCCAUCCGUUUCACAAAGAUAUAUUUUCUAGUGUUUUUACACAUAUUAAAAAAACACAUUAAAUCACUGUAUUAAAUGUAUCGUUUUCUGUAAUUUUCAAGUUUCAAUAACUUUUAACCAAUAAUAAUUCAAUAACGUCAAUUAAUUUUAUUGAAGUUUACAAUUUUUUUUGUAGAAAACAUAAAACUUCUAUUUUUAUGAAACAAUUUUUUUUUCUAAAACAUCUAUUUUAAUGAAACAGAAAUAAUAUUAUCUAAAACAUUAAUAUUAAAUUACAUAACAUAUUUAUAAUAUUGUACCCCCAAUUAAAAGAAGGGGUUCUUCAAAAAAUGACUCAAAAUUUCAAGCCAAACACAAAAAUAAUCUAUGUUUUUUUGAAACUUUGUUUUGUCAUAUUCACCCUAGAAGUUCUAGUUAUUCACGAAAAUGCCAUUAUUUUUUUUUUUGAAAAUAACGCUUUUACUUUAUCAUCCUCAUCUUCACCAAAUAUUUACAACUUUGCCAUUGACAUCAAUACCUCAACCACCAUGAACUACCAAAUUGAGAGUGUUAAUGCCCUAAAGUUUCGAUUUUUUCUCAUCAUUUCUCAUUUCCUAUCCACACAAACCACAUAUCUUACACUUUCUCUCAAAAUUUAUCAAAAAAACUGAAGAUUUUGAUUACAAAUUAUGUGAGGUUCAUAAGCUCACGAUUCUUGGUGAUUAACGAGUAGGUAGCUGUUGUGGUUAAGUUCUGGGUGAUUGGAGAAACCACGCAAGUCAUCUCACGAGUUCAAGGAAUGAAAUCGCGAACUACAUUUUAUUUUUCAGAUCUGUUCGAUGAAGAAGGCUUCUUUAGAGUCUUCUUCAUCGAGAAGACUUCUAUAGAAGUCUUCUGGUCAAUGCAUAUGUUAGUUUUGCAAUUGACAUUUUGUGUGCUUUUAAUAGAAGACUUCCGUAGAAGUCUUCUAACUUUCUUUUGUAAACAAAAAAUUUCGAAAUUCCCAGAGAAGACUUCUUUAGAAUAAACAGGUUACUUUUAAAUUUGACCGAAGUUGGUCAGAAAUUUGACUUUUUGUAGUCUUCCUGGAGAAAACUUCUACAGAAGUCUUCUGAAAGUCUUCCCUAAGUCUUCUCAAUGCCGGAAGAUGUCUGUGUGGGUUACUUUUGCAAUUAAAAAAUAAUAGUAAAACAUUUAAUAUCAAUGAGAAGACUUCUAAAAUAACAGUCAUUUGACUAUGUAUGCGGGACUGACCGUUGGUGGCUUUGAAUCCCAUCCGCUCUGCGGCCUUUUUAUAUAUAUAACAAAUGUUCUUUUAGCAUUCUAUGAGUUUUAGUUUAUACUUCUGCCAAGUGUUGAGGGAAAGACACGAGUAGUCACUUCGUAUCUUAACUCUUAAUUUGUCGUUCCGUUCAUUUGCUCUUUUGAGGGUAUUCGAAAACGUUUCGGAGUUUUACGAAGUUUCGUGAGCGUUUUAGAUGUGGACGAUGAGACAUGUUUUAAGAUCUCGUAUCAGUUUCAAUAUCAUGUCUUGAGAUGUUAAUUAACCAGUAGGACUGGGUUUAGGGCAAGACCUAGGUUUACUUUCGGCUCUAAGGCUAUGCGACGACUAAUCAGCUUUCAUUUUGCCCGUUGGCGAUUUCUACAUGAUUCUUUCCGAUUAAAGUCUGCGACUGGGCGCCGGCUUAUAUGACUUGUGUGGGAAGAAUCGAGCACUUUCCAGAGAACAUCUUGUGUGCUGACCAAAAUUUCAGAUUUUCUUGUAUAGCGCGCUAUGGUAUCCUUGCCGGAUGUAAGAGAACCUUUAGUUUUUAUAAAAGGUUUGACUAGUUCUUUUUUAGAGAACGUGUUGGACUUGUCCGUCGGGGCCAGUCGACGGGCAUUUUAUAUUUUAGAGUCACAGAUGGACUGUGUAUUUGGAUAAUAUCUUUCGAGAAAUAUUUGCGACGUCUCGCUUUUUCGAAGAUAUGUCUUUUGCUGUGAGAUGGCUACGAUCCUCGUUUUUAUAGAAGAUGCAUUUUUCCGGUCUUGCUUGACCAUGAGUAUGUGUGAAUUAUGUAGGAAUUAGUUUUCGUCCAAGGACUGCUUGGACGGUAUGCCCUUAUCUUGAGCGUUUCUUAGGCCAACCUUAGAUUACUGUGACUUAUUGCUUGUGAAUCGUGAGAUUGGAAGAAGUUAGAAUUUAUUGAAAAAGUUUCAAAAAUAUCGAGUACAUUCAUGGAUAUUUCGGAUUUUGUGGGAGUAUACGAGUAUACGAGUAUACGUACCCACCCCCCUUCUUUAACGAGGGGGAUAGCUGAACUUGUCGAUAUGACAAGCUGCCUACGUACCUCUUUCGAGGAUCAAACCAUCUCGUAAUUCUGCUUGUUGUUGUGGGUGUUCCUACUCGCUAGAUGGGAUCGUUCCGGUUACUUCAACCGUUGGGGCUUCAGUUGGAUCGACGAUCGUUUCAGGAGUUUGGAUUCUACUGGCAAGGCGAUGGACUUGGGGACUAUGUCGCUAUCUGGAGUCAUUGCCUGGUCGGGUGAUUCUGGAUCACUUUUUAUGGGGCCUCGGAAGCGUUUUGUGCUUUCUUAGCCCGCUUCGGGUUGACCGCUGGGGUGUUCCGAGUUUGUUGCAGGUUAUGCUCGGCCAAGAAGCAGAGCCUAGACUGUUUCUUGCAUCCCCAGAUUACCGCUGUUCCGUUUGGAGUUAGGAACUUGAUGCCAAGGUGGUAAGUCGACGGUACCGCUUUCAUGGCAUUGAUCCAAGGAGUUCCCAUGAUGACAUUGUAGAUGGCCGGGUUAUCGACUACCGCAAAGUCAACGAUUUUCGUCACCUCUUUAUCCAUCACUAGGAGUUUGAUUUAUCCGAGGGUCAUUGACGUUGCACCUGAGAAACCGGUAAGAGGUUUUGGUUAUGGGACGACUUCUUCGAGUUCAAUGUUCAUCCUCCGGAGGAUAUCGCGGAAGAUGACGUUGACUGUGCUUCCCGUGUCGAUAAGGAUCCUUCCCACUUCCAGGUCUCGGAUUACCAGAUCGAUAACCAAUGGGUUGCAGUGAGGUUUGUCGAUUCUGAUAGUUUCCCGCUCUUCGUAGACGACCGUAUCUUUAGGGACGUUGUCGGUUGGGGACCGAGCCAAGCAGCUUGAACUUGUCUCAGCCUUCCGUCCAUAAGCUUUGAUCGACGAUAUCGAAUCGCGAUAGAAUUGCGAUCCCCCGAUGAUCAUGCUCAGCCUUCCGUUUUUCUCGGAUGGACGUCGGCACCUCCGUUCGAGUGAUCGGACUGGUUGCUUAUGUCCAGAUCAAUCCGCUCGAUAUCGCCUCCUUCGUUGCUCCCGGCGGGAGAUGGAAGGUUCUCCGCGGUCGGUUGCGCGCCUGGCGGGACUGUUUCGUCAGGGUUCUGACCUGAAGAAUCCUUGUCUGCCCGUGUGGCCCGAUCGCUCGGAGUCUCGAAAUCGAGUCUUCCGCCGCUGCGGUAUCUUGUGGCCCUGCGCGGGUUUUUACUCUUGGCCUGCGCCGUUAAGGUUUCCACCUAUUUUUCGAGAGAGGCCACGAGCUUUCCUUGUUCGUCCGACUUUUUCUGAGCGGAGGGGAACAUUUCUUUCAUCUGGUCCAGUAUCACGGCGUUCGUAGUGACCGUGGAUACGUUUCCAGCUAGAGUUCUGAAAGCGUUGGCAUUGACGGAAGUCCCGUCGUGCGUUUGCUUGUCUUUGUCAGCGUUAGUCGUCAUACCUGAGUGAGCGUGCGCGGUUGCGUGAGAGAUAGAUCCGUACCCCCCGCAUUCUAGCGCCAAACUGUGGAAACCGGAAUUCACACCGUCGAAAUUUGUUAAUCGGAGGAAACCCAAGCUAACCUAGCCAUCCCUGAAGGUCCAGGUUAUCUGCUGGGCCACGCACAACACAAUCAAUAUGAAAGAGUAUAAAGUAAUAAAUCGUAAAAGAGCGAAAAGAUAACAAAUAGGUCUUAUUUCUAAAUUCGCGUUUGAGCGUGAACAACAGGUAAGAUCCUAGGCCACGAGAGCUGUCGGUACGUUCGCUAGUCUAGCCACCUAAGUUCUAACCUAGUCGAGUCGCAGCUCGAUAAUAAAAAACGGAAAAUGCCUAAAUUGCUCUAAGUAUUAAGUUUGCUCUGAGAAAGCUCCCUCUUGCUCCUCGCCUUAAGCCCUCCUUAUAUACUCUCUUUAGAUCGGUUUGCACCUUUUCCUGGGCCGGAUUCGUCGCGAGAUGGACUUUUCCAUUUUUCGUCACCCUUCAUGAUUAUCUUCGGAAACUUGACAUUUAUCUUUUCCCGCGAAUAAAAAAUAGACCUUCAUAUCAGGUUUGGGCUCAAUCCCGUUAUAAAAUCGUAAGUGGGCCGUUUAUCCGCGGUUCAGGCCGCUUUUGGGCCGUUUUUGGACUUAGACAUUUUUACGAUUUUUCCUAAGAAACAACCGUUGGUUUUUCUGAAAGGAUUCCAAUUCCCCGUAUAGUUAAGGCAACUGGUGUUCAAGCUAACCAUAGCCGUUUUAUACGGCAGGCAGGAAUCUGUUUCGACGACCAAGUUUUUUAUAACUUUUCCCGAAGUCUUUCUUUGAUAAUCCUAAGCGAGACGAGACAUUGGUAUUGCGUCCAAGGGCCCGAGGAUUGUGUUACGGGAACUUAGACGAGGAUGCACGGUUUCGGAACAGGAGGUCGGUCCUCGCCCAUGGGCGAGGUGACCUCAGCGCGGAUCGUCCUCGCCCAUGGGCGAGGUGACCGCGGUGCGGGUCGUCCUCGCCCAUGGAUGAGGUGACCUCGGUGCGGGUCGUGCUGAGAAGGUCCUCGCCCUAGGGCGAGGUUGUCGGUCCGUGCUUACGAUUGAGACCUCAUCCAGACUGAUCCUCUUCUCGACGUUCCUCGGUUCGCAUCCGCGAAAAACUGUCUUUUACUUGAUUAACCGUUUUCCGGGAAUGUCUAAUUUUCAAGGAUCGAUCGAGAGUUGGUUUUUCGGGAACUUUCAUUGAUUCCGCCGUGACCGGUUUUGACCCCAACAAAGACUUCUUUUUAAGUCUUCUGUGAGUCUUCCAGACCCAAAAAUCAAUUAACUAUGCAAAAAAUAUUUUCUUAAACUUAAAAAAAAAACUUAGAAAGUGUUUAAAUCAAGUUAUUAAAUAGUUACUAAACAUAUGUGGGUCAAUUUGAAAAAGAAAAAAAAUGAAGGUAAGAUUUCAGAAUUUAAUCCUUAAGAUACAUACAAUACUAUAGCAUAUGUUACCAAACCUUAAACCAAUGACUCAUGAGCCAAUAUACAUUCACUCAUCUAUGUUGAAAAUAAUUCAAUUUCAGAUGAACUAAAUUUACAUCAUUGAGAAAUGUUUAUUAUUACAUUAUUUCAAUUUUUAACCCAUGAAAAUAUUUUUUUAUAAAAUUUUUAAAUUAUUUUUAAGAUCUAAUCCAUAAGAAAACUUUCUCUGGAAGAUUUCUGAAAGACUUAUGGAAGACUCCUGGAAGACUUAUGGAAGACUUUGAUUUAGACGGGAAACCUAAAUUCUUCCAAAAUUUAGGCGGGAACCAUAAAUUCUACUAAAAUUUAGGCGGGAUGUGUCUGAAGACUUCUUUUUAAGUCUUAUGUGAGUCUUUGAGGCCCUAAAAUCAAUUAACUAUGCAAAAAACACUUUCUUAAACUUAAAAAAAAAAACUUAGAAAGUGUUUAAAUCAAAUUAUUAAAUAGUUACUAAACAUAUAUGGGUCAAUUUGAAAAAAAAAAUGAAGGUAAGAUUUCAGAAUCUAACCCUAAAGAUACAUACAAUACUAUAACAUAUGUUACCAAACCCUAAACAAUUGACUCAUGAGCCAAUAUACAUUCACUCAUCUAUGUUGAAAAUAAUUCAAUUUCAGAUGAACUAAAUUGACAUCAUUGAAAAAUGUUUAUUAUUACAUGAUUUCAAUUUUUUACCCAUCAAAAUAUUUUUUAUAAAAUUAUAAAAUUAUUUUUAAGAUCUACUGAACGAAAAGACUUACAAAGAAGUCGUCAUUGAGAAGAAUUACAAAGAAGUCUUCUCCAACGGAGGGUUAUAAUGGUAAAAUUGAAAACAUGUUUUUUGUUUGUUCAUAAGGGAGCUAUUGUAAUUUCACUAGGUUUUUGGGUUACUUUUGCAUUUGAUUGAAUUUGAGGUACAUUUUUGUAUUCACUUUUGGCAAAUUCUCUUUAAAACAAUUUCUAGAUCCGCCGCUGAACUCGACUCCAUAUUGGGGUGGAAACACUCCACUUCUGGUGGGAAACACUCAACUUCUUAGCCUUCUGCAGUAGAGUUAUUGAUUGAACGAAUGUUUAGGGUAUCUCCGCCAAUCUGAAACAGUGCGCUACCCUUGUAUGCUUACAUCCUUGUCUCCGACCAAAAAUUUUAGGGUGAGUGUUGCCAUCAAACAGCCCACUUAUUAAUCUUUCUUAUAAAUUGAAAGGAUGUUAUAAUUUCGUCUGGUCAAAUGCGAAUAGUGCUGCGCAAAUUUUCUAUUACGCAAUAUAUUCCGAUGCAAGUUCGUUAGACAUUAUUUGAAAAGUAAUUUGCCACAUGUGUUUUGUACAUUCACUUUUACAAAAAAAUAUGACAUAACUACUUAAACUGAUGACAUAGAUUAUGGCUAAAUAUAACAUGAUCAAUUACAUUUAAUGUUGAUCUAUAUUUUUGGUAAACUCUUUAGAAUAUAGUAAUAGCACAUACAUUAUAUUUAAUGUUGAUUUAUAGUUUUGGUAAACUUCUUAGAAAAUGAUAAUAAUUCAUACAUCAUCACUAAAAUAAAUAUAUUGAGAUAUGACAUUACAAAUUUUAAAAUAUUAUUUAAUUUUGUUUUUUAUAAUUAUACAAUUUUUAUUACUAACAUUUUCAAAAAUUUCUACAAUUUUUAAAGAAUUUUUAAGUUUUAAUCGUAAUAUCAUUUGUCUCUUUUAUAUAUCUACAAAUUUUAUAAAUACUUUUUAAUUUUAAUCUUUUAAUAAUCAUACAAAUUUUAUAUCAUUUUUUAUUAAUUUUAUACAAAUUUAUUUAAUAUAUUUAACCAAAAGAAAUAGAUUAAAAAUCUAUCUUAAAUUAUAAUUUAAAAAAAUAUGUAUUUUUUUAUUUUUAAUUAAAUCAAAUUUAUAUUAAAAUAUUGGUAAGCAAAUAAUAAAAUUUGCAAUAUUAAUUAAAAAUAUAGUUUAAAUUAAAAAAAUAUAUAUUAUUGCACAUGGUGCAGAAACACCUAGUACAUUGUUAGACUUCAAGAGAUUCGGUAAAACGAUCUCAUUUAAUUAUUUACUAAACCCUGAUCCGCGCGCCAGCGUGGAUAUGAAUUUUCAGUUUUUAAUUAUUUAUUUUAUUAAAUAAUGUAUUUGUAAUAUUCGUUCAUAUUAUAUUCAUUAAGUAAAUUUUUUUUUUUGCAUCUUAAACUAUCUAUUUUUUUACGAAUGUGUGAUAUCAUAUAAAAAUAAAAAAUGAGUAUAGAGUUAAUUAGAUAAUUUUAAAACAUAAUUUUUUCUUUCGUGUGCGAUAUCAUAUAAAUAAUGAUCCGUCCAGUUAACAAAAAUCAUGAUUAUUUUAAGUGUAAUUUUUUUCAUCCUUUCUCAUUUCCUAUCCACACAAACCACAUAUCUUACACUUUCUCUCAAAAUUUAUCAAAAAAACUGAAGAUUUUGAUUACAAAUUAUGUGAUAAAAAAUAUAAAUAAAAAUUAUAAAUUUAGCAAAUGACAACUGAAUUAUAUUAUGCUAAAAUUUUAUUUCUAACAAUUUAUCAAAUGACAUGACCCUGAUCCGCGCGACAUUCUUUAUGGCAUGUACUCAAUCCUUAAUCAAUUUAUCAUUUAAUUCUUUAUGGCAUGUACUCAAUCCAAUUACUUGUCGUUGUCGAGUGGGAAUGUUAUUUCAAUAGGGGUAUAAUCUUAAAAUACGCUACAUGAUAGACUAUCUAGAAUUUUUUUAAUGUAUAUAUGACAUGCACACGCGUGUUCAUCUAAACUGAAUAGUGAUACUGUGUCUUGUUUGACGAAGUUAAGCAAAGAUCCCCACUAUCAAAAGAGAAAAUCUUUGUGAUCAUAGAAGAUUUGGUGAAAAUAUCAAAAUACUAUUAUUAUUUCUAUACCUUUUUUUUUUUUGCUUAAAAUUAUUUUUCUAUACUUGAUAUGAGAAGUAUCCAAGUUUAGAAAAAAUAGCUAAGCAUAUAAUCGCAGUAUAGCUUAGUAGUUUGUAUAUCUGAACAAGGUAUAUAUUUUUUGUACGCACGGAUUGUGUAUAUUAAUGUUGAUUUUUGAAUGAUUUUUAGAAGAUACGUUAUACAUGACUUAAAGAAAUUCAGAUACCAAACACAAUAAAAAUGUUUUAAUAAGUGAUAUUAUGUAUUAAAUAAAAUAGAAUUAAUAAGCAAAUGGACGUCGAUAAUAUUUAUGCAGACAAAGUAGCAGUUGAUAUGAUAAAGAAGAUGAUGAAAUCAAAUCUAUUGAAAAGUAUAUAUAAAUAAAUGAUUGGCCAAAUAAAAAAAAAAAUAAUACACAAAAUAUCUUAAAAGUAUUCGGACCACUAGUUUAUAUACUAAAAAUGUAAACAACUAGGAUAGAAAUGGAUCGUUGCACCAACGGAAAAUCAAUAUAAAAUUGAUUAUGAAGAGACAUAGUCUCAUGUGCUAGAUGCAACCAUUUUCAAGUUCCUUGUCAAUCUGGCAAUAAAAGAAGAAUUUGAAUUAUACGAUCCACUGAAAAAUGAUAAUCUCUGAAAGAUAAAAUCCAUGAAGGAUUGAUGAUAUCAAAACUAUAUUUUAAGGAACUUUAGCAAUUCAGUCAAAUUUAAACAAAUUCGCUUUCAAGAGAUAUAUUAAGAGUAUUAUAUAUUUUGUAUUUCUUUGGUAUAGAAGUACCACACCUAAAGUGUUAUUUGAAUAAGUUACUAAUCUUUUAUGUGACCGAAAAAUGUGAUUUCAUAUGACAAUAAAGAAAUACAUAACAGAGUGUUCUGUCGGCUGUGCCCUCCUACUCUAUGUCCUACUUUAAACUUCCGGUUUCGUUGUGCAAGCGUAUUCAGACAGUAAUUACCAGAUACUGGUGGGACAAUACCGAAGGCGUGAAGAAGAUGGCGUGGAUCUCGUGGGAUAGAAUGGCGAAACCGAAGUCGGUAGGAGGACUUGGUAUGAGAGACUUUCUCAAGUUCAAUAAAGCCCUGUUAGCCAAGAUAAGCUGGAGGCUUCUCGAUAAGCCUGAUUGCCUUCUGGGGAAGAUCCUCAAGGGCAAGUACUUCCCGGAAAGUCACAUCCUGCUCGUGGAGGAGGCUUCCUCGAUAUCACAUGGAUGGCGGAGUAUACUUAUAGGUCGCAACUUGCUCUUAAAGAAUCUAGGCUGGGCAGUUGGAGAUGGUCUCUCUAUUAAUAUCUGGCAGGACCCCUGGCUCAGCAUGAGCAAACAAGAACGGCCGAUGGGUCCUCCUACGGAGCAAAGCGCUGAGCUAAGGGUGGCUGACUUGAUGAUCGCAGACACAAGGCAAUGGGACAAGGCCAAAAUCCGCCGUUUGCUCCCAGACUAUGAGGAAAGAAUCCUCUGCUUAAGGUCGAGCAUCUCUGGGGCUCCAGAUAAGCUGUUUUGGCUAGGUACUAAAUCAGGAGACUAUACUUCCAAAUCAGGGUAUUUUGCUGCCAUUGAUGGUGAGGAGGCAAUAUAAGAACUGGAAGCAAAUUUCAACUGGAAGAAACAUGUUUGAAACCUACAAUGUGCCCCAAAAGUGAAACAAUUUUCGUGGAGAUUACUCAAGCGAGCAAUACCUGUAGGAGAACGUCUGGUGGAGAGGCAUAUUGAUGCUGACCCAAAAUGCAAGCGCUGUGGUGAAAACGAAUCUAUCACUCAUCUAUUGUUCCAUUGUCAGUUCGCCCACAAGAUUUGGUUCCUAGCUCCUUUGGCUACUGAUGUGGAUCCUAGAGGAAUAAUAGAUUUAAUGGCCACAUGGCCCACACUCUGUUCCUUAACAUGUCUGCCACCGUCUGGUGUAACUAAUGGUACUCUUGUCCCCUGGAUCCUAUGGACAAUACGGAAAGCACGAAACAAACUCAUAUUUGAAGGUUUCUCCGCAUCUCCUGAAGAGACUCUUUCAUCAGCCAUUGGACUAGCCCGCGAAUGGGCUACUUCCUGCAAAACAGAGCCGCUUAAUCUUCCUGGAAGGAGCCACCAGAGACCUACAGCGCCGGAUGGUGCAGUGAUAGUACAGACCGAUGCGGCUUGGAGCGCAAUUAAUAAUGUCGCAGGUUUAGGUUGGGCAAUUGUGGCACCUGCCCCAACGCAAGCUUUCCAGGAACGGGUAGAGUUCGUCAACUCACCUUUAAUGGCAGAGGGCUUAGCCAUGAGAGAAGCGGUUUUUACCUGUCGCAGGUUGGAGCUCAAAGUCUUGCGGGUUGAAUCGGAUUCAGCCCAGCUGGUCAAGUGUGUCACCUCCUCUUUCCAAGUAGCAGAGCUCCAUAGUGUGGUGUCUGAUAUAUUAUAUGUGGUUGAUAUAUUAUAUGUGGUUGAUGAGUUUGAAUCUAUCUCUUUUGCUUGGAAUCCCUAGAGAGAAAAAUAAGUUUGUUGAUGGUCUGGCAAAGAAUGCCUUGUCUGUACUAGAACCAGUGGUAGUUGAGGAUGCUUUUACUGCUCCUAACUAACCUCCUAUCUUUUAAUUAAAUGGGUGUUUCAAAAAACAUAACAAUAACUUUUAUGAAAAACUCAUAUGUAGAUUUUUUAGACGUUUGUAUGUAAAAAUGUUUGGCUUGAAGUCCAAAUAGACCAAGAAACUAUUAUCUAUAUUAAAAAAAGAAUUCUGGACCAGAAUAAAAAUUCUAUAUAUUAUAAUAGAAAUCAAACUAGUUUAUUCUACUAAGCUCAAUUUCGUAAAAUGGUAUAUCUGAAGGGAAUGCAUAUCUUGAAGAUACUGCUUGGAAGAGAAAAAAUAUAAUAAUGUGUAUAGUUGUACUCUUUUUCUUUAUCAUAAUUUUUAUCCCAUUGAAAUUUUCUAAGACAACGUUUUAACGAAGCAACAUAGAACACACAAACGAUAGACACCCCAGAUAAAUAUUAUAUUUCAAAGAAAAAGUGUCUAUCACCAAUCUAAAGUCUUUGAAAUCAAGAGAAUCAGAGAAAAUGAUCAAGUUAUAGGAGGAUCCAUGCAGUGCAGAAGAAUGACGAAAUUUGUGUCGUACAAGUUGUUCAAGUGACAGCUUAGCUGACUUAUUCAAGAUGACGUUACCCACUGCUACGUCGAAGAAGCUAAUUUAUCUUACUGGAAUAUAUUAUCUCAAAGAUCUCUACGCCUGUACAUAUGUACGCGUUCCACUCUUUUUUCCUUAACCAUGAUUUUUUAUUGGUUUUUUUGGUAAAAUUUUUCACGAGGCAACAUCUAGACGUUUUGAAAGCACUUUGGUAUAAUGGACAUCAAGGAAAGAUGUUAUGAACAUUGUGGUGAUGUACAUUAUGGAAAGUUGCAGAUAUACUUAUUUCCCAAACUUUACUUAUUCUUAAAGUUAUACUUUAUCUCCAAACUAUUGUAUUCUUAUAUAAAAACUCAUUAUUUAUGAAUAAUAUGCACCAAUUCCUCUCUCCUCUUUUUGCUUACAACAAUUUUAGACCUACUACAUUUUUUUUGUUUGCAAAAUACUAUUUUUCGUUGGUGUGAAAUAUAUGUUUUAUUCAACUAAGACUCAGUUCUGUUCGUUUGGUUUGUUUAAACCUACUACACUUUCCUAUACUAUAUGUUCUAGUUACACACCAAUUUGAUUUAUAGAACUUUAAGAAAAAAUAUACAAAACUCUAUACUAUCUGACCAUAAACAAAUAAAUAUUGGAUGUAAUUGUAAUCUUGUAUCAUUGCGAUACAAAGCAUACUAUUUUUAUAGUUACCGAUGACAGAGAAGCACAAAAAGCAUUACCAAAAAACGUUAUAUACAGUAUACUAGGUGAUAACCCGCGCCCUGCGCGGAGUAAAUAGAUUUCAAAAUAUUAUCACUUUUAAUUUGUAGACAUAAUAAAAGUUAAAGUUAUAGCAAGAAAUACUAUAUGUUAUAAAGUAAGGGUUAGACGAAAUUUAGUAUGUCAAUCUAAAUUAAGCUGCGGAAUUUUUGUUUAAAAAUUGUAUAUUUGUUUGCAUAAAAUAAAUUAUAAAUAUAAAAUAAAACAAAACAUAAGCAAUAGACAAAUAAAAUAUAAAAGAAACAAUGUCUUGAAUGGUUUCAAAUCGGAAAUAGAGUUAAAGCCAUCCAUUUGAUUGCUUGAGAGAAUGUUUUGAUAUGAGCAAAGUCGAGAAGAAAGGUGUGGUGAGUUUUCUGAAUUAUAGAAGCCGUAUAUUUAUACUAAAAAGGAAUCGCCAUGUGGUCAUAUGGAUUCAAAAUAAUGGCUGUAACUAAAUCGAAUAUUACACAUAACUUGCGUUCCAAUCUUAGUCGAGAAUUAAUUUAAUAUUGUAAAUAGUUAAUGCAAACUUCCUUUUAUCAAUCGCAAUUGAACAAAUUCAAGAAAGUUCACGAUUAUUAAUUGAUUACAAUAAUUUGAACCUUAAUCUACGUUCCUUAUAUACAAAAGUCAAGUCCUCGCAAAUCACGUAUUAUUACCAUCAAUUUACCAAAUUUGUAAUUUAAAAAUAUAUCAAAGUUAUUAGAAGUUUCCUUUUUCCCAAUCAUCAAUCAAUUUCGUCCUUGCAAAUCACGUUUGAAUCAUGGGCAAUUUGCUCCGCCUUUAUUUGCAUUAUGCAAGCUGGCGUUAAAAUCUUAAUUACGAUAGAUCACCUAAGGUAAGUUUUUAUAAUUGUAUGCCAGAAAAUUGUAUUGUACCUUAGUUUCUACAAUCGCAAGGCGGAGAUCAUCUAACAAUUUAAUGAAACGGGGCAAGUAUAUACCAUAUGCAUGGUUCUUCUGUUUCACUAUUUUAAGAAAACAAAGUUUUCCUCUUGAUAUAUUUUUAAGAGAACAAAUAUUUUUUCGCAUUUUUAAGAAAAUCAAUCACUUGAGUACGUAUUGAUCAUCAAAUACUUUUUAUGAUUUUUCAGAAAACAAACUUUGAUUGAUAAUCGCACAUUAACUUUUUCGCAUCUAUAUUCAUUUUGAAUAAAAAAUUAGACCACUACGUAUGUCAGUAAUGUUUUUGUAUUGAAACAGAUUAAUGAAAAAACUUCAGUCAAGGUAAUUAACAUAAUUUUAAAAUCUUUGAUGUAAUACGUAGAACUUCGGUUAAGGUAACUAACGCAAGAAAUAAAUGAUAAGGUUUGAUGUAAUACGUAUCAACGUAUAUAUGUGACAAAUGUAGACAAAACUAAGGUAAUUAUAAUAUUUUGAUUAAUGGCAUGAUGUGUAAUUACUCUAGUUAACAAUGGGGUUUUAAAUAGAAUAGGUGAGGGAGCUUGUGGAGUUGCCACGUAAGAAAUGACACACUUGUAAUAAACACAUGAACUAAAGGUUAUUUAUUUUUAAUGCUCCUCAAAUAAUAAAAAAGGAUAUCUAAAAUUAAUAAUUUUGGGACUGUAAAUAUUUAUUAAUUUGCUAAAUUUUUAGUUUAAAGAACUUUUUUAGAUUUAUUUUAUAAAAUAUUACAAGAAGAAAAAUUGAAUCGGUGAAAUCAUAUACUAAUUAAAUUUUAUAAUUUCGUGUCUUUUAUAAAAUUAUUUAAAAAAAUUUAAGUAUCGAAGUUACAUAUCCUAGAAUAUAAAUACAAUUUAUGUAAUUCUAUAAAAUAAUCCUAAAAUAUUAAAAUGUACAAAAAUCAUAGAUGAAUUUUAUUUUUAAAAACAAACAAUACAACGUCCCCAUGUAUUUACAAUACAAAUUUGUACAAGAACAAUUUUAAUUUAUUAUUUUAAUAGAACCAUAUAUUUAUUUUAUAUUUUUUAAAUUUAUUAUUUUUUGGAUUAUGUCAUAUUAUAUAUUACUAACACCACUGUGGCCUCCUCCCCUCUCUCUCUUUAAAUUCUACUUGUCAUUGUUCUUUUUCAGUUUGUUUGCUUUGUCCUGAUCUAUUUUAUUUCCUUAUUUCAACAUAAAAGCCAGUUAAAAAAAUAUUUUAUAUUAGUUCAACUUAGAAUUAAUUUAUCAUGAAAGUCAUUUAAAAUCUAUUAAUUUAUUAUGUUUAUUAAUUUAUCGAGUAUUAAUUUAUAGAAUAUUUACUACAUCUAUUUAGUUGUUUUUAUGUGGUUUUAAGUUGCCAAUCAGAGACUCGCUAUAUUCUUUUGUUUAUAUUCUUCUUUUCGGUAUUGACAGAGGCUAGGCUCAGAUUUAUUAUCAUGGAUCCGAGAUUCGCUGUAGAUGCGCUCUGAAAAUAAGAUAUCCGGGGUCCGGAUCCAGAUCCGGAUAAUAAAAUCUCAGAUCUGUUAAACCGAUCUGCAUUCGGAUAUCCGGAUCCGUAUCCGUAUUUUACAAAAAUAUUAAAUUUUUAAUUUUAUUAAUAAUUACGAUUGAUAUAUUGAUACAUAUACAUAAAAUUAGUUUUAUAAUGUUAUAUUUUAAUUUAGCAUUUUAAAAAAUAUUUUUUAUUUAAUUAUUUAAUUAUUUUACGGUUCUGUAUUCAGCAAAUACUUUAACAUCUAGACGGAUAUCUGAUAUCCAUAUAUCCGGAAUCUACGAAUCCGAAUACGAUUCCGAAAACAAAUAUUAGAUCUACGGAUCUGGAUACUUCAAUUUUCCUAGAUAUCCAUAAUUGUCCCACCAAUAACAUAAGCGGACUCAAGUUAUAUGGAGAGGUGUUAGCUGGCACUGUAUUAGAACCUUCGUCUCUUUCUUUGUUUAAUUAGUUUUCGAAUUAACCAAAUCUUCCUUGUUUGUUGAGAGAACUUUUCUUUUUAUAAUUUAUGCACGAGUCUUCUCGAUCAAAUUUAAUUAUUUAUCUCUUAAAAAAUUUCUUUAAAAGAAUUAAGAGUAGUCAAGAUUGUCUAAUUUUGUUUGAUUUAACUCUAAUUCAAUAGAUUUGGAGCUAUCUAUGUUGGGACAAUGUUGUGUUCUAAAAAAUAGGUAGUUGUUGAUCUUUCAAACUUCUUUAAACAGUACCUGCAAUUUAAAAGAGAGAUCAAACUGUCUAUUUUCUUACAGUUCCCAGACAAAUGUUUUAUUCACUAAUUUAAUUCAAUUUUUUUUAGUUUACUGUAUUUUAAAAUACAAUUGACUUAACAAACAAGAAUAUUUACAUAUAUAUAAUUUUAAAAAUUUUAUAUUAUUUAUUUAUUAUUAGUUCUCGUAAAAUAGUAUUUCCUCUGUAUCACUUUAAGUGGUUUUUAAGGUUUCUGCACAUAGAUUAAGAAAACACAAAAUUCUAUAUAAUUUAUCUUGAUUACAUAAAAAUAUUAUUAAAUGAAACUAAUUCAACCAAUAAGAAAAAAUUUCAGUAUUUUGUAAUUGGUCAUAAAUUUCAAAUGAUAUUAAAUUUUACCUAGAAUAAAGAAAACAUCAAAAUUUUGAAACAAAAUUUUUUUCUCUAAACACCAUUAAAGUGAUACGGAGGGAGUAUAAACUUUUGUUAUGUUAUAUUUUUUACAAAAAUAAAAAAUAUAAAAAUCAUUUAAAGAUUAAAAAUUAUCUUUUGCAUUAACGAAGUGCAGAGAAUGCAUUUGGGAAAUUGCAAUAGAGCUCUCAUUUUAUGGGAUCUCACUGUUAAAACUAUUAUUUAUUAUAUAUAUAUAUUAAUGUAAUUACAUAUAUAAAUAAUAAAUGUAAAAUAAAAAUUUAAAAGAAAGAUAAGAACAUUUAUUUCAUAAAAAUAUAUAAAAUAGAUUUUGUGUUAUUAAUUUAGAUAUGAAUAAAUGUAAUAAUAAAAUUUUAAUAAAAAUACAUUAUUUUUGUUAUGUCAAUAAAACUCACAAUUUUGAUUUUUUAUUUCAAAUAAACAAUCAAAUUAAUUUUCUAAAAGAACUAAUACUAUUCCAAGAUCUACUGAAAAUUCAUUGCAAUCUGAGCUGCUUGUUAAAGAUCUAUUUAUUUCAAGAACAACCUCUUAGGACAUUAAUAAACUGUGGAAUUUGAUCCAUGAAGAAGAUGUUGGGAGGAUAUUAUCCAUUCCGCUAAGUAUGACGGGGAGUCCAAACUUUAUAUGCAGUGGACUUAUAGCAAAUCAAAAACAUAUACAGCUAAAUCCAUAUAUAACUUGAAAAGAAAGCUGGACAACAUAUCACCACACAAGCAAAUCAGGUUAUCCCUCUUCUCAUCUAAAUGACCUGAAAUAAAUAAUCCACCUCAACUAAAGAUAUUCUGGUGGAAAGUCUUUUAAGAAGAAUUUUUAAUAAAUGGGGACUGUCAAAUAUGUGGAGAAGCAAUAGAAAGGCUAACACAUAUGCUGGUGGAUUGUUGAAUUGUUAGGGAAAUAUGGUCUCUUCUCACUAGUGAAUAAUUGGCAACCAGAUAGUAAUCAUGAUAUGCUGCAUUUCAUUCAGAGCAUAGUUAAGAAAGUGAAUGAUACUCAUAACAAUCUUGCUAUGUUUCUUGGUUGGAGGAUUUGGUAAAUAAGGAACAAUUUGUUGUUGUUCGAAAACAAAAGGAAUCACAUUGUACAGGUAAUAAAUGCAUCACUCCUAAAUCAACAAAUCUGGGCAGAAGCUUUUCACCAUAAUGCUUAUAUGAGCCACCCCACUCCAAUUCCUCGACCAAACACUAUUUCUUAACUUCUUUCAUAAGAAGCAGCAUUUUACUGCAUUGUAGAUGUCUCUGGAAGUCGUUGCCGACUAACAAAAUUGGAAUAAGAUGAUUCUUAUACAGUAAAAAAGUACUUUCACUCCGAAGAAAAUCUGCAAUCAAUUCAACCAACCUGUAUUAUUAAAACUAAAGUACUUUUUGGUAUUGUUUGAAAACAUAGAUAUCAAUAUGAAUAAAAAUAAUUAGAAACAUGGAUAACUUUAUGAAAAAAAAUAUAGUGUCUUUUUAUAAUUACAUUAAUAUAAUUAUAUUAAUUAUUUUUCACAUUUCACUCAGUUUAACAAUUUCAUUAAUUAUAUUACCUUAACAAUAAAUCACAUCAUUAAUUAUAUUACCAUGAUAAUACUUGUACAGAUUUUUAUUUAGUAGUUAAUCAACGUUAAUUUUGUGCCAAUUAAAAAAUAAAAAAUGUAAAUAACUGGGUUUUGCAUAUGGUUAAACGUUCGGUUUAGUUGUUUUACUAUUUUUUUUAAUUUUAGUUUCAAUCGGUUGAAAAUUACGUAGCCAAAAACAUAAUUAAAAAACAUAUUUUUGUGAAUAAAAUAAUAACUUAAAUCAAAAUAAUCAAAAUAUAUUACAUUUAUUCCCACUUAAUUUUUCACUCCAUAUAAUUAUUUUACUAAAUAAAAAACUCUUUCUAUUUAUAUGAAACAUGUUCGAAUGUCUGGAUGAGUUCGGUUCUAGUGUAUAUGAACCUAAAAAUAUUUAAUAAUAAAUGUAUAUGAAACAUGUUCGAAUAUUUGUACAAAAAAUAACGAUAUUAUCCGAUUCGGUCCAUGUCUUUUGAAUACAAUUAGUUAUAUUACAAGCGUCUAAAAUAUAUAACACUAAUUAUGAAAAACAAAAAUCAAUAUAUAAAAAUGUAAAAAAUCAAUACCCACCCAGGUUAGUUAACUAUUAAAAGCAUAAGCAAUGGCCAUGCUAUUAGCCGUUCAACAAAUGAACACACUCUGUUACAAGAAUGUGGUCUUUCUAGGAGUGCAGAACUCAACAAGAGCCUGAAUCUCCAUCUAAGCAGAAGGAAGUAAACGCCUAACGUAAAUGGAGCAAUAGCCAUUCUCUAAGAUAUUUUGAAUCCAUCUAAUACUAGCUGUUGAUCCUAGCAGUUGUUCUUUUGAAUACAAUUAGUUAUAUUACAAGCAUCUAAAAUAUAUAAUACUAAUUAUGAAAAACAAAAAUCAAUAUAUAAAAAUGUAAAAAAUCAAUACCCGCCCAGGUUAGUUAACUAUUAUAAAAGCAUAAGCAAUGGCCAUGCUAUUAGCCGUUCAACAAAUGAACACACUCUGUUACAAGAAUGUGGUCUUUCUAGGAGUGCAGAACUCAACAAGAGCCUGAAUUUCCAUCUAAGCAGAAGGAAGUAAACGCCUAACGUAAAUCGAGCAAUAGCCAUUCUCCAAGAUAUUUUGAAUCCAUCUAAUACUAGCAGUUGCUCCUAUAAGGUUAUAGAUAAGAUAUACCUAGAGCAUUUGUUUAUCAUGUUGAUCAGCUAACGAAGAAAGUUAAGAUUAAUGAUUAAAACUACGUAAUCACCUGUCACAUUUAGCUGGCCUUUUAUGUAUUCUAAUAUUUUUAAAAAUGAAAUUGUUAACAGAAAAAAUAUUUUAAAUUCUCAAUAAAAUGAAAUUAUUUUUCUGACCCGCUCUGGCCUCUAAAAAUAUUUGAGCCGGUACUAUGUUGAAAGUUCUUUUCGGUCAGCUUGCGUCUGCAUAGUACAUAUGAUGGAAGGAUUUUUUGGUGGUACAUGCUCUCGGAGGUGUAGAAGCUUGCGGAAGAGUUGAUGAAAUUUGAGUCAUCACUGGCGGAUUCAGUGACGGUAAUGAGGUGAUGACGUAGCAGAACCAAUUCCGGGUGACAUUUCGAAGGGAGACACGUAUUGGAGAUAUAAAUUCUUAAAGCUACAAGUGUUAGUAAUUUUUUUUUUCUGUGUGCAACUACAAGUGGUAGCAAAUUAAUGUAACUUUCUUUCACGGCGUUGAUUGUUGGGCCUAUUAUGUACCACACGAUCUCAUCCUUAUGGGCUCUAUGAAAAGUUGACCCACGAAAAUAAGGAAGGAGCCUAAAGCAUCGGCUCAAGUGGAGACCGGACCAGUAACCAUACGUUUUCAUAAUACGAUAAGAUAAGAUAACCUUUCUGUCACGUGGCAUUUUCAUUGUGGUCAAGUAUCGAUAAGGGUAUCAACACCGUUCAUAAUCCUGUGGCUGUUAACGACGAUAUCAUGAAAUAUCCAUAAGGGUUCUCACUCUAUAUAGAUGACCAAAGCAAUAGACUAACAGUAAGAGUUAAGAGAAGGAAGAAGAAGUAGUCAUGGCUUACUCUAUGCUCUCCUCCGCCGCUGUUGUUACCUCCCCGGCUCAAGCCACCAUGGUCGCUCCAUUCACCGGCUUGAAGUCUUCCUCUGCAUUCCCAGUCACCCGCAAGGCCAACAACGACAUUACCUCCAUCGUUAGCAACGGAGGAAGAGUUAGCUGCAUGCAGGUAAAUGUCACUAGAGAGUUUACAGUUAGGCUUGUCUUUUAUUACACGCAACUGGUAGAUUCGAACAGAAUCCUAUUCAAAAGUACAUUUAGAAACCUAGGAUCGUUAAAAGGUCUAAACAGUAUGUACAAAAGUGAACUAAUAUUUCAUUAACUGGAAAUACGAUUCGUAGGUGUGGCCACCAAUUGGAAAGAAGAAGUUUGAGACCCUCUCUUACCUUCCUGACCUUACCGAAGUUGAAUUGGGUAAGGAAGUUGACUACCUUCUCCGCAACAAGUGGAUUCCUUGUGUUGAAUUCGAGUUGGAGGUAAUGAAGACAAAAUAUUUUUUGGAUCUAAACAUCUUUUAUCACAUGAUCUCAAUCCUGAUUUUAAAUGGAAUUCUCAUGUGUUUGUAGCACGGAUUUGUGUACCGUGAGCACGGAAGCACCCCCGGAUACUACGAUGGCCGUUACUGGACAAUGUGGAAGCUUCCCUUGUUCGGAUGCACUGACUCUGCUCAAGUGUUGAAGGAAGUUCAAGAAUGCAAAACUGAGUACCCUAAUGCCUUCAUCAGGAUCAUUGGAUUCGACAACAACCGUCAAGUCCAGUGCAUCAGUUUCAUCGCUUACAAGCCACCAAGCUUCACCGGUGCUUAAUUCGCUUUCAUAUAAUAAUAUCUUCUCAUUUCAUUUCCAAUAAGUCUGUUUCUUUUUUUUCUCUUUGGAUUUCUGUUUACGAGACUUUCUAUAUCGGAUUGUAAAAUGUCUGAUUUUAUGAACAUGUAAUUUCUAUAUUGCUUCUUCUUCGUGGUUACUACUUUCAGAUGGCUAUUAGGUUUUCAAUUUAUUGGGAUAAGAAAACAGUCAGAAUAAUAACUUUACAAAACUGGUUAGAUAAGAUAAUGGUAAUAUUUUUGGAAUAGGAAAACAUUACUACCUAGGAAAAAAAAAAUUCAUAUGGAGUUAAUUAGUUCAUUAGAGAUUCCAAUAACAAAUCAUUGCAUCAUUUUAUCGUCACGUUCCAUAGAUUUCAAGCAUAUAGUAUAUACAUGACAUCGGUGCAUUAUCAUUGGAAAUAAGAUACAUAUAGAUAUGGAUCUCUAUUCUUAUAUUUGUUAUAAUUGUUUUUUUUUUGGUAAAAUGUUAAGCUUACCAUUUUCUGAAAGAAGGAUACACUGUUGUUGUUAAACAACUUAUUACAAGAGAAAAACAGAGAAGCAGAAAAGAAAGACAAAGGAAACAGACUACACAACAACAAUCAAAAUAAGAGAAAACGACACUAAGGUGGAAAGAGACGUCUGAUGGAAAGGUAGAGCAGGAGGAGCGUGUCGUGGCCAUCAGCUGGAGGGGCUAAGGACAAGAGACGAUCCCUCAUAGAACGAUCAACAUACUUGGCGAUCGCCGCUGCGGUAGAGGAAACAUUCUUAAAGAUACGGACGUUCCUCUCUCUCCACAGGCUGUAGACUCCCUGAGCCUGGAGGAUCUUAAUGACAAAGUCCCAGCAGAUUGUAUCAAAAGCUUUGCGGAUGUCUAUUUUUAGCAUGCUGCUCCUGCUGCAAUUUUGGUUCUCAUACUUGCGGAUCAGCUCAGCUGCAAGAAGGACGUUUUCACCCAAGCUGCGCCCUUUAAGAAAAGCCGACUGAGCACGACUUAUCGAACUCUUGAGAAUCGGCUUGAGCCUGUUGGCGAUUAUCUUGGUGAUGAUCUUAUACACAAUGUUGCAGCAGCUUAUCGGCCGGUAGUCCCGAAGGCUACAAGCAGUAGUGGUCUUAGGAAUGAGAACAAUAGCUGUGGUGUUUAGGUCUUUCAGCAAUCGGCCAUUACGAAAAAACUCAGAAACCGCAGCAAUCACAUCCCCUCCAACAGUAUCCCACGAUGCUUUAAGGAACUCAAAAGAAUAGCCAUCGGGACCUGGGCUUUUGUUUAGGGGCAUGGAGAAGAUAGUACCUUUGAUCUCAGUUUCCAGGACAUCUCUCUUCAGGUAAGCUUUCUGUAGGUCCGAGCAUCUGAAGGAGAGCAAAUCUUCCAAAGCAUUUAGAGGAACUGGUGAGACAGGAAGCUCUGUGUGGCCAAGGAUAUCCUGGAAAUAAGAGACUGAGUGCGCCUUUAUAUCAUCGAUGGACCCCAGGAACUGGCCAGACUCAUCUAUCAGAUAAUGGAUGUGGUUGCUAUUAUUCCUUUGUGCUACUGUUUUAUGAAAGAAAGGUGUAUUCCUGUCUCCCACAUCAGCCCAGCGAACACGCGACCUCUGCCUGAAGAACUUUUGCUCAGCAUUGAGUAAGGUGUUAAGGAUAUCACGCUGACGGUGCUCCUCAGAGGCAGUAGCUGGGUCCGGGCAGGUGAGAAGACUUUGCUGCAGGUUCGCUACCCUCACAGACUGCUGCUUUACCCUUCCUGUGAUGCCACUAAAGUGCGUUUUAUUUAAGUUCCUCAGAUCUGUCUUAAGAAGCUUCAUUCGUCGGACCAAUUUAAACUGCUCAGAUCCUUGAACUUCAGCAUUUGACCACGCGUCUGAGACAACAGAAGAGUAGUCAGGAUGGCCAGUAAGAUGGUGAUAAAAUUUGAAAGGCUUGCGGAUACGUCUACUGAUUGAGGGAACCCUGAGAAGGCAAGGCGCAUGAUCAGACUGAUCUGGCUGAAGAAAGUCUGCGUAUGAAUCCGGAAAUGAAGCGGCCCACGAGUGGUUGAUAAGAGCAUGGUCAAUUCUUUUGGAGACAGGGUUGGAGCCACUGUUAUUCCACCAAGUGAAAGGGAGGCCUUUCGCUUGACAUUCGAAGAGCUCAGAGUCCUGCAAAGCUGCAACCAUAUCAUCAAUACCUGAUGGAUCAAUAACUGAGAGAGGGUAAUCAGAGUGCUGGCUUAGACGAAAGAUUUGGUUGAAGUCUCCCAGCACCGACCAAGGAGAGUUAACAACCGGAGUGGAAUCAUGUAUGUAGACCAUCUCUUCCCAUAAGUUUUUACGCUCGAGUACAGUGUUGAACCCAUAAACAAAAGAGACCGUGAAGUUCACAUUUUCCGCCAUAAGAUAAAUCCCACAAGUAACAACCUGAGCAGAAGACUUGUAGAUGAAGACUCGAACAGACGGGUCCCAAACAACAAUUAUUCGACCCGAGAGAUGAUGAUCAUAGUUGCCGAAAAAGCUCCAUCCUAUAGGGAGAGCAUUAUUAAUCCGUUGUGAAUUUCUUUCCUGAAUAUGUGUUUCCAAAAAAGCUCCAAGGAGCGGCCUCUGGAUAUUAAUCCAGUUUCUAACCAUGGUGUGGCGUCUGGGAUCGUUAAGCCCUCUCACAUUCCAUGCAAAAAAUUUCGACAUUUAUAAUUAUAUAGAUUUUGCGACCCUGCGGCCACAGCUCUGGCGGUUAACCAGCAAAAACGGGGCUUCAUGCUCAUCUGAGCCGUCUGCCUCAGCACUAGGGACCCCCGAGGAUGGACCUGACUCAUACGAAGAAGUAAUCAAGUCGUGCGCAGGUGGGAAUUUCUGAAUAGAGAUAUCCGGUGGGACAGUCUUAUCAGAUGAUUCAGGAAUGCCAUUCUCCCUAACCGGAGUUGUUACAGUGGUGUCCUCUGUAUGCUCCUCAGGAGGUAUUUCACCAUCUUCCAAACCCUGAGAGGAUGUGACACCCUUCUUCGCAUCACCAUCUACCGAUCGCUCCUUGUUGUGAGUACCAGCUUUACCUCCUCUCCUACGACGUCCUUGCCUAGACUGUUUCCUCCCCUUAUCCUCCUCAUUCGUUGGACUAGGAGAACGUCUUCUGCCUUCCUUGUUACUACGAGGCAGGGCACGACACUUGGUGUUGAGAUGACCAUAUUUACCACAAGCAUUACACUUUAGUGGGAGCCAAGGGUAAGAAAUAGUUAUCUCAUUUUCUUUCCCAUUUGAAAACCCAGAGAUCAUCUUUGAGGGGAGCUCCCGUGUGAGAUCCACACGCACAAAUAACUUUGCAACCUGAAAGUUUUCCUUCCGCUCUGUUUCCGGAGCCAAAGACACAGGUUUGCCUACUGCUGUGGCCAGCCGACUCAAACUCUCCUUGUUGAACAGCAAGUAAGGGACUCCCCUUAGCUCUACUGGAACCACCGCACUUGUAAUCGGAGCUUCCUCCGGAGUAAAAUCAUGCGACCAUGGAGCAACAAACAUCGGGAAUCCCGCAAUGUUCCAACAAGUCCUGGAGAGGAGGUGCUCCCUUGUCUUAGCAGACGUGACUUUUAAUAGAUACUCCCCAGCGCCCACCAUGUGGACAAAGAUUCGCGGCCCUGUCUUAGCCCAUACGGCAUUAACAACACCGAUUAUACGACCCAUGGAAGGCCAGUCCCCGUGGAAUCUAGCGAAGAUGUAAUCACGAAACUCCUCCUUAGCUGAUUCUAUAUUUUCAUCCGGGAUAAGAACGAAAGGUACUCCCGAUACGUGUUCAGAGGGUGUUCCUAGCUCUUCCAAAGUCGCAAAGUCCUUGACUAAACUGGCGUAGCUCUUAGUUCCAGAGUACUCCCCUAGGGUAGCAGCCUUCUGCAGGGCUCCAUGAGGGAUGUCUCUACUAACCACUUCCUGGAUUGGAAGGGAAACCUCUAUUGUAGCGUCAGGAGUUACCUCCUCCGAUACUGUAGGGGUAACGUCAAGCUCACAUGGCGUGAGAGGUGAUGAAUUGCCAAACUCAAGAACAGGAGCUAGCGGUAGUGGUAGGUGACCCAAACUCAGAUCUACAGAGACCUCAGGGGUCGACGGCGAAACCUCAGUCGUGGGUGCCACCGAAGCAGCAAUUACAGCAUCAGCGCUUGAAGCGCCGGCGAGAGACGACUGUUGUAACGACCGGACCGAAGUGGAGGGUUUCAACGCUCCUUGGAGACGGGCCAUCUUCGAAGAGCCCCGGAGGAGAUUACGAGUUUUUUUCUUCUUUUUCGGAGGCAUAUGGAUGUUAUAAUUGUUUUGAAAAGUUAACGAAACUUUCCACUUAUCAAAGUGAUUUUCUAGAAAAAACGUAUGCAUGUAAAUCUCUCACUCACACGGAUAGUUAAUCCCUGAAGAGAGGAUGACAGUUGACACACUUGAAUUCUAUGAUAGACGCGUUUGUGGACGCACCAUACCUAAGAUAAGCAUGAUGAUAAGAUUGGAGAUUUCCUUAUAUAUUCUCUAAAAAAUUCAAAUCAUUUUCGAAAUAAGACAGUUAUGGCAGGCAGUGGAGUUAAAACAAUUCUGUUAAAUUGGUGAAUUCUGUUGAUUUACCAAUUUUAACAGAAUUUUGUCAUAUUUAAUUUAUAUAGUAAUUCUAUUUUAAGAUAAUAUAAUCUACAAUUAUAAUUUAUCAAAUAGCAUAGAUUUUUAUAUUAAAAAUUAAUUAAUAUUAAUUUAUAAUAAUAUUAUAUUACUAAUUACAGAAUUAAUUAAUGCACUAUUUUCUAAAAAAUAUUUUUGAAAUUUCAGUAGGAUUUUAUUAGAUUUUUUCUCAACAUAUUUUGUCAUAACUAAAAACAAAAUUCAAAUUUAUAGUUAAAAUUAAUUUAUUAUUUAUAUUCUUAUUUAUAAUUAAUACUUUCUAUGAAUAUUAUUUAUUUCUCUAACAAAAAUAUAUUAAUAUUUGAUUGAUUAAUGUAAAUAAUUAAUUAAAUGAUUCUAGUAUGACUUGUCAACACUAGAAUUUAAAUAUAUUGACUAAAUUUUAUAUAUACCAUUUUUGAGUUGUUCUUAUUCGAUUAUUUAGUGUAUUAAAAUAGAUAUAAUAAAUAUGAAUAGAUUUUACGUGCAAAAUGAUAAAAUAACAUCAAUAUAUUUAGAAAAAAUAAGAAAAAUUACAUAUAAACUUCUUUGGGAAUAAAAAACUAUACAAUAUCAUUUUUGUUUUUCUUAGGACCAUAUAUUUAUAUAAAGUUUCUUAAAAAAUAUUUUCUUAUUAUCUUACUGAAUUGUGUUAUAUUUUACAUUGAUGUAACUCAAAACUGGUAAAAUUUAUUAACUUAUCUAGUAUUAUGUUUCAGAAAGAUGUAUAUUUUAAUAUUUUCACACUUGUUAAGAAAACAUAUCAGAUUUAAAUUACCAAUAUAUUAAUUUCUGUAAUUAAUUAUUCCCCACAACUUGUAACCAAUAAAACUUUAGUAAACACAAUUUUGUUUUUUGAAGUUUACAAUUUACAAUUUACAAUUUACAAUUAAUUUACGCAUUGAAAAUAUAAAAAAAUGUACUAACUGAAAUAUUUUUUUAAAAAAUAUUUAUCUUUUUGAGAUGGAGGGAAUAUUAAUUUAUAGAGUUUUAAAAAUGUACUAAAGAAAUCGUCGGUUAGUUUAUAUAAUCUGCGUUUUUCUUUUAUUAGGGCUAAACCCAGCCCAAACAAAGGAGGAAUGUCUAGCAAGUAUCCAAACAUGGGUUCGGGCCUCUGGGUUAAUGUUUGCUGGAUCUGGAUUCGGAUAUCCUAUAUAUCCCUAGUGAUAAUAAUUAAUAAGAGCCGCGGCUCUGAACAAAAUAUAAAACAAGGGCGGCCUUCUGCUUUUAGUUAACAAAGAAAAAACUCCGUAGAGAGAGAGAGAGAGAGAAUAGCGGUGCUGGAUCUAAGCGAUGUCGGAUCCUUACGAGAGGGCGAAGGGUGGAAGGUUAGCGUUUAAAGGAGGCGAUCUAGCCACCAUCAAAAAGAAGAAGAAGCAAUCGAAGAAGAAGAAGAAGGACAAGGAAAAGCUCGACGACGGCGCCGAUGUUGAGAAGAUGGACGCUCCAGCCACUUCCUCUGCUGCAGAUGGCAAAGACGAUAUCUACUCUAUCGACGCCGCGAAGAAGAGGAAGUACGACGAGCUUUUCCCCGUGGAGGCAAAGAAGUUCGGUUACGUUCCCAAAUCGAACUUCGAUUCGGUGGCGGAGGCUCUCGACGAUCGAGUCAAGAAGAAGGCCGACCGCUACUGUAAAUAGAAUCUUUUGCAUCUCCCUUUGUUUAAUUCCCUACUCUAUGCAUAAUUGUUAUCAUGUUUGAAGACUUUAUCCCUAUUUUGCUUCUGUUUGAGACUGGUUUAUUUGGAAUCCAAAUUAGUGGUAUUUGGUAUUCAUCCUUUGGGACAACUAGGUUUUGUGAAAUCUCUAGGUUUAGCAAGUAAAUAUUAAAGUGCUUUACAAACAACUCAUAUAUGUUUUAGUGUUAUGGUUCAAAUUUUUUGAAUCCAAUUUGUAAAUGGUUUUGCUUUUCGUUUCUUGGUAUUUUGUUUUCUUACAAGUCCUCAAUUGCUCAAUGCAUUUGCUUCCCUCUGCUAAAGGAUAUUACAGUGAGGCCACUGCAACGGAACUGCAGGAAGAAUCAGAGAGAUAAAUUCAGUUUAGUUAAGUUUAUAUUGUCUUUCUCCUUUAAGGUGAAAGGUCAGCCUGAGUUUAUAAUUAUUUUUCACACUACAUAUGUUCUUAGCAAAUGAUAGACACUUUAUUAUUUCUUGUGUUUCCCCUCAAAUAAUCAGUUUUUUAGCUCCUGUUACCUCGAGUAUUCCUCUGUCCUGCUUCUUCUGGUUCUGGACUAACCCUCUGAUACCUUGCUCUAGAAAGCCCCAUGUUCCAGAACUGCAUCCACCUAGGGCGCCUCCUCUCGGGAACGUCUUCUCUAAUAGGAUCACCCCUUUCCUGAGAAUCCGUAACGGUGGUGUUGACCGGAGGCAGAUCACGGCGGCAAAUUGGGCAUGAAUUGUGAAGCCUUAGCCAUGGAGUUAUACAGUUUUUAUGGUAAAUAUGUUUACAUGGUAGUUCGGUAGCUUCCCCUCCAGCAACGAAGUCCUCCAUGCACACCGUGCAUUGCGACAUGUCGUUGGUUAGAUGUUUCGAUGUAAUCGUUACGGUCGGUAGCGCGUCAAUGGUGGGUUCUGAUGCAGGUGGUGGUCCAGGCCUAUCGUCUUGUGUUAGCUGUUCGAUCAGCUGUUCUAAACCUGAUCCUCCAGUAAAGAAGUCAUGUGGGUUCAUACGCCUGGGAGGUAUUGGAUCAGUGGGCCGUAGUAUUACAUAUGUUCUUCUUGGUGGAGGUAAACUGCCAUUGUUACCAUUGUCAAGGCUGUGGCGUCGUCGAUGGUGCGGUAGGGGUGUUGUUGGCUCGUGUUCCACGUUUCUGGACCUUGCCCUGAGAAAUGGGUCUUCACCGAAUCUACCUAUUGUUGGAGGAUCAAACAUGAGGGACAGAGCUUCGAGAAGGCGUGUCUCAGGAGAAGCAUCAAACGGUGGAGCGGCGUGAGUGAAAGUCACCCGAGGCCGUCUCAUCUCGAUUUCCACAACAAAUUGCCUUAAGCAUCGAGGGCACGCGAUCUCUGAUGGGUUUGAUGAUGCAAUCCUGACCGUACGAUGACAGUGGUAGCACCAGUAGAGGCCAAAAGUCCUGAAUGCGCCAUUGGGUGCACCAUCGGUCCGUCUUAUUGGCACACUCAAUGACAUGAUUCGAAGAAGUAACUGUUAUACACCAGACAUAAAUACUUGCACAUUUAUAGAUAAUCUUUGAAGGUUGAAUGAAGCAAUUAAGCCAGGCAUAUUCCGUUCAUACAGAGGUCGUGUUUUGUCUGGAAGGCAAAGAAUGAGAAGGAUGAAGACGCAAUGCUCAUUUCUUCUGGUUUUUCUUAUUCUAUUUAGAUUGCCUCAAGUUAAAGGCUAGAAUCAUUUAUUAGAUCAAGUCAAUUAAAGAGAUUGGCCGUAUUGUUUAACUAGAGUAGAUAUAGAGGAAAAGAAACAAUCAUCAAGUUUAACAUAAAAUAUUAUUCUUUAGAGCAUCUCCGAAAAAACUUUAUAGCUUCAAAUACAGAGCUUGUUUCUAUCCAAAAACAAAUUUUAAAACUUUAAAUUUAGAUUUUUGAUUAGUGAAACUUCGUAUUUUUUUAGAUGCUCCAAGUUUAGAAUUUUAAAACUCUAUAAUAUUUUAAUAAUAGUUUUGUGACAAAAAAAUGAGUAGAAGUUUCACUACUCAAAACUCUAAAUUUGAAAUUUCAUCUUUUUAUUUGCAUUUUGGUCUUUAUAAUUAACUAGGGUCGGUCCGCCCUACGGGCGGGAAGUUAUAAUAAAGCAUACCCUUCUCAGGUAUACAUUAAAAACCCGACGCAACAUCAAGCUUUACCGGUCCACUGCUUUGAAGUUAGGUGCGAAGUGUGAAGAUGGCUCGUGUCCCUGGAGGGUGUAUUGUUCUUAUGAGAAGAGCAAACAGAAGCUGAUGAUCAAAUGUUAUGUGAAUGAGCACAAGUGUGAGAUAACAGGACACUCAAAGUUUUUGAAGUGUUCUACUAUAGCAAUGCUGUUCGCUGAGAGGCUGAGGUUGAAUCCCAAAAUCACCAAGCAUGAAAUUGCUUCUGAGAUCCAGAGAGAGUAUAGGAUGUUUGUGAGUGUGGAAGCUUGUGGGAAUGCGAAGACAAAGGUUAUGAAAGAAAGAAAAGCAAGCCACGAAGAACACUUCAACAAGAUAUGGGAUUAUCAAGCUGAGAUUUUUCGAACCAACCCUGGCACUACAAUGGAUAUCGAAACCAUCCCUGGACCGACAGUAGGAAGUAAACAGAGGUUUUUCCGGCUAUAUGUUUGCUUUCAUGCGCAGAAGGAGACUUGGAAGACUUCUUGUAGACCGAUAAUGGGUUUAGAUGGAGCAUUUCUAAAGUGGGACAUAAAGGGUCAUCUCUUGGCUGCUGUAGGACGUGAUGGAGACAAUCGGAUUGUUCCGAUUGCAUGGGCAGUAGUAGAAGUGGAGAAUGACACGAAUUGGGACUGGUUUGUGAGACACCUCGCAAAUGACUUGGGCUUAAAGGAUGGCAAAGGCUAUGCUAUAUUGUCUGACAAACAAAAGGUAAACGUCUGAUCUUGAUUUUUUAAAGCUUUUAGUGCUUAAAGCAUUACUGUAUCUUAGUGUUUUUAACUGUCUCAUGCUUGUAAUUGGCAGGGUUUAGUGAAAGCAGUCCACACCAUUCUUCCAGAGGUUGAGCAUAGACAGUGUUGUAGACACAUUUUCGAUAAUUGGAAGAAGAGCAGCCAUGACAUGCAGCUACAAAGACUCUUCUGGCGAAUAGCAAGGAGUUAUACAAUUGGAGAUUAUAAAAUGUGGAGUGAGAGGCUGAAAGAGUACAAUCCAGGCGCCUAUGCUACUCUUCAAGUCACCAAACCAGAAACUUGGUCCAGAGCAUAUUUCAAAUUAGGGACCUUGUGCAACGAUAAUCUCAAUAACCUAAGUGAGUCCUUCAACAGAACCAUCCGUGAAGCAAGAAGGAAGCCAUUAUUGGAGAUGUUAGAGGAUAUAAGGAGACAGUGUAUGGUUCGAAACUUCAGAAGGGCUGUAAUGGCUAAAAAUGCUAAGACAAAGUUCACAAAAAGGACGCAUCUUCAGAUGGCUAAAGUGGAGUCAAAGUCUAAGGAUUGUAUGAGCUUUCCAGCAGUUGGUCCAGUCACAGAGGUUGAUUAUGGUGGUGUGGCUUAUGCUGUGGAUAUGGAUGAGCUAAGUUGUGGGUGUAUCCAGUGGCAAAUGACUGGAAUUCCUUGCAUUCAUGCCGCCUAUGUGAUCCUUAAAGAUGGUAAAAAACUUUCUGACUUUGUAUCUCCUUGUUAUACCAUAGCUAUGUGGCGUCAAACCUAUAGUAUGGGGGUAAGGCCUGUUCAAGGGAAGAAGCUAUGGCCUGAGACUGGUAGAUUAGGUGUCCUCCCACCACCUUGGAGAAAAGGAAACCCGGGAAGACCAAAGAACCAUGAUAGGUUCAAGAGCAAGGGUGAGACAGAGAAGGGCCCGAAAGUCUCUACAACUGAUAGCACGAAACUAACUCGUGCUGAUCGAGUUAUUACAUGUUCUAAUUGCAAGCAAGAGCAUCAUAACAAGAAGACAUGUAAGAAUGACUUUGUUGAAAGUCAGCCCAAGAAACCACGAGGUCGCCCUAGGAAAAAUCAGGCAAGUUUCAAGAUGUUUUUGGUUUGUUUCUGAUCUUCUUAUGCUCACUUGAUUUUUUUUUUCAUUGUCAGUCUAAUGCAUCAUCGUCACAACCAAGCCAGGGACAGUCUCAUGCUUCAUCAUCACAACCAACCCAGCCACAAGUGUCAACACAGCCACAAGCCACACAUGCACCACUAAACUCAGAUGCGUCGGUAUGGGGUCGAUGGUUUUCGUGAUUUCGAAGUUAGAAGGGGCAGAAGCAGAAGAUAGUAUUUUCGGAUUUAGUGUUUUGAAGUUUUAGUGUUUUGACACUCAUGUUUCAGUUUUAGUGCUUUAACACUCAGGUUUCAGGUUUCUGUCUUGUGUAUCAGUAUUUUCGGAUCUAUUUUGUAGUGCUUUGACACUUAACUUAUGCUAUGUUUCAUCAAGCUUUAUUUAAGAUUGGUUUGUAUCUCAACCAACAACAACAACUUAGUUCAUUACUUCAAACAACAACAUAGUCAAUGAAACCAACAUAAUAGUCACUGAAUUAAGCCCCAAACAUAGUCAAGACCAAACAUUAAAAUUGUCACUUAAUCAAGUAAAUACAACAAGACACAAACACCAACAAUUUAGUUCUUCACCUCAAGCAAAUAACUAACUUAAUUCUACAUCAAACUAACUAGUAGGACAAUGAUGAUCACGCACAUGAUCACAAACAAGAUCGUCAUCAUCACCUUACACCUCUUCACCUCUGUUUUGGCUCUUACAACUUCUUCCAUCAACUCAGUGACCACGCCUUUCAAAUCUUCAAUAUCAGAUUUUUCUUUGUUAAGCUCAGCUUCAAGCAGUACAAUCUUUGGUAAGGCAUCUUGAACCUCUUCAUAAACAGCCUCCUCAACCCAUUUAAACAAGUGGUUCUAUGCAAAAACCAUAAGAUUUUAGGCAUAUUCCUUUAUAUUCAAUUUGAAUAAACGACAACAAUAUAAUCAAGAAGAUAAGAAGCUACCUUUCUUCUCGUAAGACAUCUGAAGAAAGGUCUCCCCGGAUUCUUGUUAGUCUCAGACGUGUAGAUUGUUGUCUUAGUCCCGCAAACACAGCUCGCCGGAAACCCGCGAAUACCGUAUGUGUUCACGGUUGAACUCUCAGCUGUCGAAUCCGAACUCAUCUUCGUGCUAAGGGAAGUCAAUCGUGUGAGAUUGGAGGAUUUUGAGUUGUAAUCGCAAUUUUUAGGGUUGGUGUGUCAAGAAAAUCCCCAAAUUGAUUUGGGGGAAAAUGAUAUUAGGGUUUCGGAUCUUAUUUUGAAGUUUAAGAUAAAAUGUUGUCGUAUUGACUAACUGUGCAAAUUAACAGGGUUAACAUGUUCCGUUAGUCUAAUUAACGUCGGGUCUAAUUUGAUCCAUUCAAAGAAAAGUUAGCUGGGUUUUUAAAGUCAAAAGAAAAAUUUAUUGUUUUUCAGGUCUUUCCAAAAGCUGGGGAUUAUAAUGGUCCAAAUGAAUCUUCCUAAACCUUUGUGAUCAGGUUCCGAUGUUUUGAAGAGCUGAUACUGCUCUCUCCAAGACUGGGAAAAGUUGUGAUCCAGGAAGCACAUUCGCUCGCUCCUGAAAGCUUGUGGGUUCUCCUGAUACCUCUGCCUUAGCACAUUAAUCCAAGCAUCUAUAUGCUGCAUAUUAAAUAUAACAAGUUAGAAGUUACAAGACGACUUAUCUUUAAGUAGACGACUUAAAUCGUGUGCAGAAGACUGACGCAGUCUUCCAGCCAUCCUCUGGCUGUCCGGAGGAAGUGGUACCACCUUGUUGGUGAUGUACGUGGUUUGUCCUUGGUGUUAGUUAAAUAAUGACUGCAAACAAAAAAGCAAUCAGUUUUGGACGACUAAAUCAAGCUAUUAUGGGUAAAGCAAUCACUUACGGAUCAGUUUUCAACCAAUCAGCGAGUUCCUUCAACUUAUCUCUGUUUACUGGCGGAAAUGGAUUAUAGGCUGCCACUUUAUCUUUUUUUUUCUCUGCCGUAUAAGGAGAUCUCACAGUGGGAGCAGGUUUCUUCGCUCGUUUACUCUUUGCACGCUUGUCCAAUACAACCAGGCUCGGUUCUGAAACUGGAUCGCUUGGCUCGGUGGAAGCGAGGCUCGGUUGUUGAUCGGUGGAAGCGAGGCUCGGUUGGUGAUCGGUGGAAGUGACAGCAACAAUCUCUUUGGAGGUGACACCAUCUGCUUUAUCCUCCGGCAAGAUCUUAUUUACCGAGUUCGCCUCGGUUGCUGUAUCCUCCGGCAACCAUCUCUGCAAUAAAAGUUGCACACAAGUUAACCCUGGACGACUUAAAUAAAAGUUGUCUGGACGACUAGUUGACCCUGGACGACUUAAAUAAAAAUCGUCUGGACGACUAGUUGACCCUGGACGACUUAAAAUUAAGUCUUCCGUGGUCAACUAGUCGUCCAGACAACUUACGUUUAAGUCGUCCAGGGUCAACUAGUCGUCCAGACAACUUUUACAGUCGUCUGGACAACUAGUUAACCCUGGAUUUGAUACUAACCUCUUUGAUUUGAGGAGGCUGUUUCUUUUGAGGAGGAGGCUGUUUCUUUUGAGGAGGAGGAGGAGGCUGUUUCUUUUGAGGAGGAGGAGGCUGCUGUUUGGUUUGAUGAGGAGGAGGCUGGUUACUAACCACGGUUUCAUUGGCAUGAGGGGUAGCCUGUUUGUUUCUACCCCCGGUUUCUUUGGCAAGAGGGGUAGGCUGUUUAUCUUGAGGGGUAGCCUGAUUGGUUAGAGGUGGAGGGGUAGCCUGAUUGGUGACACCAACCUUCUUCUCCACAGCUUCCAAUCUAUCGGACAACUUCCUAAACUCCCUCAUGCACUUAUUAAACCCUUUUUUCAUGCAGUCAGCUACGCCCUUGAACAUAAUUUCCAACUCCUCUCUGGUCACCCCUCUAGCCUCUUCUCUAGCCUCUUCACUAGCCUCUUCAGGAGCCUCUUUACGAGCUUUCUUCCGAGGUCUUGGAUUGUCUUCCUCCUCCUCCUCCUCCUCCUCCAACACAACCAUCUCUUUGGCCUUCUUCGAUGGAGUCACAACCUUAGGUUUUGUAUUGACCUUAGUACCAGUGACUUCCCAGCAAUCCAUGGUCCACUUCCACGGUCUCCGCUCAUACAUGACUUUAAUGAUGUUCUCCGCGGGCAGGUCCUCAACCUCAGAGUCCCAUUUUGGCCACAUUUCACUAAUGUCCUUCUCAACAAAGUUGAUCACGCGGGUCUGCAGUAAAUAGAAGAAUCGAGUUAGAUAUUUGAAAAAAAAUACUAAAUAGACGACUUAAUUAUAAGUCGUCUACUAAGUCGUCCAGCUGGAAGACCUUCCAGACGACUUAUAAUAAGUCGUCUAAUAAGUCGUCCAGAUGGAAGACUUUCCAGACGACUUAAUUAAGUCGUCCGAUAAGUCGUCCAGCUGGGAAGACUUUCCAGACGCCUUAUUAUAAGUCGUCUAAUAAGUCGUCCAGAUGGAAGACCUUCCAGACGACUUAUAAUAAGUCGUCUAAUAAGUCGUCCAGAUGGAAGACUUUCCAGACGACUUAAUUAAGUCGUCCGAUAAGUCGUCCAGCUGGGAAGACUUUCCAGACGCCUUAUUAUAAGUCGUCUAAUAAGUCGUCCAGAUGGAAGACUUUCCAGACGACUUAAUUAAGUCGUCCGAUAAGUCGUCCAGCUGGGAAGACUUUCCAGACGCCUUAUUAUAAGUCGUCUAAUAAGUCGUCCAGAUGGAAGACUUUCCAGACGACUUAAUUAAGUCGUCCGAUAAGUCGUCCAGCUGGGAAGACUUUCCAGACGCCUUAUUAUAAGUCGUCUAAUAAGUCGUCCAGAUGGAAGACUUUCCAGACGACUUAUAAUAAGUCGUCUAAUAAGUCGUCCAGAUGGAAGACUUUCCAGACGACUUAAUUAAGUCGUCCGAUAAGUCGUCCAGCUGGGAAGACUUUCCAGACGCCUUAUUAUAAGUCGUCUAAUAAGUCGUCCAGAUGGAAGACCUUCCAGACGACUUAUAAUAAGUCGUCUAAUAAGUCGUCCAGAUGGAAGACUUUCCAGACGACUUAAUUAAGUCGUCCGAUAAGUCGUCCAGCUGGGAAGACUUUCCAGACGCCUUAUUAUAAGUCGUCUAAUAAGUCGUCCAGAUGGAAGACCUUCCAGACGACUUAUAAUAAGUCGUCUAAUAAGUCGUCCAGAUGGAAGACUUUCCAGACGACUUAAUUAAGUCGUCCGAUAAGUCGUCCAGCUGGGAAGACUUUCCAGACGCCUUAUUAUAAGUCGUCUAAUAAGUCGUCCAGAUGGAAGACCUUCCAGACGACUUAUAAUAAGUCGUCUAAUAAGUCGUCCAGAUGGAAGACUUUCCAGACGACUUAAUUAAGUCGUCCGAUAAGUCGUCCAGCUGGGAAGACUUUCCAGACGCCUUAUUAUAAGUCGUCUAAUAAGUCGUCCAGAUGGAAGACCUUCCAGACGACUUAUAAUAAGUCGUCUAAUAAGUCGUCCAGAUGGAAGACUUUCCAGACGACUUAAUUAAGUCGUCCGAUAAGUCGUCCAGCUGGGAAGACUUUCCAGACGCCUUAUUAUAAGUCGUCUAAUAAGUCGUCCAGAUGGAAGACCUUCCAGACGACUUAUAAUAAGUCGUCUAAUAAGUCGUCCAGAUGGAAGACUUUCCAGACGACUUAAUUAAGUCGUCCGAUAAGUCGUCCAGCUGGGAAGACUUUCCAGACGCCUUAUUAUAAGUCGUCUAAUAAGUCGUCCAGAUGGAAGACUUUCCAGACGACUUAAUUAAGUCGUCCGAUAAGUCGUCCAGCUGGGAAGACUUUCCAGACGACUUAUUAUAAGUCGUCCGAUAAGUCGUCAAGCUGGACGACCUUCCAGACGACUUAUAAUAAGUCGUCUGCGCAGUCUUUUGGAUUGAAGUAAAUACCUGACUCAAGAUAGCAGCUUUCAUUGAUCUGCGGCCUCUGCUGCCCUCGUAAGCCAGUAUCGGUGGAGACGGACUGUCUGCUCUGGGACCACCAAUACUAGCACCCAAUUCCGGCAUAGCUGUGUACGUCCAGACCUGAAGAACUUGUAUAAACCCAUCCACGGUGUAACAGCCAGCAAUUUCUUUGUUCCACAAAGAGUCCAUCAGCACCUUAAACGCGACUCUCCCCCAUGGAUAAUUCUCAAACCGUUCUAAAUCCAUCACUAGCCUUGCCAGAGUAGAUCGUGUAGCGGUUGAAAACUUUCUCCCUUCAAUGAAUCCAGUGAAGAUGGAGAGGUACGCGAGCCGCUUGCGAUCUUCCCUGGACCAAUCCCCGCAUCUCUUCAGUGCUGCUAUUAUCUGAUCAGUAGUUGGCCCAGCUUCCAGAUGAACUCCCAGCAUCCCCCAGAAAGAAACCAUCUCUGGGGUAACGUCACAUUUUGGUGUCUCAAGGUCCUCGAUGUACUCGCAGUUUAGACCAGUGAGGUUUUCAAACUCUAACAGUGAAAACCUCAAAGGUUCUGGACCAACGAGAGACCACAUCUCAUACUUCUUCUUAAUGUCCAGCUUGAAACUGAGCAUGUAGUGAACCAGCCUUGAAGCCCAACCAAAUCCCUGCUCCUUGAACUUGAUGAAAACUCCCAAACUCGACUCCUUGAGCUCUUCAAAUUCGUCAUCAGUAAGAGCUUUCCUAAGAGCAGUAUGCAACUUGCUGUUAUCCGUAUGAUACGAAAUGCUAUUGUGGGCUUCUGGCUCUUCCCCUGAUGUGUAUAACCUACGGGGGAGUUCUGGAAUAUCCAUCCUUUUUGUCUGCAAAAUAAUCAAAGACAACAAUAUAAGUCCAGACGACUUAGUAGACGACUUAUAAUUAAGUCGUCUGGAAAGUCUUCCAAAUGGACGACUUAUAUUUAAGUCAUCUACUAAGUCGUCCAGUUGGAAGACUUUCCAGACGACUUAAAUUACUUACAAGUCUUCCAGUCGCAGAAGGAGUUGGAGUACUCGUCAUUGCGGUUAUAGAUCUGAAAAAAUAAACGUGAAACGGUGAGAAUGAGUAAAUUGAUAGAGACAACGUUUUAUGUUCAUCUUUUCCUCGAGAUUGAUGACUUAGCGGCGUUAGGGUUUACAGAGAAACGGCGCUAAGGUUUACAGAGAAGAAGCGGCGGCGCUAGGGUUUAGAAGAAGCGGCGGCGCUAGUGUUUAGAGGAAGCGGCGGUGAGAACGUUGGUGACCACGGUGGCGAGGGCGACGGUUUGUUCGGAAAUAGUGGAAGCGGCGGCGCUAGGGUUUAGAGGAAUCGGCGGCGCUAGGGUUUAGAGGAAUCGGCGGCGCUAGGGUUAGAAGAAGCUGCGGCGACAACGGUGAGAAUGAAGUGAGAUAGAUAGCCGACGUUGAGAACGAUGGUUUGUUCGGAAAUCGUGGGAAUUCGAAAUCGCCUUUGAGAGAGAACUGUUAGGGUUUCUGAAUUUCGCGAAAAAUGAAACAAAAAAAAUAAAAAUCACCUUAUAUAUUGGGUAAAUAAUCCGGUUAGCUUUAAAAGUACAUUGGUAAACUUUAAGGUUUGGUCCGGUUUAGACGACUUAUUCUGGCUGAUAAUGUACAACAGACGACUUAAUAUUUAGUCGUCUGUUUUCAGACGACAAAAUAUUAAGUCGUCCUAGACCCUAAAAUGAACCCCUAAACUAAAAUGACUAGAUUAACUAACUAACCACGUUAUAAAAUCAAAUUAUACUUAAAUAGUGUUUACUAUACACAGAAAUGAACACGCAUAAGUAAUUUUAAAAAUUUUCAAAAACGGUUUUAAUGCUUUCCAAAAUCUAACCCUAAGAACACAUACAAUACUACAACAUAUGUUGAUGAAACAUAAACUAAAGAAUAUCAUGACUCACUACUUUCACUCAUCUAUGCUGAAAACAAUUGAAAUUUGUUAUAUCUUAAUUUAUACCUCCUAAGACAUAUGUUAAUUACAUAAUUCCCAUUUUUCACUUAUCAAAAUAUUUUUUACAAAAUUUUUAAAUUAUGUUUAAGACUAACUGUCCAGACGACUUUCAGUUAAGUCGUCUGGACGACUUAUUUUCAAGUCGUCUAAACAGACGACUUGCGAGGGGUAGAAACGUAAAAAAAAUUCCGUUUUCUUGUUUGGUCACAAGGGGAUAGUUGUAAUUUCAAUAGCCUUUUAGGUUACUUUUGCCUUUGACCCAAGUUGGGGUAUUGUUUUGGGUUUGACUCCAAGUUUUGCGUCACACUUGGCAAUUCUCCCUAAUAAAUAUCAUUAUAUUUUUAAUAUUUAUUUUAGUUUCAAAUGUUUAGUUUUGUAAUAUUCUUCAUUAAACUAACUGAUUAAAGGUUUUUUUUUGCAAAUAUGAUUCAAAUCUUCAAAUCAUUCCUCAAGUAAUUCAUGCUUUUUUAGAAUUUUCUUUGUGCUUUACAGGUGAUGUAACUGUAUAUUUCUUUGUGUGUGUGUUUUGUAAACUUUUGAUAAGAGAAGUAUAUAAUAAUGUUUAUAGUUUUUGAGAAUGUUAGGGUGUUAAGGAUUAUGUAUGUUAAGAUUAGUUAUAUUUGAGUUCGAUAGAUUACAACAUAUAACAUAUUAUAUUGAGUGAAUGAGGUGUACGUGGUGCUCUCCUUGUAUGGUUUUUGAUAAUUUUGAAUCCAAAAUUGGUUGGUUAAUUAUGGUUUACUAUAUUAAAUUUUUUUAAGAUAAGUUCGUGGUUCUCAUGAUUAUCAUUUGUAUGAAUGGAUUGGGAUCAACAUGAUUGCAUUGCGUUACAGUAUAUGUUAGGCUAGAAAUAAUAUUUAAGAAAUGAGUAAAAUAGUGAAAGUAUAAGUCUAAUUAUUUAUAUUCUAAAUUAACACUUAAAUAUAUAAAUAUAAAAUUCUGUUUCAAACAUUUUAAUUCGUUUAAGGUCGUUGCAUAGGUGUAAAGAAUAUAUAUCUUUGAUGCAUAUGUAAUUUACGUCUUUAUAUCUUUGAUGCAUAUGUAAUUUACAUCUUUGUUUACUAUUACGUAAUUAGUUUAGUUUUAUUUUUUAUUUUUCUAUUAGUUUCUUAAUUUUUAAUUGAAUAUUUUGUAGUUCUUUGUAAAUGAAUAAAAUUAUUUUAGUUUGUUUGUGCUGAGUUCAAGUGAUUUAAUUUAGAAAAAAAAAUCUUUAUAUUUUUUUUAUUUUUCGAUUAGUUUCUUAAUUUUAUAGUUUUAGUUGAAUAUUUUGUAGUUCUUUGUAAAUGAAUAAAAUUAUUCUAGUUUGUUUGUGCUAAGUUUAAGUGAUUUAAUUUAGUAACUUUUUUUCUUUAUAUAUAGAUAUAUAUAAAAGGAUGACAAAAAAAAACAUAGAUAUAUAUAAAAAUUACUUCAUUAUACAUUGUAUUAUAUUUAAAAUAUGUUUUUUGAAGAGUGUCAAUAUUUAUAAUAUUUUGUUUAAUUUAUUUAUAUAGAUGAAAAAAAAAUUUCUAUUGUAGCAUGAAAUUUAUGAUAUUGUAAAAUGGAAAAAAUGUUAAAUAAAUCCUCAGCUUUUUCAUUUGGACCAUUAUAAUCCACAGAUUUCUAACUGACCAUUGACCAUAAAAACCUCAAACUUUUUGUCGAUUGGAUCAAUUUAAACCCGGCGUUAAGUUCACUAACAAAGCGUCUAAACGCAGUUAAUUUUCGUCGUUAAACAAAACGACGUCGUCUUCUCUUCAAUUAAAAAAACACAUCUUCCUCAUUAUCUCUCAAAAUCGAUUUGGGGGUUUUCUCAAUUAAGAACCCUAAUUUCACGAUUUCGCCAGAAAGAAGAAGAGAGAAGAUGGGUAAUGAAAAGAACAAGAAGUCUCGACAAGGGAAACUCGGUGGUGCCAGUUCUGUAGUGAAAAGAAAAGGUGGAGUCGGCGACGAAGCUGAUGUACGUAAGAAGAAAAAAAGCAAAACAGAUGUACUCGACAGGGAAGAAGAAGGAGAAAUCAGCGAGGAUGACUGUGGUGUUGUCGGUGACGACGAAGCUGAUGAAGCCCCAGACAACGAAGAAGUCCCAAACAACGAAGAAGUCCCUGAUGAAGCAAACGGUCAUGGUGGUAUCGAGGAAGAAACUGGUCGCGAUUUGACUGUCUUCUUCGGCGAAGUAGCGAGGAAUGAUGAUUCUGAGAAUGAUGAAGAUAGUGGGGACGAAUGGUAUUGGGAGCAUGAAAAAGAAGUUCCGGAUCCUCUAUCAUCAGAUGAUGAAAAUGAAGAACAAUCGAUUCCCAGUUUAGCCUACAGAGAAGAUGUGGAUCCAGAGGCAAUGCUUGGGCUGGGAAACACUUUCUCCACUGCUGAAGAAUUCAAGCAUACCCUUCUCAGGUAUACAUUAAAAACCCGACGCAACAUCAAGCUUUACCGGUCCACUGCUUUGAAGUUAGGUGCGAAGUGUGAAGAUGGCUCGUGUCCCUGGAGGGUGUAUUGUUCUUAUGAGAAGAGCAAACAGAAGCUGAUGAUCAAAUGUUAUGUGAAUGAGCACAAGUGUGAGAUAACAGGACACUCAAAGUUUUUGAAGUGUUCUACUAUAGCAAUGCUGUUCGCUGAGAGGCUGAGGUUGAAUCCCAAAAUCACCAAGCAUGAAAUUGCUUCUGAGAUCCAGAGAGAGUAUAGGAUGUUUGUGAGUGUGGAAGCUUGUGGGAAUGCGAAGACAAAGGUUAUGAAAGAAAGAAAAGCAAGCCACGAAGAACACUUCAACAAGAUAUGGGAUUAUCAAGCUGAGAUUUUUCGAACCAACCCUGGCACUACAAUGGAUAUCGAAACCAUCCCUGGACCGACAGUAGAAAGUAAACAGAGGUUUUUCCGGCUAUAUGUUUGCUUUCAUGCGCAGAAGGAGACUUGGAAGACUUCUUGUAGACCGAUAAUGGGUUUAGAUGGAGCAUUUCUAAAGUGGGACAUAAAGGGUCAUCUCUUGGCUGCUGUAGGACGUGAUGGAGACAAUCGGAUUGUUCCGAUUGCAUGGGCAGUAGUAGAAGUGGAGAAUGACACGAAUUGGGACUGGUUUGUGAGACACCUCGCAAAUGACUUGGGCUUAAAGGAUGGCAAAGGCUAUGCUAUAUUAUCUGACAAACAAAAGGUAAACGUCUGAUCUUGAUUUUUUAAAGCUUUUAGUGCUUAAAGCAUUACUGUAUCUUAGUGUUUUUAACUGUCUCAUGCUUGUAAUUGGCAGGGUUUAGUGAAAGCAGUCCACACCAUUCUUCCAGAGGUUGAGCAUAGACAGUGUUGUAGACACAUUUUCGAUAAUUGGAAGAAGAGCAGCCAUGACAUGCAGCUACAAAGACUCUUCUGGCGAAUAGCAAGGAGUUAUACAAUUGGAGAUUAUAAAAUGUGGAGUGAGAGGCUGAAAGAGUACAAUCCAGGCGCCUAUGCUACUCUUCAAGUCACCAAACCAGAAACUUGGUCCAGAGCAUAUUUCAAAUUAGGGACCUUGUGCAACGAUAAUCUCAAUAACCUAAGUGAGUCCUUCAACAGAACCAUCCGUGAAGCAAGAAGGAAGCCAUUAUUGGAGAUGUUAGAGGAUAUAAGGAGACAGUGUAUGGUUCGAAACUUCAGAAGGGCUGUAAUGGCUAAAAAUGCUAAGACAAAGUUCACAAAAAGGACGCAUCUUCAGAUGGCUAAAGUGGAGUCAAAGUCUAAGGAUUGUAUGAGCUUUCCAGCAGUUGGUCCAGUCACAGAGGUUGAUUAUGGUGGUGUGGCUUAUGCUGUGGAUAUGGAUGAGCUAAGUUGUGGGUGUAUCCAGUGGCAAAUGACUGGAAUUCCUUGCAUUCAUGCCGCCUAUGUGAUCCUUAAAGAUGGUAAAAAACUUUCUGACUUUGUAUCUCCUUGUUAUACCAUAGCUAUGUGGCGUCAAACCUAUAGUAUGGGGGUAAGGCCUGUUCAAGGGAAGAAGCUAUGGCCUGAGACGGGUAGAUUAGGUGUCCUCCCACCACCUUGGAGAAAAGGAAACCCGGGAAGACCAAAGAACCAUGAUAGGUUCAAGAGCAAGGGUGAGACAGAGAAGGGCCCGAAAGUCUCUACAACUGAUAGCACGAAGCUAACUCGUGCUGAUCGAGUUAUUACAUGUUCUAAUUGCAAGCAAGAGCAUCAUAACAAGAAGACAUGUAAGAAUGAGUUUGUUGAAAGUCAGCCCAAGAAACCACGAGGGCGCCCUAGGAAAAAUCAGGCAAGUUUCAAGAUGUUUUUGGUUUGUUUCUGAUCUUCUUAUGCUCACUUGAUUUUUUUUUUCAUUGUCAGUCUAAUGCAUCAUCGUCACAACCAAGCCAGGGACAGUCUCAUGCUUCAUCAUCACAACCAACCCAGCCACAAGUGUCAACACAGCCACGAGGGGAAUCAACACAGCCACAAGAGUCAGGGAGAUGGGAACAAGCCACACAUGCACCACCAAACUCAGAUGCGUCGGUAUGGGGUCGAUGGUUUUCGUGAUUUCGAAGUUGGAAGGGGCAGAAGCAGAAGAUAGUAUUUUCGGAUUUAGUGUUUUGAAGUUUUAGUGUUUUGACACUCAUGUUUCAGUUUUAGUGCUUUAACACUCAGGUUUCAGGUUUCUGUCUUGUGUAUCAGUAUUUUCGGAUCUAUUUUGUAGUGCUUUGACACUUAUGCUAUGUUUCAUCAAGCUUUAUUUAAGAUUGGUUUGUAUCUCAACCAACAACAACAACUUAGUUCAUUACUUCAAACAACAACAUAGUCAAUGAAACCAACAUAAUAGUCACUGAAUUAAGCCCCAAACAUAGUCAAGACCAAACAUCAAGCAAAUAACUAACUUAAUUCUACAUCAAACUAACUAGUAGGACAAUGAUGAUCACGCACAUGAUCACAAACAAGAUCGUCAUCAUCACCUUACACCUCUUCACCUCUGUUUUGGCUCUUACAACCUCUUCCAUCAACUCAGUGACCACGCCUUUCAAAUCCUCAAUAUCAGAUUUUUCUUUGUUAAGCUCAGCUUCAAGCAGUACAAUCUUUGGUAAGGCAUCUUGAACCUCUUCAUAAACAGCCUCCUCAACCCAUUUAAACAAGUGGUUCUAUGCAAAAACCAUAAGAUUUUAGGCAUAUUGCUUUAUAUUCAAUUUGAAUAAACGACAACAAUAUAAUCAAGAAGAUAAGAAGCUACCUUUCUUCUCGUAAGACAUCUGAAGAAAGGUCUCCCCGGAUUCUUGUUAGUCUCAGACGUGUAGAUUGUUGUCUUAGUCCCGCAAACACAGCUCGCCGGAAACCCCCGAAUACCGUAUGUGUUCACGGUUGAACUCUCAGCUGUCGAAUCCGAACUCAUCUUCGUGCUAAGGGAAGUCAAUCGUGUGAGAUUGGAGGAUUUUGAGUUGUAAUCGCAAUUUUUAGGGUUGGUGUGUCAAGAAAAUCCCCAAAUCGAUUUGGGGGAAAAUGAUAUUAGGGUUUCGGAUCUUAUUUUGAAGUUUAAGAUAAAAUGUUGUCGUAUUGGCUAACUGUGCAAAUUAACAGGGUUAACAUGUUCCGUUAGUCUAAUUAACGUCGGGUCUAAUUUGAUCCAGUCAAAGAAAAGUUAGCUGGGUUUUUUAAAGUCAAAGAAAAAUUUAUUGUUUUUCAGGUCUUUCCGAAAGCUGGGGAUUAUAAUGGUCCAAAUGAAAAAGCCAAGGAUUUGUUUAACAUUUUUCCCAUUGUAAAAUGGGUUUUGUAAACAAAAAAUGGGUAACACCAUUCACAAUAUGAUAAAAAAAAGUAACUAAAGGUUAUUUCUUUUAUUAUUUUGGGUAACAUUUUUUAUGAUUCAUGUAGUUAAUUCUGUUAAUUAAUGCAUUCAUGUGCUUCGAUUAGGCCUGGGACUUUUAUCCGAGAUCCGGAUUCGAUCCGAGAUUCGAUCCGGAUCCGAUCCGAAAAUCCGGAUAUCCGGAGGGGCCGAAUCCGGAUCCGGAUAGUAAAAUGUUGGAUCCGUCAAAGCCGGAUCCGGAUCCGGAUAUCCGCCGGAUAUUACACUUUUUAGGAGGAUAUCCGACACCCGGAUAUCCGAGAACCCCGGAUCCGGAUAAGGAUAGUAAAAUUAUGGAUCCGCCGGAUAAGGAUCCGGAUCCGGAUACCUUAAAAUUGCCCGGAUAUCCGAUCCGUCCCAGACCUAGCUUCGAUGAAUAUAAUUUUCAUAAGAAAUGGUCCUUCAUUCUUUCAUUCAAAACAAAUUUGAGGCAAAUCUAGUAGUCUAUUCCAUAUAUUUAACGAUCAAGCUCUCAUGACUGAAUUCAUUUAAAGUUCAUGAAAAUAACCAUGACCUUUUAUCUGUACAUUGAUAUAACAAAUAAUAGCGACAAAAAGGAUUAGAGAUUUCCGUGCAAGUGAGCAUGAUGGACAAAGAUAUAAUCAGUGCAAGAGGUUCAAACCAUGUACCCAUAAACUGAUUGUAUCAUUCAUCAAAAAUCUGAGACAGUCUCUGUAUACUCUUCUGAAUUUAAAUAUACAUGCAGUGCAUUGAGAAUCUAAUGACCACGAUUUUGUUGCUUUUCAUGCUCGUAACUAACAGACUAUUAUUUGAGCAUGUUACUUACUGAGAAAGCAUUGCCCAGCACCGGUUUCAUAGUCAAACUCUGCAAACAUAUAAACCUGAGCAUCAAAUUGAGAAUGUCUCUGCCACCGCCACCAUCAGCUCUACUCCAGAGAGGUUAGUUUGUGUUAAAAAGCCUAAGCAAUUCUUCCAUCACAGUAAAAGCAAUGUCGUUCAUAAGAGGCUUGUCCAUGUCUGAUAUAGUAGCCAAGUUAUUAGGCUGAGAAUGCAUAGAACUCGCUGGAAGAAGAUCAAAAUCCAGUGAAGGACCAAUCAUGGACAGAUCCAACGGUGAGAUGCGCAUUGGGUGUAGCGUUGCGAGGUGGGAGGAGAUUGGUCUUCCCAUGUACUUUGAUGCAACCGUUGACAUUCUUUCAAGCUGUGAAAUAAAGAUCAGAUUUAGAAAUUAGGAAGGGGGUUGAAUGAUUAAACCAUAAUGGAUAAACAAAACCUCGUCUCUAAGAUGUACAUUUUCGAUCCGGAGCUUACGCUCAUCGAAGUAAGGAUCUUCACUAACGGGAGGACAUCCACAGUUAGGGUAUAUAGCAUGCUUGAGUGCUUCUCUUAUGGCUAUGUUCUCACAUCGAAUCUUGUCGUUCUCUGCCUAUAGUGCAUUGUUAUCUGCUCUCUCAUGUUGCGCCUACAGAAACAGUAUCAACAAAUCUUAUUCAGACAACAUUUUAAACACACAAAAGAGGGAGAGAUUAAGACACAUAACCUUAAGCUGAGUUCUGCUGUUGUGGAACAGAACUUGAUUUGUCUUGGAGAGCCAAACCCAAUUCUCUGCUAAGUUGGUUCCUCUGCUUAUCAUCUGGAUGAUAACACUCCUUUAAACUCCUGCAAGAGAUUCAAACCAUUAUAAACACUAUGAUUAAGAGCUUUAAGAUCUGAGAAACCUCAAACGUUUCAAAAAGAGCAUUCAAAGAUUUUAACAAAAAUCGAAAUAUAAAAUUUGAUUAUGAGAUAAAUAAAAAUUUUGAUAAUUGGUCGCCGGAAUAGUUAAAAACAAUAUGGUUAUGAGAUUUAAGAUCUGACAAACCUAAGCAUCAAGGAGGAGCAUGUCCACCCCCAUCAACUCGCCACCACGGUUGACGCCAGAAUCUCAACAAAGAACGGGACCUCCACGGUGGAAGAACAUUGAAUAUGGUGAUGAGCAUCGAAGGAAUUAAGAUGUAUCUUAAAGGCGAUGAAUGUGGCUUCGAAACGGCUGUGAGUAAGGAAUAAACACGAAACGACUGAAAGGAAGUGUAAGCCUGAAACACGACGAUUCGUCUCUCUAGACUUUUAGAAUCUCCGUUGUUGAUACAGAUCGAGGAAGACGAUUAAAACCUAAUUUCCAAUAUCGACUCUAGCAGAAAAGACUCUAUCUAGCUAUUGGGCUGAAUACUCAAUUUUCUGAAGAGAAUAAUACUAACAGCCCAGCCCAUAAUAAAAACAAAUUAAAAUCAAAACGAAAACGAAACAAAUCUCACAAGGGAAAAGGACAUGUGUCAAGCCCUGGUUCUUCUAGUUAAUGACGUGUCUUCAUAGGAGAGACACAAACAUUUCUUUAUAUACAUAUAAGAUUAUACUUCACAUUUAUUAUUUUUAAGUAUUUUCUCUUUCAUAUUUUUAAUCUUUAAAACUUUUAUAUAUUUUAAAUAUUUCAAAUUAUAUUUAUAAAAUUUAAAUUUUACACUUAAAAAAAAUUAAACUAAGAUUUAUAAUAUUUUAAAAGUAGAAUUAGACAACAAGAAUAUUUCAAAAGAAAUUUAAUAGAAUUUUUUUUAUGAAGAUACAUGACCAUGAUUAUUACACAAAUUUAAAUAUUACAACAAUACUAAUAGUCUAGUAAAUUUUCUCCGGAACUUCUAAAAUAUUGUCCAAACAAAUUUUGUGUAACCGAAAAUAGAGCAUUAAAAAAAUAAUUUUAUGUAAUAAUAUGGUAUUUUUCUUGUAUUUUAAUAUUUAAUUAUGUAUUUCUAUUUAUAAUUUUAUAUUUUUUGUUGUAAGAUUUUAUUAAUUAAAAUUACUAUAAUAUUAUUAUAUAUAUGCUGGCUAACUAUAAAAGUUUUAUGGAUUUAUAUUAAUUAUGACAAAUAUAAGGAGUAUAGUAUAAUUUACAAAUAAUUUUAAAGUUAAAUUUGAAGUUUUGCUUUUGGAGAAGAACACCUUCAAACUUCAAAUAUAGAGUUUGCAAAACUAUAUAAUAAAGAAUCUUUUUGGAGAUACACUUAGAACACGAAGCAUGAGAUGUCGGUGACAACGCAAUGCUCAUUUCAUUUGGUUUUUCUGUCCUUGCCUCAAUUGGUUACUGUUACAGAUGUUAAUAAAUGAGUAAAUUACCAAUAGGAUACCCUAAGUUUUUCUAAACUUUCAAACCCAAAACUUACUGUAUUUGACUAAAAGCAUUUCUAAGAGCAAUUUUACUUUUAAAGUUUGGUGAACUUUAAAUUUGAGGUUUAAUGGUGACUUUCACCCAUGAUAAAACUUUAAAUAUUUUUUUUAAAGAAAUUAUUUGCAAUUAUAGUCCUUAAGAUUGUUUGAAGUUAAUAAGAAUUACAAAACUAUAAAUAAUAAAACAUAUAUGAAAAAGUAUUACAAGCAAUAUUUGUCUCACAUCGACAAGCUCGACGCAACAGUAUGACGCAACAAUAUAAUACUAGCUGAUAUCUUUAUGGACGCUUUCUCCGGAUAAAACUAAAUACUCAAGUAUCCAGACGAUCAUGAGAAAACGUUCUUUAUGAUGUCAGAAGGCAAUUUAUUACUGCAAGGUUAUGAAUUUUCGCUUAAAGAAUGCCGGCUCCACUUAUUAUAAACUGAUAAACAUGAUCGUUUGCAUAACAUACCAGACAGAGCAUAGAAGUUUACAUGCACGAUAUGCUCGUCAACUUUCUGGAAGUAGAAGAUCAUAUAGGCCACCUACAUCAAGCAUUCUCAACCCUGAGAAAAAAAAAACAGUAUGAAGCUCAAUUCCUCCAAGUGAUCUUCCAAUCUCUCUUACUCUGUCAUAAACUCGUCACUUCCUUGGCUUGUCCAUAAUCAGAUCACUAAUCUUCUGGCUCUCUGGAUUUAAGGUUUUACCCAUGAUACAGAUCUUGUUCCUUUUGCUCUGCAUUAGGGCAUUGUCUGGUAGGUUAAAAGGAAUUCCCUUCGCCUGCAAUGACAUUGCGUCAAUCACCUUAUCAGUAUUUAUACUUGUUCUGAAGAAAUUCCAAAAAACAUUUUCUUCAAAAAGGUAUAGAACGGCUACAUCAAAAUCAUAGAAAAACCAAUAGAAAUAGUAUAUAAUAUAUUUUUCCAAAUAUAGCGGUUCCAUGUUUUUGACACUCAGAAAAUAGAAAACAAAUUCUCAACCGUAAACACUGUUUUUCAUAAAGAUAAUAUAUUUGUUAAGAAAAAAAUGAAAACCUAAGCUAAAAAAGCCAAAUUACACACUUUUGAAUAGUUUAUUAUUGCGUGCAUUUGAAAUAAACUAAAUUAUAUAUAAAUAAGAGCAUCUCUACAAAUUUAAAAAAAUGUAGGACAAGAUGGUUUGACCGGUGGAAGCGUCUUAUUCCAGUAAUUUGACUAAUGAUUCAUUAACGUUUUUCCACCGGUAUAUCCAAAUUUCAAUUCCCAAAAAAAUAAUUUGUUAAACAACUAAAGAAAAAAAAGUUAAAAAGAGAUCUUCAAAAUUUUGCAAGUAAACUCGACCAUGUGUGAAUUUUUAUAGAAUGACUCAGGUGAAACAAUUAGACAUAGAUUUUCAUCAAACAUAUAACAUUGUCGGUUGUACAAUGAAUGCAGCUUUUGCGGUUGGUAGCGGUUGUUGGCGUUUUGCAACAAUCACUCAAACCGCUUCAAACCGUUUUAAACCUCAUAAUUCAAUAGCUGGUUCCCGCUAGCGUUUGCGGUUGCGGGAGAAUAUUUUUUUCUUUUUAAAAUAAUAUAAAUACAAAAAUAAAAAUAUUCAAUAAAAAAUUUAAAUUGGAAUUAUAAAAAGAAUAAAAUAUAUCUAUACAUUUCAAUUAAUAUUAUAAAAAAAUAAAUAAUUUAUUUUAUAAUUUUAAGACGUUUAAAACUAUAACUUUCUAAAUAUAAUUUUUAUAUUUAUUAUAAUAUUAUGAUUAUAUUUUUAUAAUUAUAAAAAAUAUAAAUAUUGUUAAUUUAUUAUUUAACCGCUGCUGCAUUUGGUAGUUAACCAGACAUAACUAUCCUGCAAACGUGCCAAUUUUUAACCACAAAACCAAUCAUACAAAUCUCUUAAAACCGCUAGAAACCGCAACCACCCGCAUUCGCAAAUUUCCACGACCGCAACCGCUGUGUUUGAACCAGUCAGACCCUAGACGUGAUGGAGUAAGCUAUAACAGUUUUUUUGUUGUUGAGAAUUUACCAAAUAAAUGGAUAUUUUAGUGAGUCAGGUUAUUCAUAUUGGUGAGAAUUAAUAUUAAUGUUUGUGUUUAGUAUGAAAAGGGUGAAAAGUAAUUAUUUUUAUAUAUUAAAGAUCUAAAAUUAUUAUAAAAUAUACUAUAACUAUUUUAUUAUUAUAUAUUUAGUAAAACCAUAUACUGUAUAGAUUUAAAUGAUAAAUAUUAUAUACGACCAUAAUAUAUUUAGUAAUAGAACAAUGAAGAAGGUAAAUACAGUAUGCAGUGUAUCUAACAAUACAAGAAAAACUCCAUAAAUUAAUAAUGUUAAUAUUAUGAUAUUUUAUUAAUUUAUAGAGUUAUUAAUAUAUAUAUUUAUUGAUUUAUAAAACUUUCCUUUCUAGAUUUUACUGUUUAUAUAUUAAUUAAAUUUUAGAAAAUCGAUUUUUUUCUAUUGUCUAAAUUUUUAUAGAUAUAUUUUUACUAAAUAUUAUCAAAAGUAUAUUGAAGGUUAAGAAAAAAUAGAGAUGAAUUCUAUUGUUAAUAUAAAUUAAACAAUAUUAUCUUUUGUUUGUAUUUAUAUGAAAUAUAUAUAUAUAUAUAUAUAUAAAAUAUUAAUUUAUGAUUUUAUAGGACCAUAUAUUUACAUAAGAUUUUUUUAAAAAAUAUUAUCUUAUUAUUUUAUUGAUUUGUAUCAUAUUUUGAAUCAUCUCAAUUCGGGAUUGAAAAAAUUAUUAAUUUACUGCGUUUAUUAAUUUAUAGAGUUUCUACUGUAUUAGUUUUUUUGUACCAAUUUCACUUUUUCAUUAAACAGUUUAACAACCAUUUUUAAUUUCAAACGGCUGAUCUAGUACUUAAAAUUAAGGUGGUUUAGGUAACUAUACAAAAUAUAAGAACCAAUAAAAUACAAAUAUCUGUGAUAUUUUCUUGCUAUCUUAGCUAAUGAGUCUGCUUAUUUGUUUUAAGAAAAAGGAUGAUAAACAAUAAACAAGUCUACAAAAAUCUACUCUUCAAUCUUGAAAAUUUUUUUAUCUCCAUUGAAAAGUUUGGCCCUGCUUAUAAAUCUUGUAUCAUCGAAACGAGGUCCUUGCAAUUUGUACUAAAGUGUUGGCACAACAACAUUUGUAACAUGCAUUCGAUAGCCCAAGAAAUGGCCAUAAGCUCUAAAUGUAUCGGUAACACACUUCUCGUCUGAUUUUUAGCUCCUCAAAGUUGAUUUUUUCAUGUCGAAUUUGUCUAAGCCCAUACAAAACCAAUAAAGAGUUAUUCAUGAGUCCAUGAUUUAUAGACCAUACAAAUUUCAUGUAAGCUUAUGCUGAUGACUCGGAUAGAUGAUGGACUAUGUAGUUCCUCAGGUUCCUUCACCUUUUUGAUAUUAGCCUCAAAGCAAGCUUGGUCUAUUAGGGAUAAAUGUUACAUAAGAUUUAGUUAUCUUAGCUAAUGAGUCUGAUUAUUUGUUUUUAGAAAAAGGAUGAUAAACAAUAAACAAGUCUACAAAAAUCUACUCUUCAAUCUUGAAAGUUUUUUUAUCUCCAUUGGAAAGUUUGGCCCUGCUUAUAAAUCUUGUAUCAUCGAGACGAGGUCCUUGCAAUUUGUACUAAAGUAUUGGCACAACAACAUUUGUAACAUGCAUUCGAUAGCCCAAGAAAUGGCCAUAAGCUCUAAAUGUAUCGGUAACACACUUCUCGUCUGAUUUUUAGCUCCUCAAAGUUGAAUUUUUCAUGUCGAAUUUGUCUAAGCCCAUCCAAAACCAAUAAAGAGUUAUUCAUGAGUCCAUGAUUUAUAAACCAUACAAAUUUCAUGUAAGCUUAUGCUUAUGGCUCGGAUAGAUGAUAGACUAUGUCGUUCCUCAGGUUCCUUCACCUUUUUGAUAUUAGCCUCAAAGCAAGCUUGGUCUUCCAUUUCGGCAUGCCUAAUAGUGUCUACGGAAUGCCUGUUAAUUCCUUUGAACAAUUUAUCAUUUUGCGCUUUUCAGAUAUACAAAAUAUCUAUAAGUAAGUGUUUCUAUCCAUUUCUGGAUAUAUACACAUGAAAUAGGGAAUACCAUUGGGUAAGAAGGUAUUGCUGCUAAUACCCAAGUUUAAAAAGUGGGUAGACAAUAAAAUAGCAUGGUUUAUGAAUUCAUCUUUUACUCUGGAUCUAAAACAUUGAUUAUCAUAUUUCAUAUGGCCGUGUUAAAUUCAUGGUUGCAUACAGUUUAACUACCGUGUUCAGUUACCAAUCGGACCCACUAUAUAGUAUUGUUUCCCUUCUUCGUUUAUCGACGUUAGCGUUAACAGUGUACUCAUUGCUCACAACUAAGUAGCUCAUAACUUGUAGUAAUAGUUACUAAAUGUGAUCUUAUUAAUUAACUGAAUCAAACUAAGCGAAUAAUUAGGAGUUCCACUAACAUUAAAGAUUUGGUCAUGUGUCUGAUUUGUCGUCUCCCAAUUAUGUAUGCAAAUUUUGUGGGAAACCUCGUUAUCAGGAGACGAGGGGAAGAGUUCCGAUCCCAUUCAAAAGAAUGUGGUAUUUGCCUUUGACGGAAAGAUUGAAGAGGUUGUAUCAGUGUGAGCGCACAGCAAAAGCAAUGAGAUGGCAUGCAGAGCAUUCCACAAAUGGUGAGAUUAGACAUCCUUCAGAUGCAAAGGCUUGGAAACAUUUCCAGUCAACAUAUCCAGAAUUUGCGGAAGAGAGAAGAAAUGUUUAUCUUGGAUUAUCUACUGAUGGUUUCAGCCCAUUUGGAAAGCAUGGAAGGCAGUAUUCUCUAUGGCCAGUUAUUGUGACACCGUACAACUUACGGCCGAGCUUGUGCAUGCGACGAGAGUUUUUGUUUCUCUCAAUUCUAGUCCCCGGGCCAGAUCAUCCUAAAAGAUCACUAGAUGUAUUUCUUCAACCACCAAUAUAUGAGUUGCAACAACUAUGGGCGCAUGGUUUUGAGACAUACCAUGUUUCGCGCAAAGAAAACUUUCAGAUGCGGGCAGUACUUAUGUGGACAAUAAGUGACUUUCCAGCAUAUGGUAUGUUAUCUGGAUGGACAACACAUGGGAAGCUAUCAUGUCCAUAUUGUCAAGAUGACACAGAUGCUUUCCAACUAAAGAACGGAAGGAAAACGUGUUGGUUUGACUGUCACAGACGAUUUCUACCACCUGAUCAUCCAUACCGCAGGAGUAAGACUUCGUUUACGAAGAACAAGCAGGUGUUUGAUGGUCCACCUGAGGAAGUUAGUGGGAAAGAUUUGUUGAAGCAGUUUAGGUAUUUUGAUGCAGAAAGGACGCCAGAUGUAGGUGGACAUGAAAACAUUCGAGUCAAUGCGGUUGGAGAGCUACAUAACGGGCAAAAAAAGAGUAUUUUCUGGGAUCUGCCAUAUUGGGAGAGUCAUCUAUUGCGGCAUAAUUUAGAUGUCAUGCAUAUUGAGAAGAACUUCUUCGAUAAUCUGAUGAACACAGUCCUUAACAUCCAAGGUAAAACGAAGAAUAAUUUGAAGUCAAGGUUGGAUUUAGUCGAUAUUUGUGAUCGUUCUGAACUUCACGUUGAUGAGAACGGUACGGCUCCUUUUCCCAUUUAUCGGCUGGAUGGUGCUAGAAAAGAAGAGUUCUUUGAUUGGAUUACAGAGAAAGUGAAAUUUCCUGACGGAUAUGCAUCAAAUUUGGGGAACUGCGUUGAUAGAAGCGAAGGAAAGUUUACUGGCUUGAAGAGUCAUGAUUGUCAUGUAAUUAUGCAGCGCCUCCUUCCGUUUGCNNNNNNNNNNNNNNNNNNNNNNNNNNNNNNNNNNNNNNNNNNNNNNNNNNNNNNNNNNNNNNNNNNNNNNNNNNNNNNNNNNNNNNNNNNNNNNNNNNNNNNNNNNNNNNNNNNNNNNNNNNNNNNNNNNNNNNNNNNNNNNNNNNNNNNNNNNNNNNNNNNNNNNNNNNNNNNNNNNNNNNNNNNNNNNNNNNNNNNNNNNNNNNNNNNNNNNNNNNNNNNNNNNNNNNNNNNNNNNNNNNNNNNNNNNNNNNNNNNNNNNNNNNNNNNNNNNNNNNNNNNNNNNNNNNNNNNNNNNNNNNNNNNNNNNNNNNNNNNNNNNNNNNNNNNNNNNNNNNNNNNNNNNNNNNNNNNNNNNNNNNNNNNNNNNNNNNNNNNNNNNNNNNNNNNNNNNNNNNNNNNNNNNNNNNNNNNNNNNNNNNNNNNNNNNNNNNNNNNNNNNNNNNNNNNNNNNNNNNNNNNNNNNNNNNNNNNNNNNNNNNNNNNNNNNNNNNNNNNNNNNNNNNNNNNNNNNNNNNNNNNNNNNNNNNNNNNNNNNNNNNNNNNNNNNNNNNNNNNNNNNNNNNNNNNNNNNNNNNNNNNNNNNNNNNNNNNNNNNNNNNNNNNNNNNNNNNNNNNNNNNNNNNNNNNNNNNNNNNNNNNNNNNNNNNNNNNNNNNNNNNNNNNNNNNNNNNNNNNNNNNNNNNNNNNNNNNNNNNNNNNNNNNNNNNNNNNNNNNNNNNNNNNNNNNNNNNNNNNNNNNNNNNNNNNNNNNNNNNNNNNNNNNNNNNNNNNNNNNNNNNNNNNNNNNNNNNNNNNNNNNNNNNNNNNNNNNNNNNNNNNNNNNNNNNNNNNNNNNNNNNNNNNNNNNNNNNNNNNNNNNNNNNNNNNNNNNNNNNNNNNNNNNNNNNNNNNNNNNNNNNNNNNNNNNNNNNNNNNNNNNNNNNNNNNNNNNNNNNNNNNNNNNNNNNNNNNNNNNNNNNNNNNNNNNNNNNNNNNNNNNNNNNNNNNNNNNNNNNNNNNNNNNNNNNNNNNNNNNNNNNNNNNNNNNNNNNNNNNNNNNNNNNNNNNNNNNNNNNNNNNNNNNNNNNNNNNNNNNNNNNNNNNNNNNNNNNNNNNNNNNNNNNNNNNNNNNNNNNNNNNNNNNNNNNNNNNNNNNNNNNNNNNNNNNNNNNNNNNNNNNNNNNNNNNNNNNNNNNNNNNNNNNNNNNNNNNNNNNNNNNNNNNNNNNNNNNNNNNNNNNNNNNNNNNNNNNNNNNNNNNNNNNNNNNNNNNNNNNNNNNNNNNNNNNNNNNNNNNNNNNNNNNNNNNNNNNNNNNNNNNNNNNNNNNNNNNNNNNNNNNNNNNNNNNNNNNNNNNNNNNNNNNNNNNNNNNNNNNNNNNNNNNNNNNNNNNNNNNNNNNNNNNNNNNNNNNNNNNNNNNNNNNNNNNNNNNNNNNNNNNNNNNNNNNNNNNNNNNNNNNNNNNNNNNNNNNNNNNNNNNNNNNNNNNNNNNNNNNNNNNNNNNNNNNNNNNNNNNNNNNNNNNNNNNNNNNNNNNNNNNNNNNNNNNNNNNNNNNNNNNNNNNNNNNNNNNNNNNNNNNNNNNNNNNNNNNNNNNNNNNNNNNNNNNNNNNNNNNNNNNNNNNNNNNNNNNNNNNNNNNNNNNNNNNNNNNNNNNNNNNNNNNNNNNNNNNNNNNNNNNNNNNNNNNNNNNNNNNNNNNNNNNNNNNNNNNNNNNNNNNNNNNNNNNNNNNNNNNNNNNNNNNNNNNNNNNNNNNNNNNNNNNNNNNNNNNNNNNNNNNNNNNNNNNNNNNNNNNNNNNNNNNNNNNNNNNNNNNNNNNNNNNNNNNNNNNNNNNNNNNNNNNNNNNNNNNNNNNNNNNNNNNNNNNNNNNNNNNNNNNNNNNNNNNNNNNNNNNNNNUUGAAUAAAUCUCAUAGGAGUUGGCAUGAAGAAGUUAUCCCACUUUCAAAUCAGGUGAUCCCAGUUUCCCAGUUUGGGAAUAACACAGCUUCUUCUCUACAAUUUUGAUACAAAGGUUGUUUUCCUGCAUCCAACAUGUCAAAAAAUCUCCUAGACUCGGGGUUUGGUUCUUCCCCUCUAUAAUGAUCAUGUACCAUCUGCUCAGUACCUACACCAUAAUCUAUAUCCGUUCUAGAUUCUUCUAACCUAAUAUCAGGCUGAGGUUCACUAACAGGCUGAGGUUCGCUAGUACUACCAUAUUCAUAACCAGUUUCCCCAUGAAGGUACCAAACUUUAUAAUUACGUGAAAACCCUUUCAUAUACAAAUGAGUCCAAACAUCAAAUUCUUUUAUAACCUUAUUAUUAUUGCAAGAAGAGCAGGGACAUCUUAACAUACCACUUUUUGCAUCCGGUUGCUGUUGAACAAGCCUCAUGAAUUCUCCAAUCCCUUGAACGUAUUCUUCCGUAAGCAAAUUGGUGUUCGGAUCCAAAUGAGGUUUAUCCAUCCACGAACGAUAAUAAACUUCUGAAGACAUGAUUUUCACGGAAUUGUUAUGACUAAAGAGAAUGAAGAGAGAAUGAAGUGUGAAUGAGAUGAAUGAAGAGGGGUUAUAUUUAUAGGAAAUUGCUUACGGACCUCCGAUGACUUUCCGACGGAUGUAAGCAGUCCGUCGGAAUUCCGUCGGAAUUGUCCAAUCUCAUAGUUCGUCGGAAUUCCGUCGGUAUUUUCCGAUGGAAUUCCGACGACUUUGCUCUUAAUCGGAAUGUCGUCGGAAAUUCGUCGGAAUAUACCGACGAACUUCCGACGACUACAACGGUUACAUUUUUUAUCGGAAUGUCGUCGAAAAGUCGUCGGAAAAUUCCGACGAACCAAAUUUGGUCGGAAUUCCGUCGGAAAUGGCCGACGGAAUUCCGACGACUUAAUUUUUUUGGAUUUGGUCGGAAAUUUGUCAGUAUUCCGUCACAAAUUUCCGACGACCUUGGUGUCCGUCGGAACCUCCGUCGGAAUUCGGUGUGUUUUCUUGUAGUGCAAGGAACCAAAAGCAUCGCCUCAAGUGGAGGCCAGCAGUAAAUCAGUAACCAUAUAUACACAUUCAUACAUUUUAAUGCAAGAUAAGAUAAUAGCACUUCUGCCACGUGGCCUUAACAUAGUGGUCAGUAUCGAUAAGGGUCUUAACACCUUUCUUUAAUCAUGUGGCAGUUAACGACGUUAUCAUGAAAUCUGGACCCUCUGGUUAUUAGGGCCUUUUCCUCUUGCGGUUCUCGUUAUAUAUAAUAGAUAACCAAAGCUAUAGACAAACAAGUAAGUUAAGAGAAAAGAAGAAGAAGAAGAAGUAGUAAUGGCUUCCUCUAUGCUUUCCUCCGCUGCUGUGGUUACCUCACCGGCUCAAGCCACCAUGGUCGCUCCAUUCACCGGCUUGAAGUCAUCCGCUGCAUUCCCAGUCACCCGCAAAGCAAACAACGACAUUACUUCCAUUGCAAGCAACGGAGGAAGAGUUAGCUGCAUGAAGGUAAAUAUCACUAGAAUAAUUGCAGGCAUGUCCUUUAUUACACGCAACUGGUGCAUUCGAACAUGAAUCCCAUUGAAAAAUGUAUAUAACGUACCUUGGAUCAAUAAAUGUCCAAAACAAUAUAUACAAACUUGACUUAGUAUUCACCAACUGGAAAUGUGAUUUAAUUUGUAGGUGUGGCCACCAGUUGGAAAGAAGAAGUUUGAGACCCUCUCUUACCUUCCUGACCUUACCGAAGUUGAAUUGGGUAAGGAAGUUGACUACCUUCUCCGCAACAAGUGGAUUCCUUGUGUUGAAUUCGAGUUGGAGGUAAUAAAGAAAAAAUAAUUUUUGGAUCUAAACAUCCUUUAUUAGACCAUGUGAAUUCUUAUUAUGAAUGGUACUCUCAUGUUUGUGUAGCAUGGAUUUGUGUACCGUGAGCACGGAAGCACACCCGGAUACUACGAUGGCCGUUACUGGACAAUGUGGAAGCUUCCCUUGUUCGGAUGCACUGACUCUGCUCAAGUGUUGAAGGAAGUCCAAGAAUGCAAAACGGAGUACCCUAACGCUUUCAUCAGGAUCAUCGGAUUCGACAACAACCGUCAAGUCCAGUGCAUCAGUUUCAUCGCCUACAAGCCACCAAGCUUCACCGGUGCUUAAUUUGCUAUGACAUUCACAUAAUAAUCUCUGCUCAUUUCAUUUCGAAUUGUCUGUUUCUUUUCCCUUUGGUUUUCUGUUUCUCAGACAUUCUAUAUCGGAUUGUCAAAUGUGUGAUUGUGAACAUGUAAUCUCUAUAUUGCUUCUUCGUCUUGGUUACUUUCCGAUGGCUAUUAGGUUUUCAACUCUUAUUGGGAUAGGAAAACAGUCAAAAUAACUUAACAAAACAGGUUAGAUAAUGUUAGUGGUAUAUUUUGUAGAAUAGGAAAACAGCAGUACCUAGGAAUAUAAUUUCAGAUGAAGUUAGUUAGGUCAUCAAAGAUUCAAAUAACAAUCAUUUUAUCUUUUUAUCGUCACAUUCACAAUAGUAUCAUAUACGGGUUUAUGUAUAUUUAAUAUAGAUUACAAUUCAUUCAUAAAAUAGUCAUCAUUUGAUAUUUAACACUUAUUACGUGGACUUUAUGAGAUCUUUUGUACACACUACUGGUACAUUGAAAAUAAGAUACAUGUAUUAUAUAUAUAUAUAAACUACUUCCUAGAUAUCUUUGUUCUUAUUUUUGUUAAUUCUUUUGAAGGAAAAAGAUAAUAAAUUUUCUACUUUUCUAUAAUACCCACACACAUUGUUAACCACUGGGGGAAAGGAUGGUCCACUUGAAAUCUUUGAUGGACACAUUUGUGGACGGUGUGCAUACAUAAGAUAGGGCAUGUGGAUAAGAAUUUAUCAUAAUAUUUAACAAAUACUAAGUGAAAAUCUGCGCCUUGCGGAAGAUGAACAUUAUAAUAUAUAUAUUAUGUAUUAUAUGUUCUUUUACCUUUUAAGAAAUAAUAAAGAAUAAAUAAAAAUUCAUUAACUAUUAUGUAUAUAAUUAAACUGGUAUAAUAAAUUAUAUUAACCAAAACAAUCACUUUCUAUUUUAUAUGAUAUAUAAUUCAAUUUUUAAAUGAUAAUAACAUUUUUUUUUGUCAUCUGUUGGAUUAAUAUUGAAACUUGAACAAAGGUUACAUUAAGCCGGCAAGACAAAGAUUCUUCCGGAGCCAGUAGCCAGCAUAGUAAACAAUACUAUCUGGAGCCAAAGAUUAAAAUAUAGAAAACAACACAUAAACUAGAAGACACAGACCAUAAAGGCAGAUGACUACAAACAUCUAGACGAGACUCAAACCCAUUCAUACAAGAAACAAACCGGACUGUUAGCUAAUAGAUAACCGUUGCUGUAGACUGCGCCUCCUCCUCCUCCUCUACGCCUGUACUCCACUGACCUCCUCCAAUUCCAACUUAAACUCGCCACUGGACUUUGAAAGGGCUCAGCACGCGCCUUCUACGCGCCUCCACACCACAGCAAGGCCACCCAAGCCUUACUUAACACGAUUCUUCUCCAUACAGCCGGUAACCACUAGCCAACCACCACAGGCCAUAGAUCUGACAAGAUCGAUGUCUGUUGCGUCCAGAUCUGAAUCUCUUCACUUCAAUCCGAAGACAUGAAGCUUCUAUUCAGAUUUGAGACCAUCGAAAACUAAAAAGAGAAUAAAACUAGAAGAAACAUGCAACCACCUUCUCACGGAACCAACGGCGAGAGGCCGCGGCCGGAGAAGGUGAAAAGACGACGACUCUGCUUUUUUUUUUCACUCGCUCUGCCCUUUUUUUCACCAGUAUCAAUGUCCAAAAAAAAUGAUAAUAACAUAUAUAUAUAUAUAUAUAUAAUUUAUUUUUAAUAUUGAUAUCUAUUAAAUGAUGUUUUUACUCAUAAGGUUUUUUGAUCAUUUGUAUAUUUUUAUAACCAAAAACUUUAAAUCGUUGAUAACAAAAUUUUCACUCUGAAAUUAAUAAUUUUAUUAAUUUAUAUAUUUUUUAAAAAAAUCAAUGAAAUAUUUUAAGUUUAAAUAUUAAUUUGUCAAUAGUUGUUCAAAUAUUUAUCAAGAAAAAAAAAUUCAAAACAAAUUUCAAAAUUAAAAUAUUUAUGUAUUCUAUAUGUUAUAUAGUUUAAUUUAAAAGAUAUUAAUAUAUAUAUUUUUUAAUCUUAAUAUUUAUUAAAUCAGAUUUUUUAAUUAAAUUAUUUUGUAAGCAUUUGUAUCUUAUCAUAGGAAAAAUCUUAAACAAUGGAUCACAAUAAUUUGAAUGUGAGAGUUUUGACAGUUUUAAUAAUUGAUGGUCGUUUUAAAAAAAAUAUAUAACAUAUACAGAAAAAUCUAAAUUUUUAUUAUAUGGUUAAUGUGGUCGUUUAAUUUAUUUUAAUAAUUUGAAAUUAAACAAAUAUGAUAGAUGAUACAAUGAUUUUUAUUAAAUCUGUAUUAUUAAUUUUCAUAUAUACUUUAGCCACAUUAGAAAAUUUUGUAAUUUUUAUUUAAGGAAAGAAUGAUGAAUAUUAAUGAUGAAUUAUGAUUAAUUUAAUAAAAAACUUAUUAUAUAUUUAGAUGAACCAAUCUGUUUUUUUAGGAUUCUGAAACUUAUUAUGGUGAUGAUAUGUGUAUACCUCAAAUGUUGUAAUGUUUUUCUUUUAAUAUAUAAGAGAUACACACAUAUAUAUAUAUUUCUUAAUUCUUAAUUGUAGUUAAGUAAAACAUUGCUGCGUUGCAAAUGUGAACUAGAACAUCUACAUAAACAAGACCUUUUAACAACUGAAUAUUUACUGUAAAAUAGAAGUUUGUUUGAAGGAAAAAAGAAAUAUAAUUUAAAAAUAAGAAAAAAUUUCUGGGAAGAACUUGUGAUGCAGGUUUAGGUUUUCUAUACAAGGAGCAUGAGCCUUAUAAAGAAUAAUGGACUUUGGAGAAUAAGAAAACCGAUAGAGAUUUGUGUGCUUGUGUGAUCGAUCGUUUGGUGUCAUUGCUGCCCGCUAGGUGCUAACAAACUUUGAGAGAAUUCUAGAAUUGAAUUCUAGGCUCUUGGGGAUUUUUAGAUUACGAUUAGGUUAUCCUAAUGAGUUCUUGCAAUAGAAAACAACGGCAUUUUAGGAGGAUUGCACUUUCCUUACUUAACACGAUUCUUCUCCAUACAGCCGGUAACCACUAGCCAACCACCACAGGCCAUAGAUCUGACAAGAUCGAUGUCUGUUGCGUCCAGAUCUGAAUCUCUUCACUUCAAUCCGAAGACAUGAAGCUUCUAUUCAGAUUUGAGACCAUCGAAAACUAAAAAGAGAAUAAAACUAGAAGAAACAUGCAACCACCUUCUCACGGAACCAACGGCGAGAGGCACUUUACUCUAGCCUCAUUCACACUUUCAAUUGGUAUCAAAACGAUUUUCCGAUAGGCCUGAGAUUUUGGGUAAUCGGGUCGGUUCCGAGUAGUUUGGUUAUUUGAAAACUGUAUCCAAAUAGUGUUUGGUCGACGUAUGGUUCAGUUUCGAAUCGGUCAAAUUUUUUGAUGAAACUAACCAUAUAUAACCCAAAAAUGGGUAAAUUUUGGUUCGGUUAAAUAUUACCCUAUUUAACUAAAAACUGAAACUAGACUUGUUACCCAAACGACAUCUGAUUAACCAAAAAAAAAAAACUCUAGAAAAUGAAAUGUUAAAUGAAACCAGACUCAUUAAUCAAAGUGUCAAAGCAAAACAAGCCAGGAAAUAAAAUAUAAUUUUCCAACACAGAAAAUGAAACAAACAUAGCUCCAUGAAACAAAGUUUUCAAAUCACACCAGAAACAAAAAAUACUUAAGUCUUAAACAAGAAGAACACAAACUGUCAAAUUACUUGAAAUAUUGUCUUUUUAGCACCAAAUGAGUCCCAGAGUUCACUCCUUACUCUAUGUUGUAUUCAGUUUCAAACUCUAGGAAAAAACAAAGAAUACCAUAAGUGUUCAAAACUUCAAUAAUCAAGAUUAUAUUUGGAAGUUCUGAUCAUGACACAUUGCAACCAAACUCUAGAAUCAGCGUAAGUCUAGUUGAAGAUUAGAAAAUUUUAACUCGUUGUCGAUUUUACCGAGUUUGGAAAUGAUGCUGUUGUACACUUCAAGUCAGAUGCUGAGGUUGGAGAGUUUGACGAAGAUUCGGAUUCAUGUCCGUCUGAUUAUUCUUCGGAUUUUGGGUAGAUUAACGUAUUUAGAAAAUCUGUAAUCAUAUAUUUAACUUUCAAUUGUGUAGUUUUUUUAUUUAUUGGUUGUUGGAGUUGAAUAAAAUAGUUGUAUUUUUUUGGUUGUUGGACUUAAGAAAUUUACAAUGUAUUCGAAAAUUAUUUAAUAUUCAAAAAUUUCUUUAUUUUGUUGGUAUUCUGUCGGUAUAUUCCAACAGAAUUCCAAUGAAAACACUUAUAUUGGGGUUUCGGUUUGGGGUUUCAUUUCCAUCGGAAUUAUACCAACGGAAUUGACCAAUGUCGUCGGAAUUCUGUCGGAAUAUUCCGAUGGAAUUCCAGCGAAUAAAUGUUUUCGAUAUGAUUCAGUUAAUAUUAAUGUAAAACCGGAUACCUAUGAGGUCAAAAACACAUAUUAAGUGUCUAAUAGGAUGUGAGUUAAAAAGCAUUCCAUUUUUACAAGUUAUAAAAUCCUCUACAAAUAUAUCCGCGGAUAUGUAAUAUCUCCCAUAAGCAUUUAUAUACUUAAAAAACAUAUUUCGAGAAUCCAACUUACAAUAUCAAUUAUUUGUAAUAUGAUCUCGUAUAAACAAUUAUAUACUUAAACAUGCAGAUAACUCCUUCUAAGUUAUCAAAAAGUUAUAAGAGUUUAUUGUGGGUCAAAUUUCAAUUGUUUUGAAACCCCCUCUCAUUUUCAUUGUAAAUUCAUUGGAAUAUACUGGCAAAAUUCCGAUGGAUCUAUUUUUCAACCAAUUGAAAAGCAUGCAGAGAAUAUGCUAUAUUCGUCAGAAUUUUAAAAGUAUUUUUCUGAAAAACUUCUGACGAAUAUAGCAUAUUCUUGUUUCCGACUUGGUCAGUUGACCAAUUAACAAAAAGUUCGACGAAAAAUAUAGGGUCAUUGUAAUUUCGUCGGAAUUUUAAUGUACCUGGGAAAAGGAACAGCCAAAAUUUUCGUGAACUGCCAAAUACCAAAAUAUUUUGAUGGAAUUCUGACGACCCUUUUCCGUCAUAAAUGUUUUAUAUAAAAAAACAUAUUUGCCUUCUUCUUCUUCUUCCUCAUUCCCCUCUCUCUCUCUCUCUCUAAUCCAGCGAGUGUAAACAUAUAUAACUAUUAAAUGAAUUUAGAAAACAAACUGUUUAAUAUAGCCAAAAAUGAACGUGAGUUUUUAGUUGAAAACCAAAAAAACAUACUAACUCAAAUCUUAACACAUGGUUUUUUUUAUGUUGAAUUACCACUUAAUUUGUCAAUUUUACCAAAGGAAUACCUCAAAAUUGUAACUCAAAUGUAAUACAUUAUACAUCAAAUAGUAACUCAAAAAUCUAAAAACUAAUCUUAGAUUUAACCCAAACUUAAUCUUAUAAAACAUUGCUUUUGAUGUAAGGAUAAUUUUUUGGAUUAAUAAAAUUUACAUUCAUUAAAAAAAACAUAAAAAUACAGCACUAUCUGACCAGAGAUAAAUAUAAUUGGUAAUCUUGUAUCAUUGCAAUAAAGGCAUCCAAAAUUUCAUUUGGUUGAGAAGUUCGGCUCGGUUCAAAAAAAAGCAGGUUUAUAAAAAAAAAUUGGUUUUUGGCUCGUUCAGUUCGGUAAUCGGUUAGAUCGGUUUCAAAAAAAAAAAUUUGUUCCCAAAUUUCAAUCCGAACUAACCUAGCUAACCAAAAUUUCGAAUCGAAGUAACCAAGCAACCUAAAAUUACUCAAAAUUUUGAACCGAACUAAUAGAAUUAACCAAAAUAUUGGACCAAAUUAACCAGACUAACAGAAUUAACCGAAUUAACCAAUUUUACCCAAAUUUUUAACCGAAAUAUAAUCAGAAUCAAAAACUUUAGUUAGUUUCGGUAAAAUUUUAAAAACCUAACUACCCAAAUACCAAACUGAACUGAACUUUUUUUAUGUUCGACAAGAUUUUAGUCGAACCGAACUACCUGAAUCUGCAGGAAGUUACCCAUCACAGAUAGAUGCACAAAGCAUUACCUAAAAACGUUACAUUUAGUGUUUUGGUACCACUUUUAUUGAUUUAGUUUAUAGUUUUUAACUAUUAAGUAACAGUUUUUAUACGGUUUUAACUUACCAAUCGGACCCACUAUUCUUUUGUUUUUGUUCGUUUGAGUAUGGACAUGACCAUUACAGUAGUCUCAUUACUCAUAAGUUAAUUAGUACGACAUACAUGUAUAAUUCAAGUACAUUUCGUAUAGUAAUUUCAAUUGUGAAUUUAAUAAUGAACCUAAUCAAAUUAAGCGAAAUUAAUUCAUAUAAAUAGAAGGUCCGCGAACAUUGAAAUGUAGAUCAUGCGUCAGAAUUGUCCUCUCUCAAUAGGAAAGAGCCAAAAGCAUUGGCUCAAGUGGAGACGAGUAAACCAUACACAUUCAUACGUUUUCUUACAAGAUAAGAUAAGAUAAUGUUAUUUCUACACCUUUCUUUAAUCCUGUGGCAGUUAACGACGACAUCAUGAAAUCUUGAUCCUUCGAUCAUUAGGGCUUUAUACCUCUUGCGCUUCUCACUAUAUAUAGAUAACCAAAGCAAUAGACAGACAAGUAAGUUAAGAGAAAAGAAGAAGAAGAAGUAGUAAUGGCUUCCUCUAUGCUCUCCUCCGCUGCUGUGGUUACCUCACCGGCUCAAGCCACCAUGGUCGCUCCAUUCACCGGCUUGAAGUCUUCCUCUGCAUUCCCAGUCACCCGCAAGGCCAACAAUGACAUUACUUCCAUCGCUAGCAACGGAGGAAGAGUUAGCUGCAUGAAGGUAAAUGUCACUAGAAUAAUUGCAGGCCUGUCCUUUAUUACACGCAACUGGUGCAUUCGAACAUGAAUCCUAUUGAAAAGUGUAUAUAACGUAC